UGUGAAGCAGAUAGUUCAAGAUGGGUAAGGAGAAGGUCCACAUCAACAUCGUGGUCAUCGGCCAUGUCGACUCCGGCAAGUCGACGACCACUGGGCACCUUAUCUACAAGUUGGGAGGUAUCGACAAGCGUGUGAUCGAGCGUUUUGAGAAGGAGGCGGCGGAGAUGAACAAGCGUUCGUUCAAGUACGCGUGGGUGCUGGACAAGCUGAAGGCAGAGCGCGAGCGUGGUAUCACGAUCGAUAUCGCGUUGUGGAAGUUCGAGACCGUGAAGUACUACUGCACUGUGAUCGACGCGCCCGGACAUCGCGAUUUCAUCAAGAACAUGAUCACGGGAACGUCGCAGGCGGACUGUGCUGUGUUGAUCAUCGACUCGACGACGGGAGGGUUCGAGGCCGGUAUCUCGAAGGAUGGACAGACGCGUGAGCACGCACUGCUGGCGUUCACUUUGGGAGUGAAGCAGAUGAUUUGCUGCUGCAACAAGGUGGGUUCGGGGGCAUUUUGGUUGAGGUUGGGGGGUAGGGACAUGGUAUGGGAGCGGGGCGCGGUGGUGGCAUUGGGUUGCGUUAUGGACAUGGCGUGGGUAAUGUCGGGGGCAGACGAGUGGGGUAAGGGGUAGGGUUUUUUGCGUGCAUUUUUGGGGAGCAGUGAGGUGGGCUGAUGUUGGUGAUGUGGAGGGUGGCAGAUGGACGCGACGACCCCGAAGUACAGCAAGGCCCGAUUUGAGGAGAUCAGCAAGGAGGUGUCGGCGUACCUGAAGAAGGUGGGGUACAACCCGGACAAGAUUCCGUUCGUGCCGAUCUCAGGGUUCGAGGGUGACAACAUGAUCGAGAGGUCGACGAACCUGGACUGGUACAAGGGUCCGACUCUGUUGGAGGCGUUGGACAACGUGUCGGAGCCGAAGAGGCCAUCUGACAAGCCUCUGAGGCUGCCGCUUCAGGACGUGUACAAGAUUGGGGGCAUUGGAACUGUGCCAGUGGGACGGGUGGAGACGGGAAUCAUCAGGCCGGGCAUGUUGGUGUGCUUCGCACCGACGGGACUGACGACUGAGGUGAAGUCUGUGGAGAUGCACCACGAGUCGAUGCCCGAGGCACACCCGGGUGACAACGUUGGGUUCAACGUGAAGAAUGUGGCGGUGAAGGACCUGAAGAGAGGGUACGUGGCCUCAGACUCGAAGAAUGACCCUGCAAAGGAGGCAGCAAACUUUACGGCGCAGGUUAUCAUCAUGAACCACCCGGGACAGAUCGGGAACGGUUACGCACCAGUGCUGGAUUGCCACACGUCGCACAUUGCGGUGAAGUUUGCGGAGAUCUUGACGAAGGUGGACAGGCGAUCGGGUAAGGAGCUGGAGAAGGAGCCGAAGUUUUUGAAGAACGGGGACGCAGGGUUCGUGAAGAUGAUUCCGACGAAGCCGAUGACGGUGGAGACGUUCGCGGAGUACCCACCAUUGGGACGGUUUGCGGUGCGUGAUAUGAGGCAGACGGUGGCUGUGGGUGUUAUCAAGGCCGUAGAGAAGAAGGAACCCACCGGCGCCAAGGUGACCAAGGCCGCUGCCAAGAAGAAGUAGUUUUAUUGGUAUUGCGGAGUUGGCAGUUUUGGUAUUGGUUCGGGGAUAUUUUUCUGAAUCUAGGGAUAUUGAGGUGCUGUGCUUGCUCGAAAUACUUGGUGCGGUCUUUACUUAGUCCAAGUUGGGUUCCGCUCAUUUUAUCUCGAUGCUGAGAUGUAUGUAAUGCGCUUACUCUUGAUUUUAUUUUUACUGAUUUGGGCCAGCGUCCAAAGUUGAUUCAAUGAAUUUCCAGAUGUCUGCUAUCUUUCAAGUCCGAUUUAUUGUAUGUGCCGAUUCGAGCCGCUCUUCUGUGCUACUUGCGCAGUAAUUGGCCAUGAAGGUCUUCUUGAAAUCAUGUAUGCCCAUCGUUUCAAGCCUCAACUACUCUCUAUUUACCCAAACAGGACAACAGAUGAUUUCUUAUUUGUGGUCAUGUGGCUUCAAUUGUCCAGGAUUCGGACAGUCUAUAUCUCUUCAGCAACCCGCACAUUCACUUUCUCAGUCAAUGCCAUUUCUCUAACUCUAUACCUCAACACGUACGACGCUGGUUGUCAACAAUACUAUUCCUGCUGCCAGUGGCUGACAUGCACCAUGUUUGGGGAAUUCACUGAAACUGGUUAGCACCCCUGAGUUGUGAUUAUACAUCUUGGAGUACGACGCUCCUGAUCUGAUUUUUUACCAGAUGAUGUAUUACAGCGUACCUCACUGUAAGGGUAAAUAAAUUACAGUGAGUUCACGAUUCUUAACUUGGCUUGUCUGCUGCUCUUCUCCACGUGCAACGUUGAAUUAGUACGGCGCCACCUAUAAUGCUCUGCUGAUGGAAAAGGAUCAAAAACUGUGAUGUAUGCUACUUUCUUCGACAUCUACUGCUGCGGCCCGUGUGAUAUAAACAUGCGAAUAGACUGUUGUCGGUGCAGUAGAGAAACUAGUGCGUUUCUAGCAGGAUGAAAAUCUUUGGUACACUGGGAGUCAAUUUUUAUUAGACAGAAUCUAUUACCCACUUAUACGCAUCAGAAGUUGCUGUGUUAAAGAUAUGCUCGCUCAAGUUCUUCAUGUUGUCUGCAUUAAUAGUUGCUUUAAUAAAGAUAUGGUAUCCCUAGUAUUGCUCAAAAGUUACCCACAUAUUGUUUAUUGAUUCUUUUCUUUUCUUUUCUUAAAGAAAGGGAGAUUCCAACCUCUUUCUAUUUGAUUAGGCCUGUAUUGAUAUCCUUCUUUUUGACAUUAUGUAGUUUUUUGAGUUUCUUUAUAGUGGGGAUUCCACAGUGGCUUGUCAUGGAGAUCUUGCAACAAAAUAUCAUAAAAGAGGGUUUAAAAGAUUCUUUGAAAGAACAGUUGAAAAUUAAUUUCUUUCAAAGAAUCUUUUAAUUAAGAGUUAUAUUUUUGAAAUAUUAUAAACAUAUCAUGCAUAUAUAUAUAUAUAUAUAUAUAUUUUAAAAUAUUUGAUAUUCAUUUCUCUACACUAAAUUUUAUGUUAAAGAAGUACAUAGUUAUAAAAUUAAGUGAUUUGUGCUGAUUUAUGUAAGUGUAAGUAAAAUGCAACUAGUCUAAUUUAAUCUUUAUUGACAAAAAGAAAAGAAAAAAAGAAAUAAAUGUUUGAGUUCUCAAUCAUACUGCAAAGAGUGAAAGCAUCAAAAAUAAGAAAGUAGGUGAUUUCAAAAAUCCAAAAUAAAUAUGUCAAAAAGCUUAGGGAGGUCAAUGUAAUCCUAAAUUCCAAAUCCUAAAUUCUUAAAUCUUAAAUAUCUAAAAUUUCAUUCUUAUUUAGAGCGAUUUGAAUAUAUGUAUAUAUAUUUAUACACACACACACACACACAUAUAUAUAUAUAUAUAUAUAUCGAGAGAGAGAGAGAGAGAGAGAGAUAGAUUUAGUAAUCCUAAAAUGAACACAAUGGUAUAUUCAAAACUUGCAAAAGACAUAAAAUUUAAAAUCUUAAAGCCUAAGUCAAAGUGACUAUAUCUUCUAAAGUAAGAACUUUUAGUGCAAGUUAUUUAAACCCUCAGAAUUCUACAUGCCAAAAAUAAGAAGGUAAGUCAAGUCGAAAUUUCGAAAUAAAUUUUAAAAAAAACUAGGCACACAUAUAUAAGCCUAAAUUCCUAACCAAAACCUAAAAUCAAACUAUCUAUAUCUUACAAAUGAAAAAUCUUUUUGGACAUUUUGACUUUACUAUAAGAAUUAUAAGCAAAAAUAAAUAGAGAAAUAUGUCAUAUCAAAACUAGAAUAAAAUAAAAAAUAAAAAAUAAAAUAAAAAUAUCUAAGUAUAUCUUUAUAAUUCUAUAUUUUUCAAAUCCUAAAUUCUAAAUUUAAACCUCAAAAUUCUUAAAAUGCUAAAUUUCUAAAAUUUUGUAAGUCUUAAAUUGUAAAAUUUUAAAUUUCUAAAAUUUCUAAAAUUCAUAAUGAAUCACAUUAUAAAAAAAAUAUAUUAUACUACUAAAAUAUUAUCAAAUAGAGAUUUUUUUUUCAAUAGAGUAUUUCUAUUUAUUCAAAAAUAUUUAUACUUUUGAGUAUUGGUAUGUAUUAUUUAUUUUCAUUAAAUACGGCUAAAUCAUAGAUUUAUUUAUAGUAUUUAUCUUUGUAUUAAUUGAUUCUUUACCAAGUUGCUUAUAUUAUUUGCUCAAAUUUCUAAAUUUUUAAUUUUUAACCAAAAAUAUCUUAAUUAUCUCACAUAGAAUCUAAAUAACAUAGUAUUUAUAAAAUUAUGUUUUGUUGUCAAACAUGAAAAUUAAUCAUUCAUCCAAAUAUAAUAAAAAUCAUUUGUUUCUUAUAUGUACAUAGAAAAAUUAGGAAAUUGUUUAUUAAGAAGAUCUUUAUUGAAAAUUAGUCUAAUUACAGUUAAAAAUAUAUGUUUAAUUUCUAUUUAUGUUCAAUAAUCAUGAAAAGAUUAGUAUUAAAUCAUAACUUUGCAUAAUAUUCAAAAGAAAUGAAAAACAAAUUCAACCAAUGGAAUUGAGUUCUAACAUUAUUGAAAUUAUUAACAAUAAAGAAUUUAUGCAUAUAUCUAUUUUAAAUACUCUAAAUUUUUAUUCAAAUAUAGAAAACUUAACCAACAAGUAAAAAAAAUUAUUCUUAUCUAUUUGGCCUUACAUUAAUUAAUAAAUAUAUUCUUAUUUGAUCUUAUAUUAUUAUAAUAGAAAGAUUGACAUUAGCCUUGUUAAAAUUUUCUUAAUAAAAAUAGAUGAGAAUUCUUUUGAAUUUAAUAAAAUUCUUUUUUUAACUUGGUUUUUUAAUUUUAAACUAAUAAUUUUAUUUGAAUAAUUUUUUACAAAAACUUAGUAUAUUUAAAUUAUAUAUUGCCAAUUAGAAUUAAGACCUUAUUAUUUUUUUAAAAUUCUAAGCUUGUAAUUUUUUUGGAUUAAAUCAAACUUGUAUUUUAAAUCAAAUACUAAAUUCAUAUAAUAUAUAAAUAUUUAUCCAAAUUUUUUUAACUUUGUCUUUUUGACAACAACAUUAAAUGACAUAUUAAAUUUAUUUAUUUAUCAAUAUAAAUUUCUAUAUGUUGGUAAUAAAUUCAAACAUUAGAAGAUUGAAUUGCUAUUAAAUAAUCACUUUUAGUAUUGAUUACUAAUUGAUAUAUUUAAUUUAUAUAUAUUUUAGUUGUUUCUAAAGUAUGUACUUACAAAAAGUGAUGCUACAAUAUUUUUGUGAUUCUUCUUUUGUUGCUGAUUAGACAUAUUUUAAAAAAAACAAGAAUAAAUAUAAAAAUCAAUUUAAGCAUAAUACCUCUAAAAUACAUUCUUGCUUUUAAAAUCAAUGAUUGUUGCUCUUUUAUCUUUUCAUCUUUUAGAAAGUACAAUUAACUUUAAUACUUCUUUGUUAAUUUUUAUAAUAUCACUAUUUUUUUCUUGCCUAUGAUUUGUAAUAAUAUAUGAAUCUUUAUUUUUUUUAAAAUUAUUUAAUUAAAAUAAAUAAAAUAUUUAAUUACAAAUUUAAAAAAUUUCAUCUUUGUACAUAAAAUAUUAAUGUAUAUAUUUGUUGACAAAAAAUUAUGUAAACUUGAGAUAGAUUGUAUUAUCCAAUUAUGCGUUCUAGCAGUCCAACAAAACAAGUUGAGUUAAUCAUUGCACAAUGGUCCUACAAGAGAACACCAAACAAUUGACACCACAUCAACAAACUUCUUGCUGCACGUUAUUGAUUGUUUAUGCUUCAUAAAGACAUCACAAGUAUGUCUCUUUGUGCCAUUUGUAUCAAAUAGCCAAAUUUAGAUUUGUACAAAUAGACCAAGCAUUGUUAUGGCCCAUAUCCUUACUUUCACUAUUUAUGUGUUAGGAACUAGACUUCAUCAAAUUCAUCAAAUCACUUAUGCAAGUGCAAAAUAAAUAUAUACUCAUAGUGAUAAAUUAUAUCACUAAAUGGUGCAAAGCACGUCACAAACAUGCAUAUUUACUCUAAUAUUUAUCUAUAUGAUUAAGUAGAAGUAAAUAAAAAUAGAUUUAUUUCAUAAUAUUUUUUAGAAUAGUUUUUUAAAAGCUUCAUAGAUGGUGCUUUGACUUUACAUAUGUUUAUAGUUGAUUGAUAUGUUAGAAACUUCGUCAACAAGUUAACCACAUAUUGGUAGCUUGUAAAAUAAGCUAAUUAUGUGGCAUACAUAUAGAAAACUUGCCUUGUAAGUUAAGAUAUGUAUCUUAUAAAGUCAACAUGUUUUGGAGGUCCUAUAGAACAUUGCCUUGUAGCUCCUAGUUAAGAAUAUAUAUGGAGGCAAGAGUGAAGCCUUUUUCAUUCUUAUCAACGCCUUUUUAGUCGUUAGUCUUAUUUCAAGUCUUCUUAGUCUUCUUUUCUUUGGCAAUAGCCAUUGUAGUUUAAUACUAUGUCAUCUUUGAGUGCUUUUCUAGUCUUUUUGAGUAACACAAGAGUAUUGGCAUUUUAAUUCUUUGAGGUUCAUAUCCUUGACAAUUUGACAAGAGUCCCAAUUCAUUUUUUUUUAUCUUAUUUUAGAAGUAAAUGGAUUAUUUUACUUCUAUUAUUAUAUUUUAAAGGUUGUAGAUUAUCUACUUUUAAAUAAAAUAUUUAAUUUUUUGAUACUAUUUUUUUCUUUAAAGAGAGUGAAUUAUCUCUUUUUGUAGAAAUUUUCAUUUGAUAUUAAAGAUUCGAAAUUAUCUUCUUCUAAUUUAACUUUUUGAAUUUAUUUGAAUUAUUUAUAGAAAGAAAGAUUAUAAAUUUUAUUUUCAAUAGAAAUAAAAAUAGAUUUGUAACUAUUGUAGAUCUUCACAAAUUAAAGAUUUACAACUCCUUUAUAAUUUGAAUUCAUUCCUAGAAGUAUUUAUGGCCAUAUUUGAAAAAAGUGAUUAAAAAAGAGUAGCAGAGAUCAAACUUUUAUCUUUACAAUAAAAAUCAUGGUCAGCCACCAUAUAUAUUGCUAAAUUCCAAAAUCUUGCUUGUGAUGUGGAGUAGAAUGACAAAACCCUUAUCAAUGAAUUUUGAUAUUUAUUGAAGGAAAAUAUCAAAGAUUUGUUAUUGAUAAUGUCAAAAGAAUUUUUUUUGGAACAAUUUAUUGCUGAAGCCAUUACAUGCAACAAUCAAUUAUUUAAAAGAUGUCAAGAACAAAGAUUCAACUAAAGAAGAACAAAUCAAGUAAUGAUGGUAGCUCCUAAGUUUUCAAAAUCUUAUUCAUUAAAGCUAAAACCAAUGCAAAUUGAUAUGGUAUAUUUUAAAUCUCUAAGUGAACAAAAAAAGAUUCAUUGUCAUAAAAAAGAUUUGUACCUAUAUUGUAGAGAAUCCAAGUACAUUGCUUAAUAUUAUCUAAAGAAGCAACACAAUCAAAAAAUGAAGAGUAUAGUUAUUAAAGAAGAUGAUAUAUCAAAAAAUGAGUCUCUUCAACUACAAUAGGAUCCAUGCAACUAAAAUCUUAUACAAUUUCUAGUAAAGAUCUUAUUCUCUCCUUAGAUCCUUCACCUUAUUUUACAAUAGAAUUUUUUUUAGGACCAAAAAAUCACAAAGACUUAGCCUUGUUAGAUUCAAGAGCCUCAAUCUAUUUUAUAAAAAAACUUUGUCAAAAAACAAGAUAUAUUUUUAAUUAAGAAAAUCAAAUUUGUGCAUAUAGAAAUAAUAAAUGGUCGUUUGUUAUCUUUUAGAGAUAAUUCAUAUGAAACUAUUCUUAUAGAAGUAGCAGCUAGUAGACAUAAUAGUCUAGUAAUAUUUGAUGUGAUUAGAUCUCUUUUUAAUCUAAUUAUUUUAGGAUUAUCUUGAUUAAAAAGAUAUAAUCUUUAGAUAGAUUAGAUUUCUUGUAAUCUUGAUUUUUUUCAUAGUUUAGGCCAAGAUUCUAUUAGGCAAUUAAAUAUCCAUAAGAUCAAUACAUGCAAAUUAUUAUUAGUAGGUACAAGAACUUUCAUACAUGCUACAAAAGAAGGGUCAAUUUUUGUUAUAUAUGACAUAUCUAUUGUUAAUAGAGAAAAGAUUUUAAGUAGUAUUCUAAGCCAAUAUCAAAAUUAUUAAGAUAUCUUUAAAAAAAAGAAUGCAAAUAUUCUUUCAAAGCAUUAUCUUUAUGAUUGUUCCAUUGAUCUUCAAGAAAGAACUCAACCACCAUUUGGACCAAUCUAUAGCCUAUCACAAAUAAGUUGAGUGCACUUAAGGAAUACAUUGAUGAAAAUUUGGCUAAGAACUUCAUACAAAAUUCUAAAUCUUUAAUUGAGGCUUCUAUCUUAUUUGUGAAAAAAAAAGACGGAUCUCCGCAAAUGCUUGUAAAUUAUUGGGGACUUAAAAAGAUCACCAUCAAGAGUAGGUACCCUCUAUCUUUGAUUGCAGAACUUCUUGAUCAACUAAAUCAAGGAAAGAUGUAUAUAAAAAUAGAUCUACUAAGAAUGUAUAAUUUGAUAUGCAUUAAAGAAGGAGACAAAUAAAAAUCUAUGUUUUGAUCAAUAUAUGGACAUUUCAAAUUUAAUGUCAUGCCUUUUGGAUUCAUGAAUGCACCAAUUGCUUUUUAGCAUUUAUUAAAUGAUAUUUUUUACAAGUUUCUUGGUAAAUUUGUCAUUUAUUAUUUAUACAAUAUUUUGAUCUAAAAAUAUAAAGGAGCAUAAACUUUAUAUUCAUUAUCUAUUACAAAAACUAAGAGAUGCAAGAUUAUAUGCAAAGAUGAAAAAGUGUAUAUUUUUUCCUACUCAAGUUGAUUUCUUACAAUACAUUAUUUCAAACAAUAGUCUUAUGAUGGAUCUUGAAAAUGUCUAAAGUAACAUUGAUUAAAAGAUUCUAAAAAUAGUCAGAGACAUAUAAUAUUUUUUCAAAUUUACUAAUUAUUAUUAGAACUUCAUCAAGAUUUUUUUUCAAGUUGCAGCUCCUUUUACAUGCUUAACAUGUAAACACAAACUAGAGUGGAAUAAAGAAGUUGAAGCAUCUUUUUAAGCCUUUAAGACAACAUUUAUUUUUGUACCAAUUUUAUACCAUGUCGACUUUUCAAAUACAUUCUUUAUGAAAACAGACACAUUAGACUUUGCUAUGGGUGCCAUUUUUUUACAAAUGGAAGCAAGUAAUAAGCUCUACUUAGUAAUUUUUUAUUCUAGGAAAUUUUUAGGACCCAAAAUUAACUAUGAAAUCUAUAACAAAGAACUUUUUUCAAUUAUGGAUUCAUUUCAAGAAUGGCAUCAUUAUCUAGAAGGCACUUUUAGUCCAAUCACCAUAUAUAUGGAUCGCACAAAUCUUGAGUACUUCAUGUUAGCACAUGUUUUAAAUCAUUGUUAAGUCAAUUAAAGCAUAUCUUUAUCAAGUUUUGAUUUUUAGAUUACUUAUUUAACUGAAAAAUAAUAAGGUUUAUUAGACACUCUUUUUAGAUAUUUUUAUUUUAUACCAAAAGAAGGAGAUGUAGCUUUUGAUAAACAAAAAAUGAUCCUCUUGAAGCCAAAGUAUUUUCAUCUUUGAGUAAUAAAAUCAACACUGACUAUUGAUUCAACUCUUAUCCAAAAAAUUCAAUUAAAUAUGUCCUUUGAUCUUCUUGUUGUCAUGGACAUACAAAUGAAGAAGGUUCAAAAAGAUUCUAAGAAGAUUUUUAAAGAUCCUAGAAGGUUCCAAUAUAUUCUAGGAAGAUUCUAAAAGGUUCCAGUAGAUUCUAAGAAAGUUUUAGAAGAUUAUACGAGAUCCUAGAAGAUUCUAGGAGGCUUUAGAUUAUUUAGAAAGUUACUGAAGAAAGAUCUUAGGCUUGCUUUAUUCGCAAGCCUCAUAGAAACUUCUCAAGAAGCUUCUUAAGACCUAAUAUAUAUAGGAGUCAAAGGUGAAGGGAUCUUCAAUCUCAACAACUCACUUCUUGUAGUUUAGCUAGGACCUUCUUGCAUUGUAUUCAAUUAUUGUUCUAAUGACAAGCUAAAUCUAUUUUUUGGUCUUGAAUCCUUAUCUUAUAUACAGUUCCUAAUAGUUUGUCGAGACUCCCAUAAAACAAUAUUAGAAGCUUGGUUUUUCUUCAUAGAAAGUGGAUUACCCCUCUUCUUGGAAGUACUAUAUCAUUUAUGAGGUUGCAGAUUAUCCUCUCCUACACUAAUAUUGUUCUUUUCUUAAUAUUCUUUUGAUUUUUUUUCUACCAUAGAUCAAUUUUAAUUUUUUAUGGCAAAAGGUGGAAAAGUCAAUAUGACAGAUUCCAAAGAGAUCAAGUUAGAUUUUAUUAUUAAUGCUCUUGAAGCAUUGAAGAUCAAAACAAAGACUUUAUUGAAGAAAAAUGAAGAAUUAUAUAUAAUCAUACAUAAUAGUCAAGGAGCUAGAGUGCCUCAACCACUACAUCAAAUGAUAAUAGAGGUUCUAAAUUCUCAAAAAACUAUAUCUGCUUCAACAAACAUGGGAGGUGCAUCCAUUCAAGGCAAUGAUCUGACAACAAUAACAACAAAAGAACUACGGAUUAGCCUUUCAAAAAAGUUUGAUGAUACCCGCUCAAAAUUUUUUCGCUUUGUAAACCAAGUGUAAUUAAUCACUUUGUUUCAACCUCAAUGAUAUUCUACUAAAGCAUCUUGUAUUGGUUUGGUUGGAACCUUACCCUCAAGUCAAGCUUUAUCUUGAUUCGCUCUAUUAUUUGAAAAUAAUUUUCAUAUAUUGCACAAUUUUGAAACAUUUUUGGUAACAUUUAUAGAAGCAUUUGGUAAACAUGAUAAGAUUCAUUCUUUAACAACUAAAAUUUGAAGCCUUUGACAAAAAACGUGUUUUAUAUCAAUGUAUGCUUGAGAUUUUUAAUAAUUAGUAUAUGAUAUAAAUUGGAGAGAAGAUGUAUUGAUGAGCCAAUUUCAUUGGAAAUUAAGAGAUGAUGUUAAGGACUUAUUGUUAUCUAUGCUAGAUCUUCAAAUACUCAAUGAAGCCAUUAGUUAAGUUGUGAAGUAUGAUAACCAUUUAUUUCAACAAUGAUAAGAUAAAUCUUCUUUAAUUAUGCCACAUAUAUACACCAAUUAUUCUGCUGUUUCUUUACCAUCCGAUUCUAAUGAGUAUUUGGAAACAAAAGAUAUGUAAAUUGAUGUAAUUUUCUUUGAACCUCUUUCUAAGGAAGAAAAAAAGUGUCAAAGGGAACUUGGCCCAUGCUUAUAUUAUAAAAAUCCUCGCCACUAGAUUGAUAAUUAUUCAAAGAAAUGCUAGCAUAUAUUUCAAAUAAAGAGUGCGGCCACUUCAUCAAAAGCUUUGUAAGAAAAUGAAGACAUCUAGCCACAGUAGGGACCGUUUGGUUGGAUUCUUCACUAUCACAAAUCAAAAAAGAUCUUGUAUUCUUUGCUAGUCCUUUCCAUUGUUUUACUUUAUGUGUAUAGUUAGGAGUCACAAAACUACAGUGUCAUGUAUUACUUGACUCAGGAGCCUUUGCAUGUUUUAUUGACAAAGAAUUUUUUAGAUCACAUCAAAUCUGUAUAGUCAAAAAAUCCAAGCUAUAUAUAUAGAAGUAAUAGAUGGUCGACCUUUUUUCCUUUAGAGAUGUCACUUAUGAGACAAUUCCAUUAGAAAUAACCUUCAACAACUAUAGCAAUGAAGUAGUAUUCAAUGUCAUUAGAUUACCAUCAAGUUUAGUCAUUUUAGGAUUCUCAUGGCUUGAAAAAUACAAUCUAUGGAUAGAUUGAAUAUCAUGAAAGUUAAAAUUUCUUUUAAUAGAUUAUAGAAUUUUUAGAUCUAUAAAAAAGUUUUUAAUAUCUGAUAAGCCAAAAUUAAAAAAAUAUUUAUUUAUUAGAAUUAGAGUAUUUUGUAAAGGCAGCCAAAUAAGGUACUACGUUUGUUGUCUAUACAAAUCUACAAUCAAAACUUAAAGUUGCUACAACAACAAUUCUAGAGGCAUAUAAAGAUUUUGUAGAUGUAUUUCAAAAAAAAAAAUACAGAUAUCUUGCCAAAACAUCAUCUUUACAAUUAUACAAUGGACCUUUAAGAAGAUAUUCAACCAUUGUUCGGAUCCAUCUAUAAUUUAUUUCAAAAAUAGCUUACAACUUUAAAAGAAUACAUUGAUGAAAAUUUGGCUAAGAAUUUUAUUUGACAUUCCGAGUCAUUAGCUAGUGCUUUGAUAUUAUUUGUGAAGAAGAAAGAUAGGUCUUUACGGAUGUGUGUCAAUUAUCGCGGUCUUAAUAAAAUCAUAGUAAAAAAUUGAUAUCUAUUGCUAUUGCUAUCCAGAUUUUUUUAUCAACUUAGCUAAUCAAAGAUCUUUACAAAGAUUGAUCUACGAGGUGCUUAUAAAUUUGUACACAUUAAGGAGAGAGAUGAAUGGAAGACAAUAUUUUGCACCACGUAUAGACAUUUUGAAUACAAUGUCAUGCCUUUUGGAUUUAUCAAUGUACCAACUAUAUUCCAACACUUAAUGAAUGAUAUAUUUUGCAAGCAUCUCAACAAGUUUGUUGUGAUCUAUUUGGAUGAUAUUCUAAUCUUUUCCUAGAAUUUGGAAGUCCACAAAAAACAUAUCUAUCCUAUAUUGAAAAAGUUACAAAGUCUUAAACUAUAUGCAAAACUGGAGAAGUAUAUAUUUCAUGCACCUCAAGUCGAAUUUAUUGGAUAUAUUAUUUCCAAAAAAUGCCUUUUUAUGGAUCUAAAGAAGCUACAAGUAAUCAUCGAUUGGGCAAAACCAAAAACUGUUAGUGAUGUCCAAUACUUUUUUGGAUUUACAAACUUCUACAAGGUUUUUGUUAGGAAUUAUUCCAAGAUUGCUACUCUAUUUAUGUGGUUGACAUACAAGUACAAGUUGGACUAGGGCCCUAAAGUAGAGAAAGCUUUUCAAAGCUUAAAGGAUGCUUUCAUAAUAGCUCCAAUUUUGAUACAUUAAGAUUUCAACAAGUAAUACUUUAUAGAAAUUGAUACCUCAAACUUUGCAUUGGAAGCAAUCUUCUCGCAAUAUGGAGAAGAUGACAAACUUCAUCUAAUUGUAUUUCAUUCUAAAAAUUUUUUAAUGAAAAAAUCUACUAUAAAAUUCACAAGAAAGAGUUGUUUGCUAUUAUAGAUUCUUUUCAAGAAUGGUGCCACUUUCUUCAAGGCACCUUUCAUCAGAUGAUUGUAUAUAUAGAUCAUAAGAAUCUUGAAUACUUCAUAUCAACUUGAGUCUUGAAUUGUUGCAAAGCGCGUUAGAAUAUAUGUUCUUUGAAGAAUAUUUGUUCAUUCUUGAAGGACUAAUUUGCUUAUGUAUUUUUCAAAUAUGCCAUGAUUUUCUUACAAUCGAACAUUUCAGAUUCAAUAAGACCUUAGAACUUUUGUCUAGAGACUUUUGGUGCCUUAAAAUAUGGAAGGAUGUUAAGGAAUUUGUACUAUCAUGUGAUACUUAUUCAAGGUGAAAGAACCCUUGACAUCAGCCAUAUAGACUUUUUCAACCCCUUUCUAUUCGAAAACAACCAUGGUCAUCUAUCUCUAUGGAUUUCAUUACAGAUCUUUGACCAUCAAGUUCAUUUGACACUAUCAUUGUAGUUAUUGAUUGAUUGAUCAAUAUGGCACAUUUUAUAUCUUACAAGAAGUCAAUUACUGCUAAGAAGAUGGCAAGAUUUUUUAUUGAUAAUAUCUAUCAUUACCACGGAUUGCCAAAUAAUAUCUAGAAGGCAUAUUAUAAGAUUCCUAAGUUUGAUAUCAACCUUUCUUUUGUCUUCUAUCUCAAAACUGAUGGCUAAACGGAGCCGGCCAAUUAAAUUCUUGACCAAUAUUUGAGAUGCACUAUCAACUAUAAACUAGACCAUUGGACUUUCUAUUUGUUGUUGGCAGACUUUUCAUAUAACAACACAAUCCAUGCAUCUAUGCAAGAAAUGCCAUUCUAUUCAAAUUAUGGUCAUCAUCUAGAAUUGGAUAUGAUAGAAUUACAAAGUCGAUAAAUCAAAUAACAGAGGAGUUUGCUACGAAAAUGGCCAAACUUCAAGCAAUCAUGAAGACUCAUCUAAAAAGGGCUCAAAAAUGUUAUAAGCUAUUAAUAGAUGAAUUAAAAAAAGAACAUCCUCUAUUCCAAAUUGGUGACAAAGUGUGGCUACUUUGGCAUAUAUAAAAACCAACAUGCUAUGUAAUAAGUUGGACUACUAAAAAUUGGAACCAUUUGUGAUUCAAAAAUAAAUAAACAAUGUAAGUUAUUGCUUGGAGUUACCUUCAUCUAGCCUUUCAUGUUUCAGUUUUGAAAAGGUAUAAAGAAUUAAACAUACCAAGUCAAAGAUAACCACCACCUCCUAUAGUUGAAAUCAAUGAUCAUGUUGAAUUUGAGGUAGAAGAGAUAUUAGAUUUAAGGAUAAGACAUAAAAGGCUUGAAUAUCUGGUUCAUUAGCGUGGAUAUGAUAUCAAUAAUUACAUGUGGAAAUUAGCUGACAAUCUUGUAAAUGCACAAAUGAAGGUUCAAAAGUUCUAUCAAUGACAUCUAUUUAGACAAAAAGUGGCAAAAUGAGGAACAAUAGCUUGAUAAGAUGGCUUCACCAUGAAGAUUCUUAGUUCUUGGUUUCAUAAAGAAGGGAAGGAAGCAACCUUUGAAGAGGCAGUUUUUUCAAAUGUUUAGAACAAUAUAUGUCAAUAGUUUGAGUUCCCAAUCACAACUUGUAUAUAUUCUUUUGAUCUUGUUUAUUUUAUGUGAUAUGAAUAGUCAAGACAUAGAUACCUUGUCGGUCAUAUGAUUUCAACUAAGUAGCUUGUGAAGAUGAUUCUAUGAUGAAGAACUACCUGAACCACAAAGAUGUUGAAGGAUAUCCAGUAAUAGAUCAUCGAUAAUUAUAUUUGAGGUAGAACCUAGCCAUGAAGGAUACCGAGAAGGACUGUUUGUAAGAUAAUUUCAUAACAAAUAUAUCAUAGUUCAUGCUUGGUCACAAGUAGAAGACUUGGGGUACUAUUGAUGGAUAUAAGGGCCUAUGAAAUAUUUGCCUUACAAAAAAAAACUAGAAUAUAUAGUGGAUACUAUGCAACAGAUCUUCAACUUUUUGUAUAUAUAUUGACUUGUAGUAAUAUUACUUCUCUGAGACCUCUAAGCCACAGGAGGAGGUGAUGUUAUGGACAUACAACUGAAGAAGGUUUAAAAAGGUUUGAAGAGAUUUUGAAAAGAUUCUUGUAGAUCCUAGAAGGUUCUAGAAGGUUCUAAUAGGUUUUAAUAAGAUUCCAAAAGAUUGUAGUAGAUUUUAAGAAAGUUCUAGAAGGUGAAAAGAGAUCCUGGAAGGUUCUAAGAGGCUUUAGAUGAUUUAGGAAGUUGCCAAAGAAAGAUCUUAGGCUUACUUUUUUUUUCAAGCCUCUUGAAAAAUUCUCAAGAAGCUUCCUAGGAUCUAGUACAUAUAGGAAUCAAGGCCGAGGCGAUCCUCAGUCUCAACAAUUCACUUCUUGUGGUUUAGUUAGGACCUUCUUGCCUCGUGUUUAGUUAUUGUUCUUAUGUCAAGCUAACUCCAUUUCUUGGCCUUGAAUCCUUAUCUUCUAUACAAUUUCUAAUACUUUUUUAUAAUAUAAAGAAUAAUUUUUUUAAAUCUUAUGAUACUUUUAAAUUCAAGUUUAAGAAUAAUCUAUCUUAUUUUGAAGGAUGAUUAUAUAUUUCAAAUAAUGAAGCACAAUUAUGUGUUCUUUAAGCUUUUCAUGACUUUCUAACAACAAAAAUUUUGGACACAAUAAGACUUUGGAGCUAAUAUUAAUAGAUUUUUGGUGGCUUCAAAUAUAGAAGGUAGUUAAAGAUUUUUUUUAUAAUCAUGUGAUAUUUUUUUAAGAUCAAAAAUUCCUUAUCAUCGAUCUUAUGGACUAUUUUAGCCACUACCUAUAUUGGAACAACCAUGGUCUUUCAUUUCUAUGGAUUUUAUUACAAAUCUUCUAGUCUAAAGUUUGUAUGAUUUUAUAUUUGUAAUAUUAGAUAAUUUUAUCAAGAUGGCACAUUUUGUAUUAUGUACAAAAUGUACUAUAGGUAAAGAAAUGGCUAAGCUUUUUUUUAAGAACAUCUAUGACUAUCAUGGAUUAUGUAAAGAUAUUAUCAGAUAGGAAGACUCAAUUUGUAUUAAGAUUUUAAAAAAUAUUUUUUAAGAUUUUAAUGAUGGAUUUAAAGCUCUUUUUUGUUUUUCAUUCUCAAAUUGAUGGACAAACAGAACAAAUGAAUGAAGUUCUAGAAUAGUAUUUAAAAGGUACCAUUAAUUAUCAUCAUAAUGAUUCGACAACUCUUUUUCCAUUGAUAGAGUUUGAAUACAAUAUUUUGGUAUAUUCUUCUAUCCAACAAAUAUUUUUUUGAAAAAAUUAUGGUUAUUAUCUAUGACUUAAUAUUUUUACUUUUUUAAAGUUGAUAAUUUUGUAGCAAAAGAUUUGACAAAUUGUUUAUCAAAUCUAUAUGCAAAAAUGAAAGAGUAGUUCAAGGAAGUUCUAUAACAACAAAAGAUUAAUACAAAUGCUUAUUGCAAGGAACAACCACAAUUCAACAUAGAUGAUAAGAUAUAGCUAUUUUGUUAUAAUAUUAAGAUUACUUGUCCUUGUAAUAAGUUGGACUAUUCUUGGCUUGAAUCUUUUUCCUAUUUAUGAAUGCACAUGAAAGCCAAUAAAGAAUCUUACAAAUGUAAUAAAAUAGGUUGAAGCUUUUCAUUGACAACAUCCAUAAAAAUUUAAAUAAAAAAUAAUAAUUUUUUAUUAUAAAAAGAAAUAAGAUCCAAGGAAGAUAGCAUUCUAUCUUCUAUUCUUAUUUAUAACUUUUACAUAUUUGUGAUGCUAAAGACAUAGAGAAUCAACAACCAACAGAUUUAAUUCAAGAACUAUUACUUGUUGAUUUAUCAAAUAAGACAUUGCAAUUGUCACAACCUUUAAGAUGACAUAUUCAAGAUGAAGAUCUUUAAGAAUGACAUGUCUUUCCACAAAUAGAUGGCAAGAUACAACUUGUUGAUAUCACAACCUUAGAAGAGAUUUUUAAUGUUUGGUGAUUUUAUUGGAAUUAGAAACAAUUCUUAAUAGUGUUUCAAAUAUUUUAUUUGAAAGGAGUUAAUAUGUAUAGGACAUUGCCACGUAGUUUCUAAUUAAGAGUAUAUAUGGAGACAAGAGUAAAGCUUUCUUUAUUCUUGUCAAUGCCUUUUUAGUCCUUAAUAUUUUUUCAAGACUUCCUAGUCUUCUUAUCUUUAAUAAUAGUUGUGAGUGUCAAUUUCACUUCUCAAUCCAAAUUAUAAGAUGGCCUCAAUUAAAAGUUGCUUGUAAUUGGUGGUGUAAAGUGAAGUAUGUAAUUGGAAAAAAACCAAAGAAGAACAACCACUAUACAAGUAGAAGAAAUGAAAUCAAGUAAUUAGAACAUGUAAAACUAAAUUAGAGUCUGUUCACUAUCUUUUCAUCUAGUAAAAAAUAAAAGUGAAAAGUAAAAAGUAUAUUUUUAUAUAGGAAAUUUUAUUAUCUUUCCAAUGACAUAAGAACCAUGUAAAUCUAAAUUAUUAUGUUAGGAAGUUUAUGAAGUUUUAAAGAUAGGAAGUAAAUAAUUAAAAAGUGAAGUAAAUAUAUUUUAUUGCAUGGAUAACUUGCUUAUUGAUCAAGAGUUCAAGCCUCACCAAGGCUCACAUGUAGUGUAUAAGGGUAUUUAGAGACUCUAUGAGGCCUUAGUCCUAUCUUCCUAUCUAUAUCCAAGGUGCUACAAUCCAUAUAGGACUUGUACACCUCCUUUCCUACAACGGCUAGACUAGUUGUUGGUCCUCCUAUUUUUUACAAGUAAAACUCAUUUUUUUAUAUUUUUGACUUUUUCAUGGUGUUUAAAAAAAUCCUAUUAGCCUGAGAACCUUGAGUGUCCAAUUCUUACUCCAUUUCUUCAUAAUGGCUCUCUAAGUGGUAAAAUACAUUUUUACCAAAGUCUUAGAAAUUACUCUAAAAAUUCCUAAAUAAUUCUAAAUAAAUUCUAAAUAAAUUCUAAAAAUUCCUAUAAUGGUUCUAUAAUACUAUUAUCAGUUUAUGGCUAUAAUUUUCUAUCUUAAUGACUUUUAUAAUAAUAAAUUAAAUUUAAAUCUACUAUAAAUUUUACUUUCUAUAUAACUAACUAAAAAGACAUGAGGUUCUCUUUCAUGCUUCUUCUAAUUACUAACUAACAUUUAUAGUUUUUUUUUUUUAUAAUUAAUACAUAUAGAUAAAAGAUCAACAUAGAUAUUGAUCUUAAUAACUAAUGCUCACUACACAAUAAUAAGUAAAAAUCCUUAACCAACUAAAAAUAUUUACCUCGAAGACUUACUAAGAUUCCAUUUCUUCUCCAUUAAUACUAUUCUCUUUCAUUUAACAUCAUCUAAGCACAUCUUUACCUAUAAUGUCUUUCAUGAAUCAUAUGAACAAACUAUUUUGAGACCUUUUGGAUAAGUAUGUAAUUAUUUUCAUCAAUUAUAUCCUAGUCUAUAAUAAAAUCCUUAAAAAAAUAAGCAAUAUAUAAGGAAAGUAUUGCAUCAACUACGAGAUAGUCACUUCUAUUGCAAAAAAUCAAAGUAUGAAGUUUGGAAGCUGGAAGUCAUCUUUUUAGGACAUCUAGGGCAUAAGAAGUCUCUAAAAUAAAUCUCAAGGACAUAGUUUUGGAUAGAUAUGGAUUAUGAUAUUUGAGCUUUUGUGUGCUCUUGCAAGUCAUGUUAACAUAAAAAGUAUGCAAUGUAAUAUUUUCUAGGCUAUUGCAACCAAUUCCACUACCUACAACAUGUUGGAAGCAAGUGACCAUAGACCUCAUUACAUGUUUGCCACAAAUGCCUCAUAUUACACUGUGGUUGCUAUCUUUGUAGAUCAAAUUUUGAAACAACUUCAUUUAAUUGUGAUAUAAUUUGAUAUUGAUGCCCUAGCACUUGCAUGAAUCUUCUUUGAUACUAUCUUUCAUCACCAUGGAUUAUCUUAUGUCAUCAUUUUAGAUUGGAAUCUGUAUUUUAUGAAGAAUUUUUAGCAGGCCUUACUCAAGCCAUUGGAUAUACGACUUACUAUAUCUACAACUUUCUAUUCUCAAACAGAUAGACAAAUAGAGCAUAAAAAUUGGAUCUUAGAAGAUAUGCUAUAAGAAUUUGUGGUGAUUCACAAUAAUGAAUGGAAUGAAUAUUUGAUGCCUUUGGAGUUUAUUUACAAUGAUAAUAUUCAAGCAAGUACUGAUUAUUCACCAUCAUUUUUUAACCUCACUUAGCAUCCAAUUAUGCUAGCAAUUCUCUAUCAUAUCAUCAACACUAGCAAUCUUAUAAGGAGAGAGUUUAUAUAAUAGCUUAUAAUUGCCUUGCAAGAAGCACUAUAUUGGUUUUUUUAUUGCUUAGAAUCGAAAGAAACAAUAUGUAGAUAACCAUCAAUGUCAUAAUGUAAUACAAUUAUAUGGUGAAGAUAUAAUCAAAAAUAAAAAUUUAAUUAAUAUUUAAUUAUCUUAGUUCAAUAAUAAUUCAAGAUAUUUAAACAUGGCUUUUAUAAAAGUCUCUUAGUUUAUUUUUUUUUUCUUAAUAGUUAGUAGGUUAAAGGUUGGUUAGUAAUUUUACCUUCUAGGCUGUAGAGACUCUUUUAUUGCCUUAGAACGACCAUAAAUUGAUAAAAUCAAGUUAAAAGACAUAAAUAAUUAGCAUGAUUGUUACUAGGAUUAAAUUGAACAUAGGAUUGGACUAAAAAAUCUCUAUGAUAGAUUAGAUUGAUACUCAAGGGUCGACCAUUUGUUAGAUAGGGUGAUAAUCAGACCUCUAUCCACUAAAACGAUGACCUAGGGCUAAAUAGGGUUUUAUUUGAAGAUCAAAGAUUAGAGUUCAAGAGAUAGCUUAUAGCUUAUUUCAAAGACAUAAGGCUUUUUUUGUAGGAUUUAUUUAGACUUAGCAAUUGUUGUUCAAAUCAAGGAUUAUAUUGACAACAUGGAAUUUAUGCAAUACAAAUAGGGCUAGCAUUCUCAGCUAGUUCAUAAAUUUGAUGUCACAUCUAUAGUUCAAAAUUUGAAAGUGCUUGAUUAAGUAGGUGUGCUAAAUGUAUGUAAAAAUUUACAAAAAUCUAACAAUGGGUUUGAAAGAUAUUUGGAUUUUGAUACAAGAAGGUAUCAAAAAUUAGAAGUUUGAGGUUGGAUAGAAUUUUUAUGAUAUUUGAAGAUCUACUAAUUGGAUCAAAGUAAAAUUUUGCAUGAUAUUAGAAGACUUAAAGAUCAAGCUAUAUACCAAUCUUGAAUUGAAGUUAAUAGUUGGAGAAGGAAAAAUUAGUGUUAGAACAUUUGUAUCAACUUUCAAGUUGGCCGCCAAGUAACAUUAGUGUGGUUUUUAGAUAUUUUUUCACAAUUUAUAAGUUGGAUUGGAAUGAAUUCUUUUUGAGCACAUAGAAGACUUAAAGUGGCAUUUGUGUGCAAAAUUUUGCUCUAAGUGGACUAUUAGAUUAGAAGCUAUUGCUAAAGCUUAUUAAUUAGAGUUAAAGUUUGUAAAGAAAAUUUGAAAUUGCCUAAUUAUGAAAGUAACAAGGCAAUUGGAGUUUAUGUAUGGUUGAAAUUAUUAAAAAUAUUCUUUUUUAAUAAUUUGUAUUAGAUUUAAGCACUUUUAAAUUAAAAUUCGAAUUGCAUUCUUCUAAUAAAGAUGAAACAUAUUAAAAUUCUUAGAUACUUAUAAAAUAUAAUUCCAUCUUCUACAAUGAGAUGUCCAAUGCAUUUUCAAACAAGAUGACAUAUAAUACAAUACCAACAACAUAAGACCUUUUGGAAGGGUGACCAAAUAUUAUUCUCUAAUGUCAAUUUUUUACUUACUACAUCAAUCCAAGUCCAUAAGUUGACACUUUAGUGGCUUAGACCUUUCUACAUUUUUAUAGUGAUUUUUGAUAUUGCAUAUCAUCUCAAGCUUUUGCCAUAUAUUUAGGUCCAUCUAGUCUUUCAUAUUUUGUAGCGCAAGGAGUUUCAUACUCAAUCAAGGCACUUUUUAAACUAAUACUAACCACCACUACCACUAAUUUUAAUUAAUGACUAAUAAGAAUAUGAAAUAGAUAACAUUUUGGAGCAUUGCUAUGUUUGUUGUGGCAAUGGACAUUUGCAACUUUAAUACAAGGUUUUUUGAAAAGGCUACUCCAUCCAUGAUAUAAUGUGAAAACUUGUAUAGAACCUCAUUCAUUGUCAAGAAACAAUCUAGAGGUACCAUCAAAAGCAAAAAGAAGAUGUUCCGCAUUACUAAAGAAGGAUUAACUAUAAUGGGGCAUGGAUAAGAUAAUUAUAUUAUUAACAUGUAGAAAUAGGUAAUUAGGGCCAUUUUUUAGAAGUUUUUAGAAGUUUUUAGAAUUGGUGGCAAGUUGAUGGUUUAUGUGGGAUCUACCAUAGAACAUCCUAAAAGAACUAAAGGCAGUUACUGAAAUGGAGUCUACGAUAAAGAAUAUUUUAGAAAGUUCCAAGAUGGUUAGAAAAAAUAUAAAUAAGAUUGAUAAAGGCCAUUUAGUGCAUUCAAUGUGAUAUAACUUUGGUUCUUUUCUCUCAGUAAAGUUUGAUUUGUAUUUUCUAUUUUUAUUUAUUCUAUUUUCUUUUGUUUUCUUUUGUCUUUUAUGUUCUAUUUUGUUUAGUUGUAUUUAGUUUUGUUUUAUUCUAUUUUAUCCUACUUUGUAAUAGAAAUUAUGUUGCUAUAGACUAAAUGGAUUUUAGAUCUUUAAAAGAAUUUAGUGGAUGAUGACUGUAGUUUUAAUAGAAUGACAUUUACUAUAUAGAUACAUGGAUUGUAUUGUUAUAUGCAAACUUUGUCAACAACAAGUAAGAAGUUUAAUUGUCUUAUUGAUAGUUGAUGGUGCACCUCAAAAAUUGCUCAAGAAUUUGGUUGACCUGCUUUGUUUGGCCAUCAGUUUGAGGGUGGAAGGCAGAGAAAAGGUUGAUAUCAAUCUUAAGAAUCUUAAAGAAAGCCUUCCAAAACCUUGAUACAAAUUAUGGCCCACAAUCCAAUUUAAUAUCAUUUGGUAACCUAAGAUAAUGACAUACAUUAUUAAUAAAGAGUCUUGCCAUCUCUUCAUUAGUAAUUGACUUCUUGCAAGGUAUAAAAUGUGCCAACUUGAUCAAUUGAUCAACAACUACAAAGAUAGUGCCAAAUGAGCUUGAUGGUAGAAGAUAUAUAAUGAAAUCCAUAGAAAUAAAUGACCAUAGUUGUCUUGAAAUAGGAAGGGAUUGAAGAAGUCCAUGUAGCCGAUGUCAAGGGUUCUUUGACCUUAAACAAGUAUCACAUGAUAGUAAAUUUUUUUUAACGUCCUUCCAUAUUUUAGGCUACCAAAAAUCUCUAGAUAGAAGUUCUAAGGUUAUAUUGAAUCUGAAAUGUCCGACUACAGGGAAGUCAUGGAGUAUUUGAAGAAUGUGCAUGCGAGUUGGCCUUCAAGAAUGAACAAACAUUCUUCAAAUAACAAGAGGUUGUCUUCAUACUUGAAUUUAAAAGACUCUUCAAGAAGGUUAUUAGUAAGACACUUGAUAUUAAGAACAAGAGGGUCCAUAUUUGAGGCUUUACUAACCUGAUUAAGAAAUGAUAAAUCCAUAGGCAUUGAUAUAUUGGUUGCUUGAAGAUAAAAUUACUCAGGCUUUAAUAACAUUGCCCGCUGUUGAUCAUAUGCUACCUCGCCUCCUUUUGGUUCAAGGUAGGAACAUCAUGAUAAUACAUCUGAUAAUCUUUCUUAGUUCCCGAGUUGAUAUGUGAUACAAAAGCCAAAUCAUAAUAAAGAUAUAUUUCAAUGUACUUGAUAAUGAUUUAAGACUCGGGCUGACAUGAAGUAUUCAAGAUUCUUAUGAUCUAUAUAUAUAGUCACUUGAUGAAAGGUCCCUUCAUAAAAGUGGCACUAUUCUUAAAAAGAAUCCACGAUAUCAAGGAAUUUUAUUAUUGUGGAUUUUGUAGUUAAUUUCUGAUAUUAAGAAUUCUUUAGAAUGGAAUGCAAUUAGAUGAAGUUUGUCACCUUCUCCAUAUUGUGACAAGAGUGCUGUCAAUACAAAGUUUGAAGUAUUGGUCUUUAUAAAAUAGAGCUUGUUGAAAUUUGAAUGUAUCAAAAUUUGAGGUGUUGUAAAAGCAUGUUUUAAGCUUUGAAAAGCUUUCUUUGCUUUAGAGCCCUAGUCCAACUUGUCCUUGCAUGUCAACCACAUAAAUGGAGCAGUGAUCUUAGAGUAAUUUCUAGCAAAAAUCUUAUAGAAGUUUAUAAAUACAAGAAAGUAUUGGACAUCACUUACAAUUUUUGGUUUUGCUCAAUCGAUGAUUGCUUGUACCUUCUUUAGAUCCAUAAAAAGGAUUUUCUUGGAAAUAAUAUAUCCAACAAAUUUGACUUGAGGUCCAUGAAAUAUACACUUCUUCAAUUUUAUAUAUAGCUCAACACUUUGUAGCUUUUUCAGUAUAAGGCGGACAUGUUUUUUGUGGUCUUCCAGAUUCUUGGAAAAGAUUACAAUAUCAUCCAAAUAGAUUACAACAAAGAUGUUGAUAUACUCGCAAAUUAUGUUAUUGAUUAAAUGUUGGAAUAUGGCUGAUGCACUGGUAAGUCCAAAAGGCAUGACAUUGUAUUCAAAAUGUCCAUACGUGGUGUAAAAUGCUGUCUUCUAUUCAUCUCUUUUUUUAAUGCAUAUGAAGUUAUAAGUGCCUCAUAGAUCAAUCUUUGUAAAUUUCUUUGCUUGGCUAAGUUGAUCAAGAAGUCUAGAUAUUAGUAGCAAUGGAUAUCAAUUUUUUACUAUAAUUUUAUUAAGAUUGUAAUAAUCGAUACACAUUCAUAAAGAUCCAUCUUUUUUCUUCAUAAAUAAUAUCAAAGCACGAGCUAGAAACUUGGAAUGUCAAGUAAAGUUUUUAAUUAGAUUUUUUUCAAUGUACUCUUUUAAAGUUGCAAGCUCAUUUUGGAAUAAAUUGUAGAUGGGUUUGAAUGAUGGUUGAGCACCUUCUUGAAGGUCAAUCGCAUAAUUGUAAAGGCGAUGCUUUGAUAGGAUAUGUACAUUUUUCUUUUCAAAUACAUGUGCAAAAUCCUUAUACACCUUUAGAAUUGUUGUUGUAGCAACCAUAGGUUCUGAUGGUGGAUUUGCAUAAACAGCAAAUGUAGUACCUUGUUUGGCCGCCCUCACAAAUAUUCUAGCUCUAAUAAAUAAAUAUUAUUUAAGUUUUGGCUUGUCGGGUGUUAGAAGCUUUUUUUUUAUAGAUUUGUGGGUUCUAUGAUCUAUUAGAAGAAAUUCUAACUUUUGGGAUACUCAAUCUAUCCGUAGAUUGUAUUUUUCAAGCCAUGAGAGUCCUAAAAUGACUAGACUUGAUGGUGACCUAAUUACGUUGAAUACUACUUAGUUGCUAUGAUUAUCAAAGAUUAUUUUUAAUCAAAUUGUUUUAUGAGUGAUAUUUUGAGAGAAUAAAGGUCAACCAUCUAUUACUUCUAUAUGCACGACUUUGGAUUUUUGACCAUAUAGAUUUUGUGUGAUCUAAAAAAUUCUUUGUCAAUAAAACAUGCAAAGGCUCUCAACUCAAGUAAUGCAUGACAUUCUAGUUUUUGACUCCUAAUCAUAUAGGUAUAGUAAAACAAUGACAAGGGCUGGCAAAGAAUAUAAGACCUUUUUUGAUUUGUGAUAGUGAAGAAUGGAGCUACAUGAUCCUUACUAUGGUUGGACGUCCUUAUUUUCCUGCAAUGCUUUUGAUAAUGCAGUUGCACUCUUCAUUCGAUAUAUAUGCUAGUGUUUUUAUGUACAAUUAUUAAUCUUAUGGCCAAAUUUUCUACAAUAUAAGCAUAAGCCAAGUUCCUUUUGAUAUUUUUUUUCUUGCUCAAAAAGAGGUUUCAAGUGAACUACAUUAAUCUACAUAUCUUCUGCUUCUACAUGCUUAUUAGAAUUAGAUGGUGAAGAAGCUAUAGAAUAAUUGGUAUAUACAUGUGGCAUAAUUAAAGAAUAUUUAUUUUAUCAUUGUUGAAAUAAACGAUUAUUCCACUUUAUAGCUUGAUUAAUGGCUUCAUUGAGUGUUAGAAGAUCUGGCAUAAAUAACAAUAAGUCCUUGGCAUCAUCUCUUAAUCUCUAAUGAAAUUGGCUUAUCGUUACAUCUUCUCUCUAAUUUAUAUCAUAUGCUAAUUGUCAAAAAUGUGAUGCAUACGUUGAUGCAGAAUACGUUCUUUGUCAAAGGCUUCAAAUUUUAGUUAUUGAAGAAUGAAUCUUAUCAUGUUCACCAAAUGCUUUUGCAAAUGUUGCUAAAAAUGCUUCAAAAUUAUGCAAUAUAGGAGAAUUCUUUUCAGAUAAUGGAGUGAGCAACGAUAAAGCUUGACUUAAUAACAAAGUUCCAACCAAACCAACAAGAGAUACUUGAGUAGAAUAUUGUUGAGGUUGAAGCAAGGUGAUUAGUCGUACUUGGUUUACAAAGCCAUGAAAUUUUGAGCGGGUGCCAUUGAACUUUUUUGGAAGACUGAUCCUUAGUUCUUUUGCUAUUAUUGUUAUCAAAUCAUUACCUUGAGUGGAUAUGUGAGCAUAAUUAAAAGCUUCAAUGGUUAGUUACAGUUUUUUUUGUAAUUUUUAACAUAUUUUUAUUAAUUUUAAUGCUAAUAUAACUAAUCAAUAGAUCCAAAUUAGUUUUUUAGUUAAUUAUUACUUUGAUCAUAUCUUUAGAUUGUUAAUUAAAUAGAUAAUUUUAAUUAGUAGAUUGAUUGACUAUUUUAAAACUUAAAAAAAAAAUAGUAAAUUUAGAAGGUCUAUGAUUUUGUUUUCUUGAAUUACUUUAAAUCUUUUUUUUAGUAAUAAAAUUAUAAUUUUAGUAGAAUUUCUCUUUUAAUUCUUAGAAAUUAUAUCUUAAAUUAAUCCACAAUCUUGAUUUUCAAUCCAAAAGCUAAUUUCUAAUUUGACUAUGGUUAAAAAGUCCCUUAAACCUAAUUGCUUUAUCUUUUUAAUUAAUUUUAAAGAUUUUUAAGCUUAAAUUUUAUUUUAUAAUUUAAUUGGAUUAAAAAUAUAAAUUCUAAUUGUUAAAUUAAUGAUAAUCUUAAAAAGGUGGAGACAAGCUAAAUGUUUGGUGGAGUUUCCUCUCAUAGUGAUUUUAAUCACUACUUGAAGUUGAAAAAAAAGAAAAAUUGGAAAAAAUCACAAAUUCAAGGCCAAUUUGCAAUUAGGUUUUGGAUUUGUCAAGAGUUCAUGCUUAAGGGAGUUUAAAUUGAAGAAUGGUGACUAUGAAGGCUUUGAUGGCAAGAACCCUUGCUGAUUUCCAAAUAUGUUAAUUAGAAUUAGAACUGUAGUUAAAAUUUAUAACUAAAUUAGUAAAUUAAUUAAUUCUUAUGCUUUAGAACUUAGAUUUGGGCUUGUGAAUAGUUGAUCUUUAGAUAAAAAUAUGUUUUAGAGACAUUUGUGGUGUUAGUUUCACCAAAAAGAUGUUAGUUUUUGAGUUCUAGGCAUUUCUAGCAUUAAAAUCGGGUUUGGGCUAAGAGUUAUUGAGGACCCUUGAUCUUAGUUAGAGAUUUUCCAAUUUUGAUGGUGGAGAUGUGUCGGCCACUUUUGGACCUCCUUCCACCUGGUUAAGAGGGCUUAGGUGACUAAGCUCCCUUUCUCUCUCCAUCUUCUUGUGGCGAAGCCAUAGCAAAAUAUUCCCCCAUCUUGUGAAUACAAAUCUUCUUCUUUAAACUUAUAUGGCCUCAGUUUUAACUCGCUCAGUCUAUUUCUUUUUAUUUUCUACCUGUAAAACUUUGUGAACAGAUUCUACUCACCUUAAGCUUUGUAACGGCAUAACGCACGCCUGAUUUGAAGUUUUGAUGAAUUUUUGGCGAGUUUUCAAGAUGGCAGGGGUCUACUACCUUGGUAGUGUAGGAGCAUUAGUUUAAAAAAUCUAUAACUCGGUGACCUGUGACUCAACUUUGAUAUGGAUUAUUGAAAUGAAUGCACUCUAAAGCUUAGUUUAUUAAAAAAAUUAAAUCACUGAUUCUUGAUCUAUAUCAAAUUUUUAAUGAAUUUUUAAAUAUGAAGUGAUCUACUACCUUGGCAGUCUUGAACAACCAGUUUUGAAAAAUUGUAUCUUAGUACUUACUUAAAUUUUUUUGGCUAGGAUUUGUUGAACAAGUAACUCUACUACGUGUGGUUUUAGGAAAAAUUAUACUUGUCAAUUUUAAACUAUUAAUUUAUUUUUAGUGAAUUUUUAAGUAGAAGAGGGUCUGCUGCCUAGGCAGUUCAAGUAGCCUUGCUUCGAAAACACACAUCUCGAAUGUUAAACCUUGGAUCACCAUGAAAUUUGGUAGAUAGGAGCAACUCUAUGUCAACCUCAACCACAAAAAGUUUCAAGUACAUAGGAGCUGUGUAUAAUUGCUAGAAAUUUUUUGAAUGACAAGGGAUCUGCUGCCCUCAACUUGACAUACUCUAAGUAAGUUUUUCUUCCCUAAUCACCGUCUAAUCACAUCCCUUAGCACCUAAAUUGCUAUAUUAUCAUUCCUUUGUCUUAUUACCAUCAAUUAAUAUUAUUUAAUAAUUUCAAAGGACUUUUAUUUCACUUGGAAAUUAAUCUUAAAUUCUUAUCUUUCCAUCCAUUUUUAUCCUUAAGGAUAAUAUAAAAAUAAAUAAAUAAAUAAAUAAAAAUUAAUCUAAUCUUUUAAUUUUUUCUUUUUUUUUUAACUUUAAUCUUUUAACUUUAAAUUUUAACCUUCAACUUUAAACUUUUACUUUUAUUACUUUUAAACUUUCACUUAAAUUUUAAUUAUUAAUUCUAACUUAAAUUUUAAUUUAUUUUUUUUAUUUUAUUUUAUUUAUUUUGAUUUUUUAAUUUUCCAACUUUCAUCUUUUAUCUUAAAAAAGGAAAAUCUUAAAAUCAUGUUAGUGCUGAACUUAAAUAUUCAAGGCUGUUUAUUACUGAAUUUCUAAUUCUAGAUGAAGUUUUGUCAUAAAAACUUCAUCUGUAGAUAACUUCCUAUAUAGAACUCCGAUUUACAUGAUUGAUACUACCUUGGAAAGCCUUAAACUAGCACUUUGGCAUGAUAUUCAUUAUUUUUAUUUUAUUUUAUUUCAAUUCAUAAUUUUCAGAAUUUAAGUUUGAUAGAAUAAGUCUUGGAAGGCACUUAACUAAAUGAACUAUAAAUGCUAAAAAUUAAAUCAUAAAAAAGUGUAACUAACUUUUUGUAUUGUUGGAUUAAUCUUGAUUAUUACCUCAUUUUGGUUUUUCUAUCUUAUAGAUGAUUUGCAUUUCCACAUUAAUUAGUAUUGGGCUCUGAUGUAAGUUAUGAUCUAAUUAAAUCAAAUUUAAGUGAGAGGAGAAAAAUCCACUUACAGAAUAUACCUCCUAUAUUUGAAGUACUCAUAGUUGUUUGAGGAUUUGGAACCUCUAUUGCGAUUUGAUGAUGUAGUUGAGGUGCUUCGGCUCCUUGACCAUUAUGUAUGGUUAUAUAUAAUUUUCUAUUCUAUUUUGAAAAAGUCUUUGUUUUGAUACUCAAUGCUUCAAGAGCAUUAAUAAUAGAAUCUAACUUGAUUUCUUUAGGGUCUGUCAUAUUCACUUUUCUACCUUUUGCCAUAGAAAACACAUGCCUUCAAAGGAAAAAAAAUAUGAUCUAUAGAAUUAAAAAAAAAAAAAAUAUUAAAAAAAUAAUAAUAUUAGUCUAAGAGAAGAUAAUCUGUAACCUCUAGAAUACUAUAGUAUUUUUAAAAAGAGGGAUAAUCCAUUCUCUACCAAAAAAGACCAAGCUUCUAAUAUUACUUUAUUGCAGUCUCGACAAACUAUUAAAAACCAUAUAAAAGACAAGGAUUUCAGAUCAAGAAAUGGAGUUAGUUUGACAUUAUAACAAGAAUUGGAUACAAAGCAAGAAGAUCUUAGCUAAACCAUAAGAAGUGAGUUGUUAAAACUGAGGAUCUCUUCAGCUUCGACUCAUAUAUAUACUAGGUCCUAGGAAGCUUCUUAAGAAGUUUCUAUGAAGCUUGGAAACAAAACAAGCCUAAGAUCCUUCUUUGGCAACUUCUUAAAUCAUCGAAAGCCUCCUAUAACCUUUUAGGAAUUCCUAUGACCUUCUAGAACUUUCUUAGAAUCUAUUGGAAAUUUUUAGAACCUUCUUAGAAUCCAUUAGAAUCUUUUAGAAUCCUCUAGAAUCUUCUAAAAUCUCCUAGAACUUUUUGGAGCCUUCUUAGAUUUUAUAAGAAUCUUUUAGAACCUUUUAGAACCUUCUAAAACCUUCUAGAAACUUCUUCAGUGAUAUUUCCAUGAGAGAGAUAGUACCCCAUUGAGAGUUGUGGAUGAUUUGGAGACCAAACAUAAGGUAUUAGGUGAGUUUCAUGAUACAAUGUAGGCUGGGCAUAGAAGAAUUUGGGCUACCUACACCAAAAUCAAGGAACGUUAUUGAUAGAAGGACUUAUACAAGGAUAUAGAGGAGUUUUUAAGCUCUUAUAAAGAGUGCCAAUUGCAAUGUAAGGUAAAGUAUAGAGAUGGUUUAUGGCUUAUCUAUCUACUUGCCAUGUAUUUUUAAUCAAUGAUUGAUUUGGUUUUCAUGCCAAUGGGACUUUGGAAUAUGAAGUAUUUAAUUUUGGCAAGAAAAAAACUCUCCAAUUAUGUAAAAAGAAGGUAUUGAGAUCAAAGUCUACAGAGGUAGUAUAUUGAUUUAUUUUGGAAGAUAUUAUAUAUCAUUAUAGGAGUAUUGUGAAAAUAAAAGUAGAUCAGAGUGAGCUUAACAUGCGAGAGACACGUGAUUUUUUCAAAAGGUAUAAAAUGCAAUUAAAAUAGAACAACUCCUACAACUCCAAAGCUAAUGGUAAGAAUAAAAGAGGAUACAAUGCAAUCAUUCAAGCUUUGGUCAAAUCAUGUAGGAAUCAAGCAAGGUUAUAGCCAAGGCUUUUGUUAUUUGCUUUAUGGGCAAAUAGGACUACUCAUAGCAUAGUCACUAGCUAUAUGCUAAUGGAGUUGAUGUUGGGACAAAAGUCUUUAAUAUUUGUAGAGAAGUCUAUUCUUUCUUGGUUGUUUUUGUCUAAAGAAGAUGGCAUUAACAAGGAAAAAUUGUUGGAACUUUAAAUUCACUAACUAGAAAGAUUGUCAAAGGAUUAUUAAGUUGCUAUGAAGAAGCUUAAGAUGACAAGGUUACAUAACAAAAAGAGGUUUGUUAAAAUUUAUUAAUUGAGUCCUAAGCCAAUUAAAGUAAGUAAUUAGAUUUUGAUUUAUAAUAGUAGUUUGAUGUACCAACAUUCUACUCUUUGUAAAUUUACACGAUAUUGGUUUAGAUCCUAUGUAGUACUUGAAGUAUAUAAUAAUGUAACUUAUUCUCUUCAAGAAUUAGAUAGAAUACCAUUGAAGAUUAGAAUUACAAGAAAGCAAAUUAAAGUCUUUAAGCAAUGAAAUAAAAUGAAUUAUAUAGAGGAUUUAGAGGCUGUUGAGCUUCAACAUUUUAAUCAAUGAUUCAAAAAAGAUACAACUCAAAAUGACUUUGAUUUUGAUAAUGGUGGUUUUGUGGUUUAAUACUUUGACACAUAUCAAAGUAUGUACAAAUUUAGAAGAGAUGAGUGUUGUGAUGUAUUUAAUUUAAACAUAUCAAAGUUAUUUUGAAAGAAAGUAGAUCUAAUUGUGAACUUUUCAAUAAGAUAUAGCAUGUUAAAAAUAGAGAUGUGAAGAGGGAGAUUUAAGCAAAUUUGUGAAAAGGAGAUUAUUAGAGAUUUUGGGAAGAAAGAUUCAACAUUGAUUUGGAUUUUUCUAUGCCACUUCUUGUAUUUUUAUUUUUUUGCAUUUAUAUUUGGAAAAAAACUAGAUCUAAUUGUGAGCUUUUCAAUAAGCUAUAGUACAUAAAAAUAGAGCUUUGAUAAAGGAAAUCUAAACAAAUUUAUAGGAAGAGGUUGUUAGAAUUUUUGGACAAUAAAUUUCAAGAUUGGAUUUAAGUUUUCUAUACCAUUUAGUAAAUUAUAGAUAUUUUAGUGAAUAGAGGUUUGAAUUUGAGAUUAGAUUUAGGAAUUGGAUGCAUCCUAGUACAAGAAAGAAAUUAAUAUAUAAAUUAUAUCUAAUCUUUGAGCUAUCUUUUAUAUUUGAUUUUGUUUGGGACAACAGUGUGCCUUCUUAUAAGCUACUUGUGAUCAAAGACCUUGUGUUUUCUUGAGGAGGCUUGCCUUCUUGAAAAUGCAUUAAUUUUUUUUUUCAUUCUUGAGCUUCUUUUAGUUAUGCCUUUAUUAUUGUAUAUAGCUUUAAAAAAUAUUUUUUUAAAUCUUUAAUUAAAGAAUUGUCAACUUUUAAAAAAUAAAAAAAUAUCAAGUCAUAGAUGAUAAUCAUAAUUGGUAAAAAAAGUAUUUAUUGAGUAGAAGAAUGUAUCAUGUUAUUGUAAAAUAAAUUUACAAAUGAUAAAAGAGUUAUCUAAUCAACUUAUUGGUAAUUGAUGAUAUACCUCAAAUUCUAUUCAAAAACUUGAUUCACUUGUUAUAUUUGGCCAUUAGCUUGAAGUUCAAAAGCCAAAGAUAGUUUUAAAUCAAUCUUUAGAAUCUCAAAAAGAAUUUUCUAAAAUCUUAAUUCUUUUAUUUAAUAUUCUUUAAUAAUCCAUAAUAAUAAUAGAUAUUGUCAAAGAAAUAUUUAGUUUUUUCUUUACUUAUAAUAGAUUUUAUACAUGAUAUAAAAUAUACUAUCUUGAUAAAUUGAUCUAUUAUUACAAAUAUAAAAUAAAAAGAAUCUAAGAUUGAAAUAUUUAUUAUAAAUUCUAUAGAAACAAAAGACCAUAGUUAUUUUGGAAUAGGUAAUGGUUGAAAAAGUCUAUAGGAUUGAUGAUAAGGAGUUUUUGAUCUUGAAUAAAUGUUACAUUUUUGUACAAAGACUUUAAUUUCUUUUUACAUUUGAGGCCACUAGAAAUCUCUAGAUAUUAGCUCUAAAGUUUUGUUGUAUCCGAGAUGUUUAAUUGUUGGAAAGUUUUGAUGAAUUUGAAGGACCAAUAAUCAUGAUUUACCUUUUAAAAUAUAUAAUUAUCUAUCAAAAUAAAAUAGAUUAUUUUUGAAUGAAAAUUUAAAAGUAUCUUGAGACUAAGAAGAACCAUUCCUAAUAUCAUGAAUAAGAAGAUCAAUGGAUAUAUUCGAUUGAACUUUCUUGACAAUAAUUAAAUCAAUAAUUAAUAUAAAUUUCAUUUCUCAAAGAUGGAAAUGCUCUAGCUAUAAGAAAAUCAUUUUUUAUUGAUUAUAAGAUGCAUUUCUUUCUUUUGGUGCAAGAUAAUAACAUUUAGAAAGAAAUUUUGAUAAACCUUCUUAUUUUUUGGAUGAUAAGUGAUCUUUAAAUCAAAUCUUGAUAAAAAUAUGCUUUAACAGGCUUAAAAAUGAUUUAGAAUACAUACCAAUAUAAAGUAUUCGAGGUUCUUAUGAUCCAUAUAUAUAGUUAUUAGAUUGAAAGUGCCUAUUGUGAAUGUAGAAAAUAUUUUUUUGGCUUGAUUUGUACCUCUCCAACCAAAUCUUUGUUCUUGGCAUCUUUUAAAGAAUUGAUUAUUAUAUGUAAUGGCUUAAGUAAUAAAUUGCUUUAAUAAGCUUACUCUUAGCAUUAUCAAUAAUAAACCUUUAACGCUAUCUUUUAAACCAUAUCAAAAUUGAUUAAUAAGGUUUAUCAUUCCAAUCUAUAUCACAAGUAAAAUUUUAGAAUUCUAUAGCAUAUAUGGUAGUUGAAUAUGAUUCUUAUUAUAAAGUUAAAAAUUUGAUCUAUGCCAUCUUUUUUCAAUUAUUUUCUCAAAUUGUGGCUAUAAAAACUUCUAAAAAUGAAUUCAAAUCAUAAAAAAGAUACAAAUAUUUUUCUAUUAAAGAUAAAAAUUAAAAAAAAUUACUUCCAAAAAAAAGUGCAUUUAUAAAUCCAACUUGAGUAAAUCUAUUAAUGUAUUUAAAAUGAUGCAACUUUAAAUAGAACUUUAUUUAUUCUAAAAAUCUUUAAAAUUUUUAUCUUAUUCCAUCAAAAUUCUUGAGCAUAUUUAUCUUUAUUUCUUUCUUACUUGGAGUAGUAAUACUUCUUAGAUUUAGUUUUAAACUUGAUCUACAUACUUCUUUCAAUUACAAAACUUCUUCAUGUAGAUUUUAAACUUUGUUAUUGAUUUCUUCGAUAAGCAUGAAAAUACUACCUUCAUACUUAAUAUUAGAGAUACAUGAAAUUUCUACCCUCAAAGUGUUAAUAAGCUUGUAAAGAUUUGAAAUGGUUGCAGAUCUAUUUUUACUUAUGCCAAGAGUUGCAUCUAUAAUUUAUUUUUUGUAAAUAAUUAAAAUUUAAAAAAAAAUCAAACUAAAAGAAGAUAAUCCAUAAUCUCUAAUAUCAAAUAGAAGUUUUGACAAAGAAAGAUAGUCUAUUCUUAUUUUAAAAUAAAAUCAAUAUUAAAAAAUUAAAAGUAAAUGUAAAGAUGAAUAAACUAGAAUGUUCAAAAAGAAAUAAUAGAAGUGAAAUAAUUUACUUACUUCAAACACAAUAUAAAGACAACAAGUUAGCACUCUCAUCAAAUUGUUAAAGAUAUGAAUCUUAAAUAAAAAAAAAUAUCAAUACAUUCAUAUGUCACUUGAAGAGACUAGAAAAUCAUUCUAAGAUAGUAAUAUAUUAAACUAGAAUGACUAUUACCAAAGACAAGAAGAGUAGAAAGUCUUGAAAUAAAACUAAAGAUUAGAUAGGUGUUGAGAAGAAUGAAGAAGGCUUCAUUCUUGCUUCUAUAUAUGUUAUCCAACUAUGAGAUAUAUGACAAUGUUUUUUUUAUAGACAUCUAAUAAGAAGAUUUUAGAAAUAUUUUUAAAAUAUUUUAUUAGAUUUUAAAAGAUUUUAUUAGAUUUUAAAAUAUUUUAAAAUAUUAUUAAAAUAUUUUAAUAAGAUGAUUUGAAAAAAUUAAAAUAUUCUAAUAAAAUAUUUUUAAAAAUAUUAAAAUAUUUUAAAAUAUUUUAGAAGGUUCUUAAAAUAUUUUAAUAAAAUUUUAUAAUUUUUUUGGAGAGUUAAAAAAAUUGUCUAAGAAGCUUUUUGGUAUUGAUUCAUCUUCAAACAAUACAAUAACUUCUUGAGAAGCUACUUAAGGUUGCUUCAUUUUCAAGCAAUAUAAAAGCUUCAUAAGAAGCUUUUUAAGGUUGCUUUAUCUUCAAGCAAAAUGAAUUUUUUUUAAAAAGCUUCCUAAGAUUGCUUCAUCUUCAAGGAACAUAAAAACUUCACAAAAAACUUUCUAAGAUUUCUUUGUUUUUAAGCAACAUGGUAAUUUUUUGAAAAGCUUCCUAAUAUCAAGUAUAUAUUAGAGUCAAGGCUCAAGAGAUACUUAGUUUAAACAACACAUCUUUUAAAGCUUUAAUUUACUUCUCUUUGUGUUGAUUUAUACUGAUUUGGUUGUUAAAGACAAGAAUUUGAUGAAAGAAAUAAACAAGUGAGACUCUCUUAUAGAAAUAUGACAAAAUAGAAAUAAAACAUAUAUAUAUUUAAGAAAGAAAUUGGAAUGGCUAUUAUCAAAAGACCAAAAAACUAGAGACUCUUGAAACUAGACUAGAAGCAAGAAAGGAAUUGACAAGAGUGAAGAAGGCUUUAUUUUUGCUUCUAUAUAUACUAUUUACUUUGGAUCUAUAUGGCAACAUUCUAUAGGAUCUCCAAAAAUGUGUUGACUUUGCAUGACAUAUAUCUUAAUUUACAAGAUAAGUUUUUUAAAUGGACACCUCAUAGUUAGCUUUUUCUACAAACUACUAACACAUGUGGCACGUGGUUAGCUUGUUGAUCAAAUUUUUAACCUAUCAUUCAACUAAAAAUACAUAUAAAGUCAAAAAAAUAUUUAAAAAGCUUUUAAAAAGCUUUUUUAGAAGAUGUUAUGAAAUUAAUCUAUUUUUACUUACUUCUACCUAUUCAUAUUACUUAGAUAACAAGUAUAAUAGAUAUAUAUCCAUAAUAUUAUCUCCCCUUUUAGAGACGAGUUCUACAAAGAGCCGUGAUCACAUAUUGAAGAAGUCUAAACUAUAAUAAAUUAUAUUUGCUAUGUACUUUGAUCUUUGUUUCUUUUGAUAAUAGUUGAUAAGUCCUUUCAGCCAUUGGUAAUGUCCUAUUCUAGGAUGCAAAGAUCACUCUAUUAUUUGAUCAUUGUUGAAACUUUUAUAAUUUUUUUCAAAAAAAACAUUUGUAACACCAUCAAGAGUCCUUUCUACCUCCAAUAAAAUCACCAAGUAUUGUGAGUCUCUUCCUAGAUCGUGAUUAAAUGCAUUGUAUCUAUCAAGGACAUAAAACUUGAAAAAAAAAAAUCUUCAAUACAUUCUUGUGUCACUGAAGGAAACUAAAAAGUCAUUCAAAGAUGAUAUAAUAUUAAACUAGAAUAGCUAUUUCUAAAAAAAAAAAUAUUAGAAAGUCUUGAAGCAAGACUAAGGAUUAGAAAGACAUUGACAAGUUCCACAAGGAGCGGUCUUUAUAUGUUGAAAAAAUCUAAGAUGUGACAAAUUAUAUUUGUUACAUACUCUGAUCUUUAUUUUAUUUGAAGAUGGUUGAUAGGUCUUCUUAGUCAUUGAUAGUAUCUUAUACCAGGAUGAGAAGACUACCUUGUGAUUUGGUUUUUUUUUAGGACUUUAAAACUUCUUUCAAAUAAAAUUUAUGAAAUACUGUUAAGAGCUGUUUCUACCUCUAAUAAAAUCACAAAACAUCAAGAGCUUCUUCAAAGGUUGUAAUACCAAGCAUGUUAUAUCUUACCAUCUAUAGGAUAGAGGACAUAUCGUUCUUGAAGAUCUUCACUUUGAUUUUGUCAUCUUAGAGGUUGUGACAAUUGUAAUAUCUCAUUUGAUAGGUCUGCAAAUAAAAGCUCUUGAAUUGAAUCUACUAGUUGUUGGUUCUCCAUCUUUUUAGCAUCACAAAUACACAAGCCAUAAAAAAAAUAGAAGAUAGAUUAUUAUCUUUUUUUUGAUCUUGUUUCUUUUAUAAAAAAUAUUUGUAAUUUCUCAUCUUGAUUUUGAUGGAUAUCACCGAUGGAAAGCUUCAACUCUUUUUGUUACAUUUGCGAGAUUUUUUACUCUCAUGUAUAUUUAUUAAUAUCAUAUCCACAUCAAUUAACAAAAUAUUCCAAUCUAUUUUAGCAUCACCUUAAAUCUGAGGCUUCUUCUACCUCAAAUUCUUGAUUAUUAUCCAUUUCUAUAGGAGGAAGUGGCAUUUGUCUUCUUCCCAAAAUAUUCACUUUUUUAUAUGACUUAAGAAGAAACAUGUGAAAUAUGAAUUAGAUCUUUAUAGACUUUGGUAGAUAUAAUCAAUAAGCAAUAAGAUUGAUUUUUUUUAUUAAUAAAAAAAGGUCCAAGCCUACGAUAGUCCAAUUUGUCUUAAAGACAAGUAGUCUUGAUAUUGUAAUGAAGUAACAAUACUUUAUCAUCCUUAUUGAAUUGUAGUUGUUUCUUGUAAUAGGAAUUAGUUUUUUAUCAUUCUUGAGCUUUCAAUAAUUGCACCUUUAUUUUUAUAUGUAGCUUUGACAAACGAUUUGCCAAAUCUUCUACCAAAGAAUUAUGAACUUUUAAAAAGUCAAAAGUACCAAGUCAUAGAUGAUAACUAUAGUUGAUAAAAAAAAGUGUUUGUUGAGUAGAAGAAUGUAUCAAAUUAUUGUAUCCAAACUCUGCCAAUGGUAAAAAAGUUGUUCAAUCAUCUUAAUGAUAGUUGAUGGUACACCUCAUGUAUUACUUCAGAACUUAAUUCACCUAUUCUAUUUGCUUAUCAAUUUGAAGAUGAAAAGUCAAAAAAAGCUUUACAUCUAUCUUUAAAUCUUGAAAAGGAUUUUUUAAAAUCUUAAUAUAAAUUGAGUUCUUCUAUCCAAUAUCCUUGAUAAUAAUAGAUAUUAUUAAGAAAAAACUUAGCCAUUUCUUUACUUAUGAUAGAUUUUGUAUAUGAUACAAAAUAUGCCAUCUUAAUAUAAUAAUCUACUACCAUGAAUAUAGAAUCAUAUGAACUUGAGACUAAAUGAUUUGUGAUAAAAUCCAUAGAAACAAAAGAUCACAAUUGUUCUAAAAUAGGUAAAGGCUGAAGAAGUCCAUGAAGUCAAUCGCAAGGAGUUUUGGAUUUUGAACAAAUAUCAUAUGAUUGUAUAAAUUCUUUGACUACCUUCCAUAUUUUAGGUGAUCAAAAAUCCCUUAUAUUAGUUAUAGAGUCUUGUAGCUAAAAUAUCUAGCUCUUGAAAAGUUAUGAUGAGUUUGAAGAAUAUGUAAUCAUGUUCCACCUUCUAGAAUGUAUAAUAGUCCCUUAAAAUAGAGUAGAUUGUUCUUAAAUUCAAACUUAGAAGUAUCAUAAAACUUAAAAGAAUUAUUCUUAAUAUCAUAGAUAAAAAGAUCAGAAGUUAUAUUUAAUUGAAUUUGCUUAAUAAACAUUGAAUCAAUAGUUAAUAUUGAUUUUGUUGCUAAAUGGUGAAAAAUAUUUUAGCUUUAAGAGAAUUGUUCUUUAUUGAUCAAAAGAUAUAUUUCUUUCUUUUGAUAUAAGAUAAGAACAUCUAAAAAUAAUGUUGUUGUAUUGUAAAUACUUAUAGUAUAUAAAAAUUAGUUAUAACAUAUUAUAUGUUGAUAAAUCUAGAUGUAUGUAAGAGUGGUUAGUAGAUUAAAUUAAAAAGAGUUGAUAUAAAAAACUUUACUUUGUUUCUUUUACUUGUUUUGGUUUUGGCAUAUAUAUAUAUAUAUUGUACCUAAAUAUUUAAUAUGAAGCCUUUAAAGAAGGUGGAAGCUUAAGAAAAAAAAUCCAAAUUAGUGGGAGACUAAUUGAAAGGGAUGAAAGCAAGGCAUGGUUGGAUGAAGGCAAGGAAUAGGAAACUUCAUCUCUAUUGGUCGAAUAUCAUGCCCAAUGGACUUUGAAGAGGCUGCCUAUGACCUUAACAAGAGUUCCGGCAACUUCAAAGGAGGCAUUUCGAAAUUAAAAGCCAAGAUUGUAAGAUUUAGAAUUUGGACUACAAUUCGUGUAUAAAAAUUAGGAGAUUUGGAGUUAGAAUGAAGAAGUUAUAGUCAUUUGAAGUUGAGGUAUUAAUUUAAGACAUAUUUUUAUUCUUUUGUAAAUAUGAGGAGUUGUACGGCAUUUUUUGAAGAUUGAAAGAUGCGACUAAAAUGGCGAUUUUAAGGCCUACAUCUUUUACAAAAGAAUUGAUGCUUUUGGAGUUUAUAUAAAGGAGAUAUAAAGAGUUAAAGGCAAUGCUUCCAAAUCAAAGGCAGUAAGAGAGCGGUUUUAUUUAAAGUAAUGGUUGGACCCAUAAAUUGAUUUUUUGAACAAAUUUUUAACUCAAAAUUUUUGGAAAAUGAAAAAUUUUAUAUUAUAAAGCUAUACAUAUAAAUUUCGUGGAAUUUGAGCUUUUAUUUUUUAAGAUAUAAAGAAAAUUGCAUGUCAGGAUAUAAAGACAAGGGUUUGAAGUGAUUUUUAGGGUUUUCAAGAUAUCUCAAGUUUUGCAACAAAUUUGUAGUUGAAAUUUGUUGUAAGAGUUGAUAAGAAUACAUCAGUACUUCAUAUAAAAUUUGAAUAAGUUUGGAUGAUCGAAUCAAAAGAAAUGAGGUAUUGAAGUUUGAGAAAAUGUUUACAUAAGGAUAUACAAGGUUUUAGAGGAUUUUAUCAUAUUUUGGGUGUUUUCGGUUACUUGAGGCUUAUGUAUUUGGUAUAAUUGCUCCAAAAAGAAAAUUUUAUAUAUAAACUUAGGGCUUUUCUUAUUUUGAAGCUUGAUUGAGCAAUUAGUAAUAGCCAAGAGCCCAAUGCUUUUUUUAAGCAAACUCUCUCUACCCUAAUAGCAUCUAAGAAACCUUAUUGUUUUUUGAAUCAAUAAAUUAUUUUAAAAUCAAAUCUUGUUAAAGUCAUGCUCCAACAAGCUUGGCAAUGAUUUAAAAUAUGUAUUCACAUAAAAUACUUGAGGUUUUUGUGAUUAGUAUACUUAGUGAUUAGACUUAAGGUGUCUUCUAAAUAAUGAUGCCUUUCAUUUAAUAGAUCUACAAUUAUAAAGAGUUCUUUGUCAUAGAUCUCAUAAUUAAUCUUUAUUAAUAAAGAGAUUCAAAAAUAGAAAGCUAUUGGAUAGAAUUUAUCAUUUAUUCCUAUACUGAUCGAAUGCAAAGUUUGAUCCAUCUAUUUCUAUAAAAAAUACCUUAGAAAAGUCAAUACAAUAUAAGAUGGGUGCAAAAAUAAAUUCUAUUUUUAAAGUAUCAAAUGAUGCUUCAACUUCUUUAUUUUGCUUAAUUUUGUCUUUAUAAGUCAAACUUGUAAGUGGAGCUAUAAUUUGAUAAAAAUUCUUAAUAAAGAUCUGAUAGAAAUUAGCAAAGUCCAAAAAGUAUUACACAUUCUUUAUUAUUUUUGAAAUCUUCCAAUCCAUGAUAGUCUAAAUCUUCUUUGGAUCCAUCAUUAGCUCUUCAUUGGAAAUAAUAUAUCAUGGAAGUCAACUUGAAUAGUAUAGAAUACAUACUUUUUUAACUUAUGAUAUAAUCUUAUAUCUCUAAGUUUUUGUAACACACAACAAAUAUGAACUUCAUGCUUUUUUGUAUUCUUAGAGUAGAUUAAGAUGUCUAAAUAACAAAUAACAAAAUUAUCAAGAAACUUGAAAAAGACAUCAUUCAUUAGAUGCUAAAAAGUAGCUAGUACAUUCAUAAGUCUAAAAGACAUGACAUUAUAUUCAAAAUACCCAUACCUAGUUUAAAAUAUAAUUUUUUAUUUAUCUCCUUCUUUAAUAUGUAUCAAAUUAUAUGUUCUUUGUAGAUCUAUUUUUAUAUAGAUCUUUACUUUAUUUAACUAAUAAAAAAUUCUUAAAAUAAAAGAUAGAAGAUACCUAUUCUUAAUAGAAAUCUUGUUGAGUCCUCAAUAGUUUAUACACAUCCGCAAGGAUUUUUUUUUUUUUCUUUGCAAGUAAGCUAGGAGCCUUGGUUAGAGAUUUAGAAUAAUAUAUGAAAUUUUUAGCCAAGUUCUCAUAAAUAUACUCCUUCAGUGCAAGUAAUUCAUUUUGUGAUAGGCUAUAGAUUGGUUCAAAUGGUGGUUGAGCUCUUUUAUGAAGAUUGAUGGAACAAUCAUAAAGACAAUGCUCUAAAAGAAUAUCUACAUUCUUCUUUUAAAAAAUAUCCUAAAAAUCUUGAUAUUAGCUAGAAAUACUACUUGACAACUUCUUGCCAUCAAAAAUGGGCGUGACAUAUAAAACAAAAGAUAAUUCUUUUUUUACAACAUACAUAAAAGCUCUUGCACAUAUCAGUAAAAAUUUGGAUAUAUUAGACUUAUAUAUUUUUAUUUUGCUAGUAAGAUUUUGGAUUAAACUAUAAGAAAAAUUAAGGUUAUGAGAAAUCCAAUCUAUUUAAGAAUUAUAUUUUUUUAAUUAAAAUAAUUCUAAAAUAACCAGAUUUGAUGAAGAUCUCAUUAUGUUAAAUAUUACUAUGCUAUAAUGAACUUUAAUUGCUACAUCUAAAAGAACAGUCUCAUGCGUGAUAUCUUGAGAAGAUAGCAAUCGACUAUCUGUGACUUCUAAAUGUACAAGUUUAAUUUUUUUGACUAAUGAUAUCUCUUAUUUUUUGACAAAAUAUUCAUCUAUAAAAAAAAAUUAAGGCUCUUCAAUCUAACAAAGCUAAGACUUUGUGAUUUUUUUAUCCUAAAUAAACUUUUAUUAUAAAAUAAGAUAAGAGAUCUAAGGAGAGAAUAGAACCUUUAUUAGGAGUUAUAUAAGAUUCUAAUCGUAUGGUCCCUAUUGUAGUUGGAAAAAUUUGUUUUCCAAUACAUCAUCUUCUUUGGCAACCAUGCUUCUCAUUUUGUGGUUGUGUUGUUUCUUUAGACAAUCUUAAGCAGUGUGUUUAGCUUCUGUAUAAUAUAAGCAUAAGUCCUCUUAAUAUCAUCAAGUCUUUUUGUACUUUUUAAACAAUUUAAAGUAUAUCAUAUCAAUUUGCAUUGGUUCUAGCCUUAAUGAAUAAGUUUUUGAAAACUUGAAUUAUUGUCACUAUUUGAUUUGUUCCUUUUUAGCCAAAUCUUUUUUCUUGAUAUCUUUCAAAUAAUUGAUUGUUACAUGCAAUGGCUUAAGCAAUAAAUUAUUUCAAAGAUUUUACUUUUGGCAUUGUUAGUAAUAAAUCUUUGAUAUUAGCUUUCAAUCCAUAUCAAAAUUGAUUGAUAAGGGCUUUGUCAUUCUAGUCCACAUUGCAUGCAAGGUUUUAAAAUUCAAUAGCAUAUAUGAUGAAUAAUGGUGUUUUUUGCCAUAAAGAUAAAAACUUGGUUUGUGCUACUCUUUUUUGAUCACUUCCUCCAAAUGUGGCCAUAAACAUUUCUAAGAAUGAAUUCAAAUCAUAAAAGAAUUGUGAAUCUUUUUCCAUUAAAGGUACAAAUUAAGAGAGAUUUUUUUUGAUUGAAGUGUACUUAUAAAUUUGACUUGAAUAAAUCCAUUUGGAUAUUAGAAAUGAUACAACCUGUAGAAUGGAUAUGAUAUUUUUUGUUUUACAAUACAUAGUAUGUAGGGUUAAGAAAAACUAGUAAACUGAUAAAUAGAUAGUUUAAAAGAUAAAAUAAAUGAUGUAUGAAAAAAAAUAGUUAUCAUUGAUUGUAUAGUGGUUGGCAUUUCAAAAAAAGCAUUAGUAUUUUGAAAAAGAAGUAGAAAGGACUAGACUAUGAUAGUCAUGAGUCAAGGUAAGCUUAGUGCUACCUCUUUGUUUCUUUGUUUUUUUUGUAGAAGAAGAAUACUAGAUAGAAUUUGAAUAAUGUGAAAUAAAAUUAUGGAAUGAAAGAAAGAUUUCAUUUAGAUGAUGUCAAAUGAGAAAUUGAAUUUAUUGUGUGCUGAAUUAUAAGUAAAGAAUUAGAAAGUUGAUAAUAGAAGAUAUUUUUGGAGUAUGGAAAUAAAUAAAAGAAUUAUAAUGCAUUGAUUUUUGAGAGUUGAGAGUGUGCCAAGAAGAAAACUAUGGAGUCUAGAAUUGUGUGAAGUAGAUUACUAGAAAUGACAAUUAAUUUUAGAUAAUUUUAGUAAUUGAAUUAUGAAAUAUUUUAUACAGUCUUUUAAGAUAGUGUAGUAUUACCUAUUAUUGUCAUAAGUUUGGAAAAGAAAAGAAGUAGUGAAUACAUAAGAUAGACUUAUCGAUUGUAAUAUUUUUUUUGAUAGAAUGCGGAAGAAAUAUAGCAUUCUUGGAUGUUUUAGUUGAUCAAGAAACAGUUAAUUGUGUGAUCCUAAUAUAAAAAUUCAUACAGAUAGUCUUUCUCUAUGUUUGAAUCCCUGUAUAUAAGUUUAUUUUGAUUAGAUUAGUUUAAAAUAAGUAAAACAACAAUCAUAUUUUAGCACUGCUAUCAAAAAAUUGAAAAUAGUAUUGAGUGUUAGGAAUUAACUACCAAACAUGUAGUUGUGAAUGUUGCAUGAAGAGGUUACAAAAUUGAUGUUGGUUGGAAAGUAAAGCCAAAUGUGUAGUUAGAUUAGACAUAAAAAGUAAUUUUGGUAUUAUAUAAUGAAUAAUUAUGAUUAUUAAGAAUAAAAAUAUUGUACUUAGAAAAUAUGUCAAUUGAAAGAAAGACAAGAGAGAACGUAAAUAAGAAAUUUAUUAUGGGACAAGUAAGAACGUAAUCUAAAAAAGAAACAUUGACAAAGUUGGAUUAAAAAAUAGUUGCAUACUUGUCGACAUAUCCAAACAUACCAAAAACCUACUAGAUCGUCAAUAUUUCAAUCAUAUAUACUAUUAAGAAAAUUAUCAAGAGCAUUCAUUGAAAAUUUUUUCAACAAUUUAACGUAUCACUUGAAUCCAUUAACUGAAAGUAAAGGAAGUACAAGUUUAUGGAUAGUCUAUUAGAUACUUUGUCAAUAGUGGGUAUAGCCAAUUCUAACAAAAUUGGCUCCCUAAAAUGGCAUAAAUUGCUUGUCAAUAAGAACCAAUUUAAUAUGUUUCAAAAUCUAUCAUUUUUACCCCUAAUUUAAUCAAAAAAAUUAUUUACAAAUAAAAAUGGUAAAUUAAGGAGGUCUUAAAGUCUAAAAAAGAUAGUUAGAAAAGAUAAUGUUUAUUUUAAUAAGGAAUUAAGUGGAACAUUGUCAUCUUCAAUAGUGACAAGAAGCCCAGUAGUUCCAAUUGCGGUUCAAAUAAAUGUUGUGGGUAAUUGCACAACUAGUAUAGUUCCAUUACCUACUUUUAGAGGCUUUAUCAGGUGCAUAUCUAAAUCAACAUUUAUCUCAGUUUGUAACUGUAUGUGUAGCCAAUAAUAGUAGAACUCAAGAUAUUUGGUUGAAAUGGUUGCCAGUAACCUUAAAAGAUACAAUAUUUGAAUAUUAUAAUCGUUAGCCUUUGAGCCAGUUUCCUAAUUAGGAGGUAUUAAAAAAUAUGUUUUUAACCCAUUUUUGACCAAUUGGAUUUGAAGAACGUCUAAGAAAAAGUUUAAUGAAUAAUAGAAUGUUAUCAGGAGAAGCAGUAUAAUUAUGUUAUGGCCGAAUAGCAGAUAUCCUUCAUAAAUGGCCAAAUAACCAAAUGCUGGAUUUUUUUGUUUUGUCUAUAUUGGUUAACGGACUAUACCCACUAAAAUUGAAGAUGUUUGUAAAGGAGGUUCAAUCAACCAUUGUUGCUUCUUCACUUGAUUGAGCUAAGGUAUGGAAAGAAUGUCAUUAUUUCCAUACCUUCUAUAUCAAAAACUAGUAUCUAUAAAAGAGCUAUCUAAUGAAAUAAUAUUGAAGGAUCUAAAUGUAGCCUAAUUGUUAACUUUGACAAAGAAGAUGGAUGAAUUGGCUAUUAAUCUAGCAAAGAGAUAAGGAGAAGAGGCAUAAAUUGACCAAUAUGUAUUCCAAUAUUUGGCUUAGUAAUUAUAAAAGUCAAGGCCAUAUUAUAACAAAAUAUUUUUCACCACUCCAAAUGAUUGUGCAAUGUACAUUUUGUGGAGGUAAGCAUGCCACCACCAAUUGUUGGAAUUUACAAAAACAACAAAAAUUUGAUAAUCAGACCAUGAUUCAAUUGACUUCGUAGGAUGUUAAACAAGUCUACACAGGAAAUAGAUUUGGCUCGAUUGAAAAUCGUUUGAAUAAAUAAAAUAGGAGUUUUUCUAAUUUUCAAAAUUUUGGGUAUAACCAAGAAUGUGGACCCAAUUCUCAAUAUAUUGAGUAAAACUAAUAAGAAUAUUUUUAAUAUCCAUUUAUUCAAAAGCCAAUUUUAGAUUCUAUAAUAUCAACUAGAUAGACUAGAUCAUUUAUCCAUCCAACUUAGAACAUGCUUAAUCAAUAUAUACCAAUAGAAAUACCCAAUAUUCUUGAUGGAAUUGGAAGAAGACCACUUUGGUAUUAUCAUUGUAGGCAGAUAGGACAUUAUACUAAUGAAUGUCUCAAUCCAAGAGCCAAUGAUAAAUAUGCUUCUGUAUGUAGAAAUUGUAAGUAGUCGAGACAUAUAUAUCAGCAGUGCAAUGCUUCGUUUAAUUUUAAUAAUUGAGACCAGCAAAUCCAGCUGCAUAAUAAGAGAGAAGAAAGUAAUUGAAGCCCAUAAGAUUUUCUUGUAAAGCAGGUGGAAUACAUUCAUGCAAUACUUACUAUACACCAGUAAAAAGAAAAAGAUCCAAUUUUAUAAUUAGAUGCACCAAUUACAAAGGACCACUUCAAUCCAAUUAUGGGAACUCCAAAUUUAAUACAUAUAUAAAAAAUAUCACCAAUUUUGGGACCUAGUCCAUGUGUACAAUUCAAUAAUAUUUCUAGGAUCGAGGUAUUAGUUCAAUCUAAACCAAUACCGUUAUCUAGGAAGUUUCAGGAGCCAUCUUAUACAUUAAAGGAUCUUUUCAUAGAUAGAUAUUUUGACAAAGUUUAUUUAGUUAUUCCACAUUCAAUUUUUGUAAAGAAAGAUAUAUGAUCUCAAGGAGUUAAGUUGAAAUCCAUGAAAAAAAAGAGGGCACUAGGAAUCACUACCAAUAUGGAACCAUAUGAUAUUUUCAAAAAUUUGGAUGCAAUUUAGGCCUCUAUUAUAUUGAAGCAACUUUUGGUGAUAGCCUCAAAAUAUUAUUCUAUAUUGAAUUCCUCAUUAAUAAGACAUAGGUCCCGUAAUAGAAAAAUUUAUAAAAUUAGUUUAAAUUCAAAUCCAAGAGUACCAAUUAUUGAUAUAUUCAUUGAUGGUAUUCUUAUUUUUGGAGUUCAAGUAGAUGGUAGCUCUAGUAUAAAUCUAAUGAACAUCGAUACAAUGGAGGAUUUGGACUUAAAAUAAUUAUUAUCUACCACAUUGAUAUUAAGAAUGGCAGAUCAGAGUCAGAUGAAACCAAUAGGUAUCCUACGUAGUAUUGCCAUUCUAUUCCUUGGGAUCAUAUAUAAGAUUGAUUAUACUAUUUUUUGACUACAUAGUUCCACAUUAUUCUAUCCAAUCUUAUUGGAUCAACCAUGGCUAUAUCAAACCAAAACUAAGAAUGAUUGAGGCCGUGGAAUGUUGAUUAUUAAGAAAGAGAAAGAAAAGAUUGUGUUACAAAUGUAUCUAUUUUAAUAUCAUAGGGAGUUUCAAAUUCUAGGUUUAGAGGUGACGUCUGAUGAUAAGGGCCAAUCUGAUGCAAAAUAUAAUGAAGUUACUAAUACAAUGCAAGUUGGUGAUAAUCCAUGUCAUUUGCAGAAGCAAGGCAUGUUAUACCAAUAUGGAAGACCCGAAAAAUAUUUAGUAUAUCUAGAAGAUACAACAAACUCUGAUCAUGCUAUUGCCAAUUGGAUGAAUAAUUUUGCAAUUAUUGAAGUUAGUACAUUGGAACCAGAAUUGGAUAGUUCCAAUUUUUUGGAUUAUAUGAGAGAUUACAAGCCAAAGAGAAAAAUCAAACUGGAUGUUGUCAAGGAAUUUGUGUACCAAUCCCUCAACUUAGACACUAAUGAAACACUGAAGGUUAUCAAAGUAUAUAAUGGAAUUAAAAAUAUCGAGUUGAAAAACUGGAAGGCUUUCUUCCUAAAUCAUAAAUCUUCUUUUGCAUGGUCAUAUGUGGAUUUGAAAGACAUACCUACUAAAGUUUGUGAACAUCAAAUUAUUUUAGAGGAGAAUACUAUAUCAGUUCGUCAAAGAUAACAUUGACUCAAUCUAAAAUAUUUUCUUAUGGUGAAAGAGGAAUUAAACAAACUUCUUGAUGUGGAUUUUAUUUAUUCAGUUCCAUAUAGUAAUUGGAUUUCAUUAAUUGUAAUGGUGCCAAAGAAGAAUGAAAAAAUUUGAAUGUGUCAAGAUUUUUGUAAAUUAAAUGUGGCUAUUAAGAAGGAUUAUUUUCCUUUAUCUUUUACGGAUAGUAUCCUAGAUGUGAUAGGAUGUGAUAGCCGAGCAUGAAUAUUAUUUCUUUUUGGAUGGAUUUUUGGGUUACAAUCAAGUUAAAAUUGCAAAAAAAGAUCAGUUAAAGAUUACUUUCACCAUAGAUUGGGGGACCUUUGCUUAUAAAGUUAUGCCAUUUGGGUUAUAUAAUGCCCAGCCAUGUUUCAGAGGAUAAUGAUACAAGCUUUUCAGGAUCAUUUAAAAUAUUUAAUGAAGAUAUUUUUAGAUAAUUUUUGCAUAUUUAAUACAAAGGUCGAUCAUUUGAAAUGUCUUGAUAAGUAUUUGGACUAUUGUGGCUAUUAUGACAUUUCAUUGAAUUUGAAGAAAUGCCAAUUUGGAAUAUUGUUUGAUAAAUUAUUGGGACAUAUUAUCUCAUUGGCUAGUAUUGCUACUGACUUGGAUAAAGUUAUUUGUAUAUUGGCUUUACCAAAGCCUGAAACAGUAUCAAGAAUUCGUGGUUUUGUUACCCAUGUCAGUUAUUAUUGAUGAUUUAUUCAUUCAUUUGCAAACAUAUAUUAGCCUUUAACUAAUCUCUUAAAGAAAUCCACAUCGGAUGGCUCUAAUCUAAUUUGGACUCAAGAAUGUACAAUUGUGUUUAAAGAAUUGAAACAAAAAUUGGUGUCUGCACUAGUAUUGGUUGCACCUUGUUAGACAAAAUUAUUUCAUAUUUAUAUUGAUGCAUCCAAUGUUGCUAUUGGAUAUGUAUUGAAUCAAAAAGAUGAAAAAGAUUUGGAUCAUUUAAUAUAUUAUACUAGUCGACAAUUGAUUGCAACUGAACAAAAUUAUACUACAACUAAACGGGAAGCUUUAAAAAUUAUUUAUUAUGUUAAAAUUUUUUUGGCAUUAUUUGCUUGGUUAUGACUUUGUGUUUUAUAUUGAUCACAAUGCUCUUAAAUAUAUAGUUAAUAAACCUCAAUUCAGUGGACGUAUUGUUUGAUGCAUGUUACUACUUUAGAAAUUUAAUUUUAUUAUCAAUAUCAGACGAAGAAAGAAAUAUGCCAAUGUGGACCACAUGUCUUAUUUAUCUAAUAUAUUGGAUAAUGAGCCUAUCAAUUAUAAGCUAUCUAAUGUGGAAUUAUUUGUUGUCAAUAUGAUUACACCCGAAUAUAUUGAAUUAAUUUGGUAUCUAACAUUUCAAACAUUUCUACCUACUUAUAAUAAAAAACUUAAGAAAUACUUGAUUUUAAAAAGUGUGCCAUAUAAGAUGAUUGGUGAUACUUUGUGUAAACAAGGGCGGAAUGAAAUUUUUUGCCACUAUAUCUUUCAAAGUGAAGUACGUAUCUUAUUGAAAGGUUGCUAUUUAAAUAGCUUUGAUGGAUAUUUUGUGGGUGAUAGUAUUGCUCAUAAAGCUUUAAUGGCUGGUCUUUGGUAGCCAACAAUGUUUUUGGAUGUACACUAAUAUGUCUGAUGUUGUGAUCCUUGUCAAUGAAUUAGUCACCCUGUUGGAACUUUUGCCAUGCCAUUGAUACCAAUUUUGACACAAACAGUGCCAAUUAUGUAACAAAAUAGACACAGGCGAUAGUACCAAAAAUUGAUAAUGCCAAUAUAGUAGCCAUAUUUUUAUAUGAUAACAUUAUCACUUGGUUUGGAUGUUCCAAGGAAUGGGUUAGUGAUUAAAAAAUCCAUUUUAUUAAUUCUACGAUUAUAGCCUUGACGGAUAAAUAUGAGAUCAAACAUCGAAAAACAAUCCCAUAUCAUCCUCGGGCCAAUAGACAAACUGAAAAGACUAAUGGUAUUUUGUACAAAAUUUUAACUAAGACAAUGUCUAGUGCAAGAACAAAUUAGGAUACUAAAUUGUUUGCUGCUUUGUGGGCUUAUCAUAUUGCGUAUAAAGUGACUAUUAAUUCUAUACCAUUUCAAUUGGUAUACGGGUAAGAUGCAAUAUUACCAAUUGAAUUGGAAGUUCAGAGUUUGAGAAUUGCAUUGGAUGAACAACUUGAUGACAAAGAAUCCCUUCUAUUUUAGUUUGUAGAAUUGGAAAAAUUAGAUGAAGUUAGAGCUACAACUCUUCUGACUAUGGAAGCUAUAUAACGUCAACAUAAGAGUUAUUAUGAUAGUAAAUUAUGCCUCAAAUCAUUUUUGCCUAAUGAUCUAGUUCUUCUUUAUAAUAGCCAAUUUAACAAUUUUUUGGAGAAAUUCCAAGUCCGUUGACAUGGAUCGUAUCAUGUAGAGGAAGAUUUUCUUAAUGAUUCAGUUCAAUUGGAAGAUUUUAUGGAUAUCUAAUUUACCACACGUAAUAACAAAAAUCAAUUAGGACUUUAUUAUAUGUAAACUUGGGAUGGAUUUAAAAAUAAAAAUAAAAUUGAAGGAAGAAUAUUUAUUUAUUAAUGAUAGAUUGUCUAUACUUAUAGAUGUAUGAUGGAUAUUAAAGAUGGCUAAUAUUUGGUUGUGGAUCCUAAUAUCAAUUAGUCAAGAAAAUCAGAAGUGAAAUUCUAGUUAACAAGAUUAGGGAUUCUUGAUCCAUACCCUGAGUAAAAAGUUAGGAGCACGGUACUUAAUGGAAGUUUUCUUCAAUAUUUUGAACAUUGUUGUUUAGGGUGUAACUAUUAAAGUGAAGGAUUUACUUCAGUAAGCAAGAAAGUAGUGUUAGUAUAAGCAAGGAGUAAAAAGUAAGUAUUCCAAUAUAUCAAUGGAAAGAAUAAAGAGAUCUACAGACAAAAAAGAAAGCUCCCAUAAUGUGAGAGCUAAGAGCAGUUUGAGGUCACUGUCUUUAAGGAUUCUUAUCAACAUAGAACCAAUGAAGUUGGAAUUCUGUCGGAAUGUAAAAAGAUAGAGAGAUUUUAGAAAUGUGUAGUUAUAUCAAUUUCUGCAAAGGUUUGAUGACUUGCCACCAAUUGAUAUAGAAUUGUUGUAAGAAUAUAUAACCAAUUAUGACCCAAAGGAUGAUUUGAGUGUUGUCAAAGGAAGCAUUAUUGGGAUUGAUGAGACUAUCUUACAAAAAGUAUUGCAUCUUUGAAUUGGUGAGCUUGCAGUGAAUGUUGAAGUAUCUAACAAUUUUAGAUCGAGAAGCUAUUUCAAAGAUGGCAUGUUGUCAUUCAAAAAGAAUCAAGGUUGGCAAACAGCGGAAGCACUUACACUAAAGCUUAUAGAGUAGAUGUCUUUUAUUUAGAAAGAAUUAAGCUUAAAUUAACACACAAUAUACAUGUCCAAACGGCUAUUGUUUGCUACGAUACAAAUGCUGGAAGGUAUGGUGUUUAAUUGGACAGCUUUUGUAGCCAUUAGUUUCCAUGCAAAGAUGGGAGGUAAGCAAAAGAUAGAAGAUAAGCAAAAGAUGGAAAAAUUUGCAUCUUUGCUUUGCUCCAAUUAUGUGUACUUUAUGAUUGCAUACUUGUUGAGUCAAACAUCGCCAAUAAGGGAGAAAAAUAUACCCUCUUUAGUACCUCAAUGAAGUGUUUAGAGUUUAAUGGCACUGACAGCUAGUCCAAAGGUUGUGGUGUAAGAAAUUAGAGAAUCAAGAAACUUAUUAGAACGGGAGGCUAUACUAGAAAUUACACCAGAGCAGUGUCAUAUUAUAAAAGCUUAUAGUAUGUAAAAAUUAGUUAAAAUAUAUUAUAUAUUAAUAAAUCUAGAUGUAUGUUAGAAUUGUGAAUAGAUUAAUUUAAAGAGAGUGGAUUUAAGAAACUUUAUUUUGAGUUUUAUCUUUUUUGAUUAUAGCAUUUAAAAAAAUUAUAGGACCUAAAUGUUUAGUAUGAAACCUUGAGAGGAGAUUAGAGCCUAAAGAUGAAAAUCUUAACUAGUAGGAGGCUUAUUGGGAGGCAUGAAAGCAAGAUAUAGGUAGAUGAAGGCAAGAAAUUGGAAUCUUCAUUCCUAUUAGUCGAAGGCCAUGUCCAAUGGGCUUCAAGGAGGUCGCCUGAGGCCUUAUUAGGAAUUAGAGAUUGUCUUUCGAAGUCAUUCGAGCUUUAGAGGCUAGAAUCAUUAAGUUUAGGUUUUUGGAUAUAUAUUGGGUGCAAAUUUUGUGUGAUUUGGAGUUUUUAUGAAAGAAUUAUUGGCGCUCAAAGUUAAGGUGUCAAUUUCAUACCUAUUAUCACUCUUUGGAACAUAACAUACAUUUACAAAGAGCAACAAAGGAUCAGCAAUUAGGAUUGGAGAGAGCACUUCUUUAACUAGACUUUUCAUGUAUUAUUUGAUGAAUUUAGAGUUUGAAUGAAGAAGUUAUAGAAAGUUGAAGUCAGCACAUCCAAAUCAAAGGCAAUAAAUAUGUGAUUUUAUUCAUAGUAAUAGUUGGAGCAAUAUCUUGAGUUUCUAUAUGAAUUUUUGGCUCAAAUCUUUUGAAAAAAGUUGAUUAUUAUGAUAAGAAGCUAUAUAAAUAUAAAUAUAAAUAUAUAUAUAUAUAUAAUUUAGUAUUUAAAUGCUUAAUUUAUGAGAUAUGAAGAAAUUUACAAGUAAAUAUAUAAAAACUAGGAUUUGAAGCUAUUAUUAGGAUUUUUAAGAUAUCUCAAGUUCCGCAAUGAAUUUGUACUUCAAAAUUGUUGUUGUAGUUGUUAAAAGUACAUCAAUACUUUAGAUAAAAUUUAAGUAUAUUUGGAUAGUCUGAUUGAAAGAUAUGAGUUUUUAAAGUUCAAGAAUAAUACUCUAUAGGGAUAUAUAAGGAUUUAGAAGAUUUUAUCAUAUUUUGGAUGUUGAUUACUUGAGGCUAAUGUAUUUGGUGUAAUUGCUCCAACAAAAAAAAAAAUUAUAUAUAAACUUAGAGCUUCUCUUAUUUUGAAGCUUGAUUGAGCAAUUAGUGACAACCAAGAGCCUAGUGCUUUCUUGAGACAAACUCUCUCCAUCUUGACAGUAGGUUCCAAUUUUUUUGGCAACAGAGGUAGAGGCUGAAGUUUCCAUUUUGAUGGACAUAAAACAAUUAGUAUUUCCAUAGGGUAGAACAUCAAAAAGAAUGAAUCUCAAGGAUGUCAUAUUGGUUCAGAUUUUUCAAUUACAGCUCACGAUGAGUAAACUAGAUGGGAAGGGAAAUUUAAGGCAGUAGUUGGAGCCAAACAGGAAAGAGAUAUGGGAGCAAAGCUGCCAAAAUAAGGAAUAGGAUUGAGAAAAAUGUGGAAUCCAAGUUAUUAUUAGAGCAUAAAUUUGAGGAGAAACAUAAAGCUUAAGGAAAAAAAUAAAAUAAAAUACAUUCAAUAUAUCAAAGAAGGCCAAAGACAAGAUCUAAUUUAGAUUUCUAAUAUAUCAAUGUUGGAACGAAAAAAGACAAAGUGUCAAUUGAAAAUGAAAUAAGAAAAGACAGCAUUACUUGAACAGAAAAAGCGGAUAUUGGGUGAUCAGUUACAAAUUAAAAUGACAAUGUUAUGAGUAGAAAUUAAAACCUUGAAGGCUAUAGUGACAAAAUUAGAGGAUGAUUUAGCCAAUAUUGGUCAAUCACAGAUGUCUACUCUACUCGUUUCAAUAAUUGAUGAAUUAAAGGAGAUGGUGAGGCAAGAACAAUACUAUUUGGAAGCAAAAGAUGUCAGGAUUUUGUAGUUGGAGGCUCAAAUUCAUGAAUUGAGAGCGUAUAAUAAGGACUUAUCAAUUUAAUUGAGGAGAGAGUUAAUGAAAGUAUUGGAGGAGGAUGACGACUUAUCAUUAGAACCAGGAUCAGUGGAACCACCUACGGAGAACAUUGGAAUUGAUCAAUCUAGCACACCAGAGGGUUAGAAAAUUUGUAAGGAUUCUGUUGAAGAAGUUUAUUUUUACCAAUUCUGUGUUUACAAAGACGUUACAUAGUUAAGAGUGGCACUAUGUAGAAUGGAUAUGAUAUUUUUUUGUUUUACAAUACAUAGUAUGUAGGAUUAAGAAAAACUAGUAAACUGAUAAAUAGAUAGUUUAAAAGGUAAAAUAGAUGAUGUAAGAAAAAAAAAUAAUUAUCAUUGAUUGUGUAGUAGUUGAUAUUUCAAAAAAAACAUUAGUAGUUUGAAAAAGAAGUAGAAAGGACUAGACUAUGAUAGUCAUGAGUCAAGGUAAGCUUGGUGCUACCUCUUUGUUUCUUUAUUUUUUUUGUAGAAGAAGAAUACUAGAUAGAAUUUGAAUAAUGUGAAAUAAAAUUAUGGAAUGAAAGAAAGAUUUCAUUUAGAUGAUGUCAAAUGAGAAAUUGAAUUUAUUGUGUGCUAAAUUAUAAAUAAAGAAUUAGAAAGUUGAUAAUAGAAGAUAUUUUUGAAGUAUGGAUAUAAAUAAAAGAAUUAUAAUGCAUUGAUUUUUGAGAGUUGAGAGUGUGCCAAGAAAAAGAUUGUGGAGUCUAGAAUUGUGUGAAGCAGAUUACUAGGAAUGACAAUUAAUUUUGGAGAAUUUUAGUAAUUGAAUUAUGAAAUAUUUUAUACAGUCUUUUAAGAUAGUGUAGUAUUACCUAUUAUUGUCAUAAGUUUGGAAAGGAGAAGAAGUAGUGAAUACAUAAGAUAGACUUAUCGAUUGUAAUAUUUUUUUUGAUAGAAUGCGGAAGAAAUAUAGCAUUCUUGGGUAUUUUAGUUGAUCAAGAGACAAUUAAUUGUGUGAUCCUAAUGUAAAAUUCAUACAGAUAGUCUUUCUCUGUGUUUGAAUCCUUGUAUACAAGUUUAUUCUGAUUAGAUUAGUUAAGAGUAAGUAAAAUUACAAUCACACAAUCUUAGUAAUAAAUAAGACUGAGGACUAAAAAGGCAUUAAUAAAAAUGAAGAAGGCUUCACUCUUGCCUCUAUAUAUACUCUUAACUAAAAACUACAAGGUAAUGUCCUAUGAAACCUCCAAAAACAUGUUGACUUUGUAAGACACAUAUUUUAACUUGUAAAGUAAGUUUUUUAUAUAUGUACAAGAUAAUUAGCUUGUUUGACAAGCUACCAAUAUGUGGUUAACUUCUUGACCAAAUAUCUAACAUUUCAAUUAAUUAUAAACAUGUGUAAAGUCAAAGCAACAUCUAUAAAGCUUCUAAAAAGCUUCUCUAAAUGAUAUUAUAAAAUUAAUUUAUUUUUAUCUACUUUUACUUACUUCUACCUAAUCAUAUAGAUAUUUACUAGAGUACUUAUGUAUAUCCGUGACAAUAUCUUACCAUCUAUUUGAAGAAGAAUAUAUUCUUGAAGAUCUUCAUCCCUAUUACAUUGUCUCAAAGGCUAUGAUAAUUGCAAUAUUUCAUCUGAUAAGUUAGCAAAUGAUAGCUUUCAAGUUGAAUCUGCUAACUAUUAAUUCUUUAUCUUCUUAAAGUUACAAUUAUAUAGAAACUAAAAACAAGAAUAAAAGAUAGAAUACAAUCUUUUUUAAAUUAUGUUUAUUUUAUAAUAAAGAUUUGCUAUGCUUCAUCUUGAUUUUAAUAGAUGUUGUUUAUGGAAAGCUUUGACCUUCUCUAUUGUAUUUAUAAGAUUUUUUUGCUGGUUCUUAUGUGCUUUUGCUAAUAUUGUAUCCAAGCUAAUGAAUGAGAUAUUUUAAUAUUUGUUGGUGCCACCUUGAGUCUAAGACUUCUACCACUUCAAAUUCUUGAUAAUUAUCUACUUCUAUAAGAAGCAGUGGUAUUUUUCUUCUUCUUGUAAUAUUUAUUUUCUUAUAUGGAUCUAAAAGAGAUAUGUAAAAUAUGAAAUGGAUUUUCAUAAAAUCAUAUAGAUGUAAUCAAUAAGUAAUUGAAUUGACUUGUUCACAAAUAGGAAAUGGUUUAAGUCUACAAUAAUCUAAUUUUUCACAAAGGCAAAUAGUUUUAAUAUUACAACAAAGUAACCAUACCUUAUUACCAACAUAGAAAUGAAGUUUUUUUCUUACAAUAAGAAUCUAUGUUACUCUUUUUUUUUUCUUGAGCCUCUUUUAGUAGUGCUCUAUUAUUGUAUAUAGCUCAAAUAAAUGAUUUUUAAAACCUUUUAUUGUAAGAUUAUCAAAUUUUAAAAAGUCUAAAGCAUUAAGUUAUAGAUAAUAACUAUGAUAAGCAAAAAAAGGUAUUUAUUGCAUAGAAGAAUGUAUCAUAUUAUUAUAAGCAAAUUUUACCAAUGGCAAAAGAAUUAUCCAAUUAUCUUAUUGGUAAUUGAUAGUAUACCUCAAAUAUUGCUCUAAAACAUUACUUAUAUGCUUUAUUUGUCCAUUAGUUUGAAAAUAAAAAAUUAAAGAUAGUUUUAUGUCAACUUUUAAAAUCUUGAAAAAUUUUCUUCAAAAUCUUGAUACAAAGUAAAUUCUCCUAUUUGAUGUAAUAUCUUUAAGUAAUCCAUGAUAGUGAUAGAUGUUAUCAAGGAAAAGCUUGGUUAUUUCUUCACUUAUGAUAGCUUUUGUACAUGAUACAAAAUAUGCCAUCUUGGCAAAAAAAUCUACUAAGAUAAAUAUAGAGUCAUAAGAACUUGAAAUUAGAAGAUUUAUAACAAAAUCUAUAGAAAUAAAAGACCAUGGUUGUUUUGAAAUAGGUAAUGGUUGAAAAAGUCCUUAGGAUUAUUGACAAGGAAUUUUGUUACCUUAAAAAAAUAUCACAUGACUAGACACUGCCUUUCAUUACUUUCUACAUUUGUAGCCAUCAAAAAUCUCUAGAUAUAAGUUCUAAAUUUUUAUAUCUAAAAUUUUUUGCCAUUGAAAAAUCAUGACGUAUUUGAAGAAUACGUUGUUGGGAUAGAAAGAAUUUGCCUUCAGAAAGCAUUGGGCUUCUAGCUAUCACUAAUUACUCAACCAAGUCAUAAGAUAGAAAAGCACCAAGUUUAUAUAUAAAAUUAUCUCUAUAAAUACAAUUAUAUCAAUAUAUAAGCCGUAAGUACCAAAGAUCAUUCAAAUGUGAAAAAAUAUUAUAAAACCUUACAUAUCCUUAAAAUGAUUUUUUUCUAAAAUUCAACAACUCAUAUUUUAUGUUUGGAACUUCCAAAUAAAUCAAAAUUUUAUAUAAAGUACUGAUGUACUUUCAAAAACUACCACAAAAAAUUUCAAUUUUAAAUUCAUUACAGAUCUUGAGAUAUCACCAAAAUCCUAACAAUAGCUUCAAAUCCUUGCUUACAUGCACCUAUGAACAACUUUCUUCAUAUCUCAAAAAUUAAGUAUUUAAAUACUAUAAAAUUUUGAUGUAUAGCUUUUUAACCUGAUAAUAAAUAUUUAAAAAAAAUUGAGCCAAAAAUUUAUUUAAAAACUCAAGAUAUGGCUCCAACCAUUAUUAUCAAUAAAACGACUCACUUAUGAAGUUUGAUAUACAUGUACUAUCUUUAAUGCUCUAUAACUACUUUAUAAAAAUUCCAAAUAUAAAAAUUCUUUUACAAAAGAGAUAGGUCUUAAAAUCAUUCUUACAAUUAUACCUUUUGAUCUCCAAAAGCUAUCAAAAAACUCCUUAUAUCUUCAAAAGAACAAUAAUAUGUCUUAAAAAGAUUUCUUAACUUCAAAUGGCUAUAACAUCAUUAUAGUAAUUCCAAAUCCUCUAAAAUUUUUACACAAAUUAUAGUCUAAAUCAUAAACUUUAAAAUUUUUAUUUUUGAUUCUCAAAUAUUUCUUUUGAAGUUGUCAAAAUUCUUAUUAUGGUUGUAGAUAGCCUCUUGAGAGCCUAGUAUAAAUGGCUUUUGAUUAAUAGGAAUAAAGAUCUUCAUUUCUUACCUUAAUCCAUCUAUACCUUGCUUUCAUCUAAUUCAAUUUAGUUGGAUUAGAUUUUGAAAAAUAAAAUUAUGUUUACAAAAUUGAGGGUCUCUUAAGUUUUGUAGUGUAUAUAUGGAUGAAUUUUGGAUAGUGUGUUGGUAUUUUAGUUGUUAGUGUGUGUGCAAAUUUGAGCUCAAUCAAAUGAUUAGAUUGAAGUAUACAAAGAUUUUUUUAGUUUGAUAUUUUAAAAAUUAGAAUUUGAAGGUCAAUGAGUAUUUUUAAGAUCUUUAACAAUUUGUUAAUUGGAUUGAAGUGAAUUUUUUUGUGUAGAGACUAGACUUGAUUUUGCAUAAUUUAUGUAUAUUUUAGAGGUAAUUAAAUAGUUCAAGAAGGAGAUAUUAGUACUAAAAGUUCAACAUUUAGAUUAGAAUAUGAGGUCGACCAACACUUGAGGAGAAUUUAGGUUUGAUUUUCUAUUUGGUAAGUUCGAUCUUUUUCAAAUUUUAUGUACUUCUUUCAAAUUUAGUUGUUAAAAGGUGUGUAAAAUAUUGAAUAAGAUCAAUAUUAUAAUCAAUAGAUAUUGAGAUUCUAAACUACUCUAGAAUUAAAUUAAUUUGAUUAAAAUUUGGUUUAGGAUUUAUGAAUUGGUUAGGAUUUAAGAUUUAUUUAGGAUUAAGUUAGGAUUUUACUUAAGAUUUAAGUAAGGAAUAUUAGAAUUUUUACUAGGAUUAAAUUAUUAUAUGAUUGAAAUUUAUUUUAAAUAUAUUUUAGAUUUUAUUUUAAUACUUUUUUUUAAUUUUUUUUAAGAUUUCUUGAUGCUUCUUUUAUAAUUUCUUCAAGGUUUCUUUGGAUUUGAUUAAAGCUUGAUUAAUAUUUUUAUGAUUUAAUUGAAAUUAUUUAGGAUUCUAUUAGAAUUAGAAACUUGUUAUUACAAUACCUCUUCUAUCUUCUAUAACUAGGUACUCAGUGCAUUCUCAAGCAAGGAUUCACGUAAUAUAAUAAUAGUCUUUAUUAUAGGUGGACAAACUUAUUCUCCAAAAUACUAUCUUCUUUGAUGGCCAUAUUCUUCAUUUUGUAGUUUUAUAGCUUCUUUAGACAUUAUUAAGUACUAUGCUUAGGUUCUCUAUAAUAUAAGCACAAUCUUUCUUGAUAACAAUAAGACUUUUCUUGCUCAAUAAGAAAUUUGAAAUGCAUUGCAUCAAUUUAUAUAUCUUCUACUUCCAAAUGUAUGUAUUGAAUAGAUAUUGGCAUUGUCAUUGUCAUUGAAUCAUAGUAAUAUUGAAGUGUAUUUGUGCAGCUCUUAAAUUAAAAUUCAAAAAAUUGAUUGUCACACCUCAUAGCAAAGUCAAUUAUUUGACUCAAUGUUUGAGAAUCAAGUAAUUUGAGCAUCAAUUUUUUUACUUUAUAUUAUAAUCUAUAGAAAAAUUGGCUGAUAAGUGUAAUAUCAUUUUACUUGAUAUCAGAUGUAGAUUGUUAAAAUAAUGAAGCAUAUAAUAUUAUUGAUUAAUUUUCUUACUGUAAAAUACGGAUCUUAUUGAUUGCAAUACAAAUUGUAUCAUGUUCUCUAUACAUGGAUCAAAACUCCAUCAAAAAAGCCUCCAGAUUAUUCAAUUUUAGAUUUUGUCAUUCAAGAAAAGAUGAAAAUUAUAAUAAUACUGAAUCUGAAAAGAAUAUACUAAUAAAUUUAACUUAAAAUCUUGGAAUUAGAUAGCUUUCAAAUUGAAGUUUAAUCACAAGUUGUAUUUGAAUGAUAAAUCCUCAAAACUUAGAUCUUAUACCAUCAAACUUCAUAAGUACUGCAAACCUUGAUUCUCUAAUAUUAGAAGGAUAUUCUAUCAUAGAAAAUAAAAUAUGAUUUAAUGCAGAUGUUGAAACAAUUCUAAUCAUUUUUAUAUCUUUCCUCUCUACCAUUAUUGUUACUCUAUGUAGCAAUAAAUUAAAUUGAUGCAUCGUAAGUAUUAAUUUUUUUAAUUGCUAUUGUAUUUGUAUCAUUGCACUCUUAAUUUCAAGAAGAUUUGCCAUAAUAACAUUCAAAAAAGCAAAGAUGUCUAAGAUUACUCAAAACAAAUAAAAGAAAAGACUUAAAAAUAAAGAGAAAAUACUAAAUAUAAUAUCAGUUUAAGAAAUGGGAAUUUACAAUUCCGAAUAUACUUAAGUCUUAUCAAGAGAAAGGAAUAAUCUAUUUUUAAUCAAAUAAAGACAAAGAUCUAAUAUUAUAAGUGCAUUCUUAUCAAUCUAUCUAUGAAAACAAUUCAAUGAAAGUAAAUAAAUAAGUAAGAUUUUCUCAAAAAAAUAAGACAAAAUAGAAAUAAAAAAGUUUAUAUAUUAAAAAAAAUAAAAUAAAAUAAAAUAAAAUAGAAUGGCUAUUGCUAAAAGUUAAGAAAACUAGAGACUCUUGAAACUAAAUUAAAAGUAAGAAAGAAAUUGACAAGAGUGAAAAAGGCUUCAUUCUUGCCUCUAUAUAUACUAUCUACUUAGAAUGUAUGUGGAAACAUUCAAUAGGACCUCCAAAAAUAUGUUCACUUUGCAUAACACAUAACUUAACUUGCAAGGCAAGUUUUCUAUAUAGAUGCCACAUAGUUAGCUUGUUUUCUAAGCUAUGAAUACAUGCAACACUUGGUUAGUUUGUUGACCAAGUUUUUAAUCUAAUAUUUAAUUACAAAUAAUAUAAAAUCAAAAUAACAUCUAGAAAUAUUUUAAGAAGCUUCUCUAUAGAGUAUUAUGAAAUUAAUCUAUUUUAAUUACUUCUAUCUAUUCAUAUUAGCUAGUUAAUAAUUACAAUAGAUAUAUAUAUAUAUAUAUAUAUAUAUAUAUAUAUAUAUAUAUAUAUCCAUGAUAUUGAUUUCAUUAAGUUCUUACUAACUAUCUCAUUAAUACUCUUUUGUUCAAUUUAGUAUUUGAUUUUGUCUAUAAUAUAUAUAUGACAAUUUUUUGAGAUUUUUUUCUUAUGAAUAUUAGAACUUCAUCUUUUUUGAUAAAGAAUAGAUUAUCCUUCUUUUUCAAGACAUCUAAGUGCUUUAAAAUUUUGGAGUAUCUUCUUAUAAAUUAAUAUUAUUUAGAAAUUAAAUGAUGAUGUAAAACAUCUAUUAUUAUUAUUUGAUCUUCAAACACUCAAUGAAGCUAUCAAUUAAAUUGUGAAAUGUAAUAAUCAAUUAUUUCAAUACCAUCAAGAUCAACUCUUAUGAACUUUGAUAAAGCAAUAUACAAGAAAUUUGUACUUUAUUUCUUUAACAAGUAUAUUACUUCCAUAAUUUGGAAUAAAGAAUAUAUAAAUUGAUGCAAUACAAUUCAAACUUCUUAUAGUAGAAGAAAAGAAGCAUCAAUUUGAAUAAGGCUUAUACUUUUAUUGUGGUAAAAAAGGCCAUAAAUCUAAGAAUUUUUAAAAGAAAUAACAUACAAUUAGAAUUAGAAGUACAAUCAUUUAAGAAAAUGAAGAGGUCCAGUUACAAUAGGGACCAUGUGGCUAUACAUUCCAAUACCUCAAAUUCAUCAAGAUUCUUCUUUUUUUGUCCAACUUACUUGUUUUUUUAUUAUACAUUUAUUUCUUUGCUUACAAAAACUUCAAAUAAACACCUUAUUAGAUUCAAGAAUAUAUAUAUAUAUAUAUAUAUAUAUAUAUAUUUUUUAGACGAAAUUUUUUUUAAAGUUGAUAAAAUUCUUCUAAUAAAAAAGUUAAAAUAUAUAUAUUUAUAUACAUAUAUAUAUAUAUAUUUAUAUACAUAUAUAUAUAUAUAUUUAUAUACAUAUAUAUAUAUAUAUAUAUUUAUAUAUAUAUAUAUAUAGUCAACUUUUAUCUUCAAGUAAUAUUAUUCAUGAAACCAUAUUACUAAAAAUAUCAUUUAAGAGCUAUAGUAGCAAAAUAAUAUUUAAUAUUAUUAGAAUUUCAUCCAAUCCUAUCAAUUGAAGACUUUUGUGGUUGAAAAGAUAUAAUCUAUCUAUAGAUUGGAGAUUUUAUAAGAUUAAAUUUCUUGUAGAAUUCUUUUAAAUAAAACCUAUCAAGAAGUCAUUAACAACAAAGCCCUUAUUUCUUUUAAUAAAGUCUUUUAUGAAGAUAACUAAGAAAAAAUACCAUUUGUCAUUUAUGCAACUCCAACUUGUGAAGAAACCAACUUCCUAGUAGCUAUUCUAGAGUACUACAAGGAGUUUUAAGAUAUCUUUGAAAAGAAGAAUGUUGACAUAUUGCCAAAGUAUUGAUCGUAUAAUUGCGCCAAAAAUCUUUAAGAAAUGACUCAACUACCAUUUGGUCUAAUCUAUAAUCUAUCACAAAAUAAACUUUCUCCAUUGAAUAAUUAUAUUAAUAAAAAUUUUACAAAAAACUUUAUUUGGCAUUCAAAAUCUCUAGUAGGUGCACCAAUAUUUUUUCAAAAGAAUAAAGAUGGAUCUUUGCAAAUGUAUGGUAAUUAUUGUGGCCUCAAUAAAAUAAUGAUGAAGAAUUGUUAUCCAUUAUCAUUACUAUUAAAGAUUUUGAAGCAACUUGAUCAAGCUAAGAUCUUCACUAAAAUAGAUUUUUGUGAAGCAUAUAAUUUGGUAUUAGUUAAAGAAAGAAAUAAAUAAAAGACAAUAUUUUGGAUAAGGUACGGAAAUUUUGAAUAUACUGUCAUACCUUUUGAAUUUACAAAUAUUUUAAUUAUAUUACAAAAUUUGAUUAAUAAUAUUUUUUGAAAUUUUUUGGAUAAGUUUAUUAUCUGCUAUCUUCAUAAUAUCUUAAUCUAUUCCAAGACUCUUAAAGAAUAUGAAGAACAUAUGAGAUUAGUCUUGCAAAAUUUAUAUAAUAAAAGAUUAUAUAUCAAAUUAAAAAAAUAUGUAUUCUAUUAGUCAAAAUUAGAUUUUUUUGGAUAUAUUAUAUAUAAUAAAGGCUUCUUAAUGGACUUGAAAAAAUUCAAGCUGUAAUAAAAUAGGCAACUUCGAAGGCAAUUUGAAAUUUAUAAUGAUUCUUUUGAUUUGCUAAUUUCUAUGGAAUAUUUAUCAAGAAUUAUUUCCAAGUUGCUAUUCUUUUCACUUGGUUCACAUCCAAAAUCAUAUUGGAUUGGAGAUCACAAGUACUAAGGGCUUUUGAAGAUAUGUUAUAUAACUUUUAUUACAACUUUAAUUUUAAUGCAUCUAAAUUUUAUAAAUAUUUUCUAUUUUGAGACUCAUGCUUUCAAUUUUAUAUUAAAAGUAGUACUAUUAGAGAUAGAAAAGGAUAAAAAGCUCUAUCAAGUUACAUUCUAUUUUUUAAAAAAAAUUAGCUAUAAAGAUCAAUUAUAAAAUUUACAAUAGAGAAUUUCUUGCAAAUAUAGAUUCUUUUCAAGAAUGGCAUCACUUAAUGGAAGGCACUACUCAUGUUGUGAUUAUAUAUACAAAUCACAAAAAAAUUGAGUAUUUUAUACUAGCUUGAAUUUUAAAUCAUCGCUAAGCUUGUUAAAAUAUGUCAUUAUCUUAUUUUGAUUUUGUGAUUAUAUAGUAAUCCAAAAAGGAAAAAUGAUUGUCAGACGCCUUAUUAAAAAAAAAAAAAAAAAAAAAAAAAAACAUAUCUUGCUCCAAAGGCCAAAAAAUCAGCAUUUAAUUAGCAAUAUACCACUAUUGUAAAGCCAAAAAAAUUUCAUUCUUCUCCUAUUUCUUUUAUUAUACAUAUUGAUUCAAGUUUUUUAAAAAAAAUUAUCUAUAAAUAAUAAAUAAUUUUUUGAUUUGUAAUAUUAAAUAGAAUCCUCAUAGCCACAAGUUUAAAUUUGUGAAAGAUCUUUUGUAUUGUGAAGAUCAUUUACAUAUUCCAAAAAAACCAAUAUGACUUUGUAUUCUUCAAUUUUAUCAUGAUUUUCUAGCUAUAGGAAAUUUUGGAUUUAACAAAAUAUUAAAACUUAUCUCUUGAUAUUUUUGAUGACUUCAAAUGUGAAAGACCAUGAAGGAUUUUUUUUUUUCUUAUGUAAUGUCUAUUCAAGAUCUAAGAAAUUUUGACAUUGUUCCUAUAGACUUCUAUAGUUACUACCAAUUCUAAAGCAACCAUGGUCUUUAGUAUUAAUGGAUUUUAUUAUUGAUCUAUUGCCAUCAAUAAUAUUUGAUGCUAUCUACAUACUUGUAGAUUGAUUUAUAAAGAUGGUAUAUUUUAUCCUGUACAAAAAGAUAAUUUUUGGAAAUGAAAUUAUAAGGUUCUUUCUUGAUAAUAUAUAUAUAUAUAUAUAUAUAUAUAUAUACAUAUAUAUAUAUAUAUAUAUCAUAGCUUAUUUCAUGAUAUUAUUUCUAAUUAAGGAAUUUAAUUUAUAUCAAAGUUUAAAAUAUAUAUAUAUAUAUAUAUAUAUAUAUAUAUAUAUAUAUAUAUAUUAAAGAUAGAUAUUAAACUUUCUUUGCCUUCUAUCUUUAAAUCAAUGAUCAAACAUAAUGAGUCAAUCAAGUUUUAGAGUAGUUCUUGCAAUGUACCAUCAACUAUUAAGAAGGUGAUUGAACCUUAUAUUUAUCUUUAGCAAAAUUUUCUUAUAAUAAUAUUCUUUAUACUUUGAUUCAAAAAAUAUCAUUUUACUCUAAUUGUGAUUACUAUCCAAAGCUUGAUUUUUUAUAUUCAUUAAAGGAUAAAAAUCUAAUGGUUAAAGAUCUUGAAACUAAUUGUUAUAGCUCCAAAUAACUUUGAAGUUAUAUUUACAAGUAGCUCAAGAUUCUUAAAAAAAAUCUUCAAAUAAAUUUAAAAAAGAAUUCAUUUCUUUUUGAAUUAGAAAUAAAGUAUAGAUUCUUCAACAAGAUAUUAAGAACAAUUGACCUUACAAUAAAUUAGACUACUAAAGAUUGGAGCUAUUUUGUAUUCAAAAGCAAAUCAAUCUAAUGGCUUACUAAUUAAAACUACCCACAUCUAUAAAAGUAUAUCUAGUCUUUCAUGUUUCUCUUCUAAUAGCUUAUACAAAAUCAACUAUUUCAAAAAGAAUACAACUAUCAUUGCUAUGCAUUGAAAUAGAUAAUCAUAUGGAAUAUGAGGUAAAAAAGAUCCUUGAUUCUAGGUAAAAAAGAGGCAAGUUGGAGUAUUUUAUUCAUUAGCAUGGUUACAAUGCCAAUGAACAUAUGUGAGAACCAGCAAAAAAUCUAAUUAAUGCGCCAAAAAAGGUACUUAAGUUUUGUUGACACAAAAGGUAUUUUUUUAUGUACCACAAAAGGUACUUAAGUUUUUGAAGUUUUAAAAAAGUUUUCAAAAACUUAAGUCUAUUUUAGGAUGACUUUUCUAUGAAGCUACUACUAGGAUGUUGUAUGUAAUAAAGGAAAUAGGUUUUGCUUAUAUCAACCUUAGAGUUUAGUGUACCUAGUUUAUGAUCCAAUUAGUUGAAUUGGAAAAUGUUUAAAGAAUUUUUAGAUCAUAAAUCUCAAAGUAGAGCUAGAAUUGAAGCUUUUUUUAACACUACUACCAAAUUAAUUGUUCCAACUCUUUCAGCCUUCACAAGAUCAUCCUUAAGAUGGAUUUGGACCUUUUGAAGGAAAGAAUUGUCUAUUCUAUAGUGAGUUUAAAUAAAAAAAAACCUCAAAUAAGAAAACUUCAAAAAAAAAAAUCUUCAAGAUGAUGCUUAAGCUUUAGUUAUUUUAUCAUAGAUAUAAAACCAAUGAUCCUUGUAGAACUUGGAAUUAGAAAGGAAUGUAAUAUUACAAGCAUCUAACAAAAAGAUUUUUAAAAUAUUCUAUUAAAUUUUAAAAGGUUCUAAAAGAUUUUUAAAAUAUUUUAAUAUUACAUUUUAAAAGUUUUGUAAAAUAUUUUUAAAAUAUUGUAAUAAAAUAUACUUAAAAUAUUUUUAAAAUAUUUGAAUAAAUUCUAAAAAGUUCAAAGAAGAUUAAAAAAAAAUAUCCAACAGGCUUUUUAAGGUCGUUUUAUCUUCAAGCAACAUAAAAACUUCUUGAGAAGCUUUUUAAGAUUGCUUCAUCUUCAAAAAACAUAGAAACUUUUCAAGAUUGUUUCAUCUUUAAGUAAUAUAAAAAUGACUUAAAAAGCUUCUUAAUAUUUAGUAUAUAUUAGAGUUGAGUUUGAGGGAAUCCUCAAUCUUAACAACACAUCUCUUAGAGCUUUAGUUCACCUCUCUUCGAAUUGAUCUUAUACUUAUUUGAUUUAUUAUAGUUCUUCCUAGCUAUCUUAUUGAAACUCUUUUCUUCAACUUCUUGAUUGAUCUUCUAUAUAGUGUAUCCAUGAUAGUCCUAUAGAACCUCCAACACACUUCCAAUUUGUAAGACAUAUGUCUUAACUUGCAAGGCAAGUUUCUUAUAUGCGCACCAUAUUAUUAGCUUAUAUCGCAAGCUAACUACAUUGGUGAUACAUGGCUAAUUUGUUGGCUAAUUUUUUAAUCUAUCAAUUAAUUGUUAACAUGUAUAAAAUCAAAUAUGUAUUUAUAAGGCUUCUAAGAAGCUUUGUUAUAAGAUAAUAUGAAAUCUACUUACAGUUAUCUUCUACUUAUCACUUCUUAUUUAAAUAAAUAUAUAUAUCCAUUAUAUUAUUUCUACUUUUAAGGAUGAAUUCUAUGAAGAUCAAUCAUAUUAUAUUGAAGAAGUCUAAGAUGUAGCAAAUUAUAUUUAUUACAAUCUCAUACAAAUACUUCAUAGUAUUCUUGUAAAUUUUAUUUAGAUCUUAUGAUUUAAAUAAGGAGUAUUGCCUACUAUUUGACAAAGUAUGAUAUACAUGCAAUUAAAGAAUAUACAAGAAAUAAUAAAAGCUGCUCUUGAAAAAAGAUACACAUUAGCUUUAAUGCAAAAAUUAAAGAAAAAGAAUCAUAGUAGUACUUUGAUGACUUACAAACAUUGUUAUAAAAUGUACUUAAAAAAAAGCUAGUAGAAUCUAAGUAAUCUUAAUAAUUGCUUAAUACAUACUUGAAGCAAAUCAAUUACAAAAACUAUAGAAAUAGUAAAAAAAUUUGAACAUAAAAUAUUUAAAUUAUAAUGCAAUAACUAAUUAAAUACACAACUAAUAUAGAUAGGUCUAUAUUUUGAAUGUAGAAGAAAUUAUAAAAUUAAUAAUUAUAUUCAUGUAUGACAAUUAGUAAUUAUAUUCAUAUAUGAAAAUUAGUAAUUAUAUUCAUCCAUGGUACAAGUUGAUUGUAAUAUGGUAAGCAUUUGAUAUAAGAAACACUUAAAGAAACUAAACAAGAACUUUAUAUCUCAUAUAUAGAAAAUAUUGAAAAUGGCUUAAAUUUUAUUUUUAAUAAAUAUAAUAAGAGCUAUGUAUGGAUCAAGCUAUAAAACCAACUAAUUUUUUUUGACCAAAAUACAAUUAAAAAAAUACUUAACAAUAUUAUGGUCAUUUUUACAUUGGUUUUAGUACUAAAACUCAAUCACAAGAUAUUGUCUUACAUAAAAUACAAGAUCCAUCCAAAACCACUAAAACAAGAAGUUGCUCAUGAAAAUGUUACAACAAUUGAUUUAGAUGCCAUAAUUAUUAAAAUUUACAUUAAAAAAUACCAACUAUUUAAUAUAUUUAUAGAUAGAAGAUCUUAAGUCAACAUGAUGGCAAAUUUUUCAAACUACCUUAGCUUGAAGUAAUUUUGUUUGUACUUUGCAUGGCUAAAAAUGUCCAAGUUAAGUCUUUGAUCAUAUUACAAAAUAUAAUCAUUGCAACAUAAGAGAUUUGAAGGUGUGUUAUAUUUUUUUGUAAUUGAAAUGCCAACCAAGAAUCACUUCUCAAGCAUCUUGAAAAGACCAUGGUUGUGAAAUAUAAAUGCAUCUCAUGAUUCGUUCAACAAUAAAAUCACUAUUCAUUAUCAAUACCAAAAAAUUCAUAUCAAUUUAGAUAAUUAUAUUAUUCAAAAAAAGGCAUUGGAAAUUCAUCAAUUCACAUAUAAUAAUUAGCCUAUAGGAAUGAAUGUCAACUAAGAAAUGCUAGUAUUUGUAGUAGAAUCAAACUUCAUUUCUAUAGUCAAAAUAAAUUCUUUACAUAUACUUGCUAAAUUCACUCUCAAGCUUUAAGAUAGCCUUAUCAUCAAUAAACAACUAAUACAUAUCAAACUUUAAGAAAAAAUUAUUAUAAGAUAGUCGCAUAAUUUAAGAAAAAAAGUAAAAUUAAUUAAUCUUAAAAUAUUCAUAGAAUUCAAAUAUGUUAAGAUAAAUAUCAAUACAUCUAAAAAAAUAAAUAUUGCAAUAAUAUUUUUCUUCCAUGAAUAUCAAGAUAUUUUUUUAUAGGCACACAAAGAUAUAAAGAGAAUAUUUUCUAAGUUUGUUAAACAUUAGAUUGAUCUUAUCCUAAAUACCAUACAAGUUCAAUUACAAUAAUUUUGAAUGAAUUCCAAUUAUGUACAAAUUAUGAAGAAGGAAUUAGAUAAGUUUUUAGAAGCCAAUUUCAUCUUAUUGUUGGAUUAUGCCUCAUGGUUAGUACUAAGAGUUAUCAUUCUAAAAAAAACUAAGUGCAUUAUAUAUUUGUCUAGAUUCUUAUAAAUUAAAUGCCACUACCAAAAAGAUUAUUAUUCUCUUAUAUAUAUAAAAGAGAUAAUUGAUGAGGUAGCAAGCCAUGAAGUGUAUAAUUUUAUAGAUUGUUCCUUGAGAUACUAUCAAAUAGCUAUGGCAUCCAAAGAUAAGAAUAAGUUUGCCAUCUCUACAAAAUCAAGACUAUUUCAAUUCGAACAAAUAUUAUUUGAAGCAAAAAAUACAUCAUUGAUGUUCUAUCUUUAGAAUAUAUUUAGACAAUGGUAUAAUAUACAAGCCCAAAGAAAUUCAUGUGUAUCAUCUCCAACAAAUAUUUGAACCAUGUCAAUGGUAGAACAUUAGCUUCAAUGAGGAUAAAUGUAUCUUUUUAUUUUUUUCUAAACUUAUAUUUAUUCACAUCAUCUAUUGCUUAGAUAAAUUAUUAGACCUCAAAAAUAUUAAAUAAAUCUAUAAGAUAACAGAGCCUUGUAAUCAAAAAGUAAUUGAAAGUAUACUUAAGAUUGCAUAGUUUAACAAAGUCUUUGUAAAAAAUCUAGUCCAUUUCAUCUCUUUAAUCUUAGAACUUAAAAAACCUAAAUAUAAAUAUAAAAUAUAUUAUAAUCUAGUAGCAACUAAAGUUUUUGAAGAAGUCAAAUGUGCUAAUACAAAUAAUACAAUAAUACUUGUUUCCAACUAAAAACUUCUUUUUUUCAUAUAUAUGGAUGCUUCUAAAAUUACAAUAGGCAUAAUUCUUAUAUAAAAUCAUAUGAAAAAAAUAGAUUAACUUAUAUUAUAUACAAGUCAAAGAUCAAAUCUAAAUAAGCAAAAUUAUUCAACCACAGAAUGUAAGGCAUUUGCAAUAGUCUAUGCCAUAAAGAAAUAAAAAUAUUAUCUACUGAAGAAUAAAUUUUAGUUUGAUGUCAACCACCACAAGCUACUUUACUUAAUCAAUCAAUAUGUAAUCAUAAGAUAAAUAGUGGAACAAAUAAUACUGCUAAUAAUAUAUAAUUUUAAAGUUUUUUUAUUUUAAAAAAUAGAAUAUAUUUAUUGAUUACUUCUUGUAAAUAUUCAAUUUGACAACCAACUUUAAAAUCAAUAAAUCUUCUUUGGAUCCAUGUAUUCAAAAUAUUGUUGUAGAUAAUACAUUAGUCAAAAACAUUUAGAUGUAAGAUUUAAUUAAUUAUCUAACUAUGAUACAAAUUCCUUAUAUAUUCUUUGGCUUUCAUUGAAUCAAUUUUUUUGCAAAGUUCUCACAUAUAUCUGCAUCAAUAGGAAGUUUUAUAAACUUAGAAUAGACUAUAUUAUGUUGUUGUAUUAUAAUACAACUAUAUGAUGAAAAUAUAAUCAAAAAUAAAUUUCUAAUUAAUAUCUAAUUAUCUUCAUUCAAUAAUAAUUCAAGAUAUUUAAAAAUUAUUUUUAUAAAAGCCUUUUAGUUUAUUCUCUUAUCUUAAUAGUUAGUACGUUAAAGGUUUGUUAGUAAUUUUACCUUCUAGGUUAUGGAGAUGCUUUUACUCCUUUAGAAAGACCAUAAAUUGAUAAAAUCAAGUUAGAAGAGAUAAAUAAUUAGCAUGAUUGAUACUAGAAUUAAGUUGAAGAUAGGAUUGGGCUAAAAAAUCCCUACAAUAAAUUAGAUUGAUAUUUGGGGGUCGAAUGUUUAUAAGAUAGGAUUGAAAUCAAACCUCUAGCCACUUAAACGACCGCCUAGGGCAAAAAAAGAGGGCAUUUGAAGAUCAGUAAUUAGAAUUUGAGAGCUAGCUUUAAGUUAAUUCCAAAAGUGUAAGACUUAUUGUCAAAAGAUUUGCAAUGACUUUGAAAUUAUUGUUCAAAUUCAAGGUUUAUAUCGAUGAUUUGUAAUUUAUGCAAUACAAAUAGGGCUAGUGCUCUUGGCUAGUUUAUACAAUUGGUAUUACAUUUAUAGUUCAAAAUUUGAAAAUGCUUGGUUAAUUAGAUGUACUAAGUGUAUGUAAAAUUUUGUGAUAAUCUGAUAAUGCAAUUGAAAGAUAUCUAAGUUUUGGUGUAAGAAGGUAUUAGGAGUUAAAAAUUUGGGGUUGGAUAGAUUUUCUAUUAUAUCUAAAAAUCUACUAGUCGGAUCAAAGUAAAAUUUGGCAUAGUAUUAGAAGACUUAAAGAUCAAGCUACACACCAAUUUUGAGUUGAAGUUAAUUGUUGGAGAAGGAGAAAUCACUAAUAGAAUAUUUAUAUCAAGUUUUAAGUUGGCGGCUAAGUAAUAUUAGUGUGGUUUUUGGUCGUUUUCUCAUGAUCUAUAAGUUAGAUUGGAAUGAAUUCUUUUAAGCACAUAAAAGAUUUAUAGUGGCAUUUGUAUGCAAAAACUUUUUCUAAGUGGAUGGUUACAUUAAGAGCUACAACUUGCUAAAACUUAAUGAUUAGGAUUAGGACUUACAAAGAAAAAUCAAAAUUACCUAAUUAUGAAAUUAAUAAGGUAAUUGGAAUUUAUGUAUGAUUGAAAUUACUAAGAAGAGUAUUUUUGAACACUUUUUAUGGGAUUUAAGUACUUUUGAAUUAAAAUUCAAAUUACAUUCACUUUAUAAUGAUGAAUCAUAUUAGAAUUCUUGGAUACUUGUAAAAUACAACUUCACCUUCCAUAAUGAGAUGCCCAGUGCAUUUUCAAACAUAAUGACAUGUAAUACAUCACAAUUGUACAUCUCUAAAACUCAAUACCAAGAGUUGAUUCAAAUUAUGCAUGACAGUCCUACAUGCUAAUAUUAAGCAAUCAAUACAACUAUUCAAGAAUUUCUUAUUGCCCAAUAUUAGUAGCCUACACUCCAUAAAGUUAUUUAUAAAUAUAUCUCUUUCUACCAUAUUUAUCAAAUUAUCAAAUUUGGAUUUGUACAUGUGAAGCAAGCUCUUUUACGACCUAUAUCUCAACUUGUUUUAUUUAUGCAUUGCAGCCUAAACUUUCUUAGUCAUAUUAAAUCAUUCACUUGAUGGCACAAUAAAUACAUAAUUGUGGCAAAAAAAUAUGUAAUAAAAUAAUAUAAAGCUCGUACAUUAAAAUAAAAUAUAAUAUUUUUCAUCCCUAAAUUCUUCUACAAAAACAUAAUCACAAGAUAAAUAGUACAAAAGUAAAAAUUCAAUGAUUCUAAAUUUUUUAGAAUAAUUUUUUCAAAGUAUAUUACUUAUUACAUAAUAACAAUAUUUUAAAUCUCAAAUUAAUUUUUUAAUAGUUUAAUUGGAAGAUAGCUUCUUUAUGCCAAUUUUAUUUUUAAUAAUUUUCUAUCAAAAAAUAAGGUAUAAGUCACUAAACAAAAUUUCAAGCUCUAAUCUAUUAUUGUAACAAGUUAUAAGAUGGUCAAAAAUCUUUGUAAUAUAUUUCAUUUUCUUGCAUUAAUUUUCACAUUGAUUUUUAUUCAACAAAUAUUUUUUUAGUAAAACCACAAAUGAUUUAAUAUAGACUUUAGAGCCUUCCAAAUUACAUCCACAAAUACCUUCUAUAUAUGAUAUUUUGUUAAAUUUUUCAAUAUGAUUAUUGUAAGCUUUAUAAUACUUGAAGAUCUUAGGAUAAAAAAUCUAUGUAAACAAUUUAAAAUAAUAAAUAUUUAUUAUUUGAUUAAUUUAAAAAUAUAUUUUUUAAUGAACUAAUAAAAAAUAAUCCAAUUUCAAUCUAUUAUAAUUUGUAAUAAGUCACAAAAUAGAUUUAUUUUGUAUUUUAAGAGUAUUCAUCAAAUAAUCUUUUAUUUAUAUUUCUUUACAAAGCAUUCAAUUUUCUACUUUUUACAUUAAAUUUAUAAUUCUAAAAAAAUUAUUUGAUCACAAAUUUAUUUUUAUUUUAUUUAAGAUUAGUAUUUAAUUUAUUCAUAUAUUUUAAUAAAAUAAUUUUAAUUUAAAAUUUUAUAAUAAAUUUUUAAAUUUUUAAAUUAUUAUUUUAAAUCUUUAAUGGUGAUUAUUUAAAAUUUAAAAUUUUAUGACAUAAUUAAAACAUUCUUUUAAAAUCUUAAUCAAAAUAACUUACAACCAUCUUUGUUUCUUACCAUUUUUUUUAAUUCUAUUAAUUCAGACAUAAAAAAUAGGACUGAUUUCUCUAUUAAAGUCAAUUUUCUUUAGUCUCUUAGAAAUUAUCUUAAAUUUUAAUUUAAACAUGAAAAAUUUCAUAUAGCACAGUCAUUUAUUUAGACAUAAAUAUCUAAUUGAUAGACCUAGUAGUAUUAACUAUAUUAAAUCAUCACCAAGUUUUUAUAAUAUCCAACUUAUAAAAAAAAACAAACAAAACAAACAAAACAAACAAAUAAAUAAUCAGAAUAAAUUUUAAAAAAUUAUUAAUCUCUAUUCCAACUCAAAGCUCUUUUUUAAUAAUUUUUUUUGUAAUAACUUCUAUUAGUUCUUUUAUAUAGUACUACUAUUAAGUAAAAUAAACUAAUUAAUAUCUCUUUAAAAAACUUAUACUUUUGAACAAAUAAAUCAAAAAUUUCAAUGCCAUUGAUGUAUAUUUUAUGAAUAAAAUUUUAAAAAUUAAUUAUAAUAUAUAUAUGAUAAAACAUUCUAAUUCUAGAUUCUAAUUACAAGACAAAUAUAAUGCAUUAUUUUUAUUUUUAUUAAAGUAAACAAAUAUAGACCAUAUUAAAUAUACUAAGGAAACUUAGUGCAAGUAGUAUUCCUAGAUUAGAAGUCUAAGGUAAAAAGUUAACCAAUUAAUUGACUAGACAUGAUCUUGAAUUUCAAUCAUUCACAAGUUGGAAGCAAAAGACAACAAUUAUAAAUUGUUUGCAAAUUAAGAGGUUUUAAGCAUUAGGAGGAUGAAUUUUACAAAAUGACAAACUCUAAAAUCAUUUAUGAAUAAUAUUGUGAAUCAAAGUUAUUUGUGAACCAAUUUUAAGUGCAACUUAACUAUGAUUUUUUUUACAUUAUUAAGUAAUCUUUUAAGUCCUAAAUUUUCUAAUUAUUUUUAUUAGUUUGUUAUAUGAUAUCUAUUUUUACUUGUAUAAAGAUCUAAUAGUAGAUUCUGUUUGAGAUUAAAAAUAACUUUAUGGUUUUUUCCUAAUAUAUAUACAUAUAUUUAUUUAUAUUCUUUUAAAUUAAUAAUCAAAUUUAAUUUAAUAUUUUUUGAAUUUAGAGACAUUUCAUGUGGAUUAAUUUGAUAUUAAUGCGUGUUAAGGUAUUAUCUACUAAAAUGAUGUCUCUAUUACAAAUUCACAAUGGCAGUUGUCAAGAGACGAUGCCAAAUUUUACACUCACUAGUUUGUAUCUUUGUUCCUCUUUCUUGAUUUAUUUAGUCAUGUCGUUUCUAAAAUUUUAAAACCAAACUUUCUCUACUUUACAAAUUUUAAAAUAUAUAUAUAUAUAUUGAUUAUAUUUUCAUUUGUUUAGUAUUUUGAUAGUUUUAGACUUACUGGUUCUUAUAAUUAUUUUCUACUACCUUUUAUAAUAAAGAUAAUAAUCUGUGUGUAAUUUGAGUUGAUAUAUAUAUAUAUAUAUAUGAAAAUUGAGUAUAUAUGUGUAAUCAAACUUCAUUUCUUUUAAGAAACCAAAGGUUUCUAAUCCAACAAAAAUAUUAUUUUUAUUAUUUUUAAAAAGAUUUAAUAACCAAAGAAAAAAUAAAAAUUUCUUAUAUCAAUAAUAUGGAGCAUCACCUAGAAUUCUUUGUUGAAGUUUUGGUUAGUCUUUUGGCUUUACAAAACUUGUAAAAAGUUAGAUCAUGUUAUGUCUUAAGUCAAUCCACCUACAUGCUUUCAAAGCAACUUUUGUGGCUAAUCCCACUUCCAGGCAGAACUGCGAAGAAUAUCCUAACAAAGACUAUGUACACUGUCAGAACCGUUGGCCAUCCCGCUGACGACCACACACAAUCCGUUGAAGCUUUCCGACUUGAUUUCCUAGUGCCAGAAUGUCACAAUGUUGGCUAUGGCGAUCACUUGGAUCAGCUUGCAUUUGCUGUCUCCAUCUCAUUGCUUACCCCAUCUGGACUGUAUUGGGGUCUCCUUGCAAUCCAUCAAGGCUUGCGAAGGGAAACAUCACUCUAGCUAGCUAGCUUGCCAUGGAUCUUAAGAAUUCGCAAUCUUGCACCGAGUGGGUCCAGCGACAAAUUGGAGUCCAGUUAACUUGGGCAAUUCUGGUGACCGCGGUUGCAACAAUUGUGGUACUCUAUGUUGCGGUGGUGUAUCAGCGUCGAAAGAAGCUUCCUCCAGGUCCCUGGCCGUGGCCCAUCGUUGGAAACUUGCCAGUCGUGUUCGGGUCCCAAAAGCACAAAUUGGCCCACAAGUAUGGAGGCCUCAUGUAUCUUCAACUAAGUACGUCUGCAUUUGGUUGAGAGGGACGAAUUUUCUCACGCAUUGGCUAGAAUAUGCAUCCAUUUGUCACAUGUGAUUGGUUCAUGACUACUUCGAGGUUCUGUAAGGAUGACGCCUAUAUUGAGAGUGCAACCAGGCCAAAAGCCAUGUCUGGUAGUUUGGACUGCUGCGGCGGCCAAGGAGAUUUUCCGCAAGCACGAUGCUACUUUCGCAUCGCGACCGUCGAUGCUUAUCUUCUACAUUCUCACAGGUGGUAGAUACAGAAACUUGGGCUUCGCACCUUACGGACCUUUCUGGCGCCGUUUUCGACGAAUUGCCAACACGCAGUUGUUCUCCCCAGCUGUGCAUGCUUCACAUGAGCCGAUCAGAGAAAGGGAAAUUCACAGCAUGUUGCGAGUUCUCCUGGAGGACUCUUACAAGGGCAAGCCCAUCAAUAUCAAGAGCUGGCUCACCUCAGUGACAGCCAACAACAUGACCAUGAUGCUCACCAACAAAAGGAUCUUCGAAAUAGGCGCUGACAACGACGAGAAAAAGAGGGAUUUAGAGGACUUGAUGCGCCGCACCUUUGCCUUAAUGUGAAGCUUCAUCAUCAGCGACUAUGUUCCUUGGCAAGAACUUUCAAGUAGACGAGCACAGGAAGCGAGCGAAAGAAAUGGACCCCAACGACACGGAGAUGCCAGAUGACAUCGAUGUGUUGUUGAAUACGUCUCUCGAUGAUGGUGACUGGCUUGCUGACAGAGACAUAGCAUCCCUCGUUGUGGUAAGGGCCUCCCUGUCCCACUUGAUGUCGCAGAAAUCGAUCGAGCUGCUUAAUCAAAACCAAGAAGUCGGUCUGUUGGUUUUUGUCAGCGAUGACAACAAUGAGCAUUGGACAUACUUCAGGGCUUGAUGAAUGCGGGAACAGAUACGAGCGCCAACACUGUGGAAUGGGGGAUGGCGGAGCUAAUGGCGAAUCCCGAAAUCAGGAAGCAAGCACAAGCAGAGCUGGAUGCAGUCGUGCAGGACCGCCUCGUGAAAGAAUCAGACAUCCCCAACCUUCCUUUUCUGCAAGCCAUCGUGAAGGAGACAUACCGAAUGCAUCCUUCGGUCCCUCUCUCUCAACGCCAUGAAUCACACCAGCCGUGCGUGAUCUCGGGGUGGGAGUUCCCAGCCCUCACAGAACUGAUUUUGAACCUCUACGCCAUCCAUCGCGACCCUAGCGUGUACGAGAAUCCAGACAAGUUUGACCCCUCCAGGUUUACAAGGAAUCCAAAGGUGGAUCCUUUGGCGGGGAACGACUUUUACGAGCUCAUUCCGUUCGGCGCUGGGCGACGGAUGUGUGCGGGGCAUCACCUUGGCAACGUGACAGUGACGUCCAUGCUGGCGAAUCUGCUGCAAUGCUUCGAGUGAGAGCGGGGACGCGGUGUACAUGUCGGACUUCUACAGCUUCAUGACCUUCCGCCAGAAACCCUUGAUAUUGCUCGCCAAGCCCCGUCGCCCUGCCUUCCUGCUCCAGGCAAUGCCAUAUCUCGAGAGAGUAUUACGAGUGAUUUGAAUAUUGUUUUGCAAAAGAAGUAAUGCAAUGAAUCUUAUAUUAAGUAAGCAUGACACUCAUCUAAAUUUACAUUGAGCAUUGAACGGGGUGAAAUAGCGUAGCAGAAGAUGGAUCGACGCCUAAAAAAUGAUGGGAAGAACAAGGCCUCGUUUCCCUUCUCCUUUGUUUUCAGUUUUCACAAGUGAUGAAUACAAAUUGACCAUUUUUUAAAGUUUUGUGUAUGAACUAGGUAACAUUAUAUUUAAUUAUUAAAAACUUGGUGUUGAGUUAAAGAUGAAGAAAUUUAAGGUAACAUAAUAUUAAUGUUUAAGAUAGUUGUGAAUGGAGGAUAGCCUAUCAUUUAAUGUGGAAGUUAUGGAAACAUUUUUAAGAUAGAAAAAGAGGUUUGAAUGUUUGAAGUAAGCUUUACAAAGAUUUAAAAAUAGAAGAGAGUUGGAUAAAGAUGAAAUAAAUAGUGACUAUAAGAUUUAGAACAUAUUAAGAAUAAAUUUUAUUAAUUUAGAAGUUAUAAUAAAAUAUUUUUAGAUAUAUGUUGUUAUUUUUGUAUUAAUGUAUGUUUUUAAGGCAUGUUGAAAAAAAUAACACUGCAAUUAUUAGCUAAUAGUGAUAAUAAAAUUAAAAAAAAAAAAAAAAAAAAAAACUAAAACAAGAUGUAGAAUUUAUAUUAUAUACAUUUAUUUUCUAAUUUUUAAUCAAAGAAGAUGAAUUUGAAACUAUAAGAGUAUAUGAUGCAUUACAAAACAUGAGUAGAACGAUUCUUGAAAUCAAAUGAAGUAAAAAAAAUACACAAAUGAAGACUUUGAAUAUAGGAUUAUUUUAUUAAUCAUCAAAUAAGGUAAUUUAUAUAGCUAUUAUCAAAAUGACAUUAUCAUAUAACAUAAAUUGUUGCUUGACAAUGGAUCAAGCACCUAGUAGUGGAAAGUAAAUUGAAAAUGCAACAACAAGUUCCUACCAAGCCUAAUAGAAUCUUAAAUAAAUUCUAAAUAAUCUUUAAAAACCCUAAUCAAAUUUUAACUAAUCCAAAAAAAAUUUAAAAGAAAUUACAAGAGAAAUAUAAAGAAGUCAUAAAUUAAUUUUAAAAAAUAAUAAUAAAGAAAUCUUAAAGAAAUACAAAAUAAAAACCUUAAAAAAAUAAAAAUAAUCUUAAAAAAUACUAAAAUAAAAAUCUUUAAAGAAAUAACAAAGAAUCAUUAAAUAUUAAAAAAAGAAAUUAUAUAUAAAUCCUAAAUAAAUCUUAGAUAAAUCUUAAUCAAAUCUUAAUAUAGCCAUAAUUAAACCUUAAUUAAAUCCUAUUUAACUUAAAUCUUAGACCAAACCUUAAUAAAAUCCUAAUAAAAUAUUAUUGAAAUCCUAAUGAAAUCCUAAUCAAAUCAUAGAUCAAAUCUCAAUCAAAUUCUAAUCAAAUCCUAAAUUUUAAUUAAAUCCUAAUAAAAUCUUAAUGAAAUCUUAACCAAAUCUUAAACCAAAUCCUAAAACAUCUUAAAUAAAUCUUAAUCAAUUGCUAUAAUUAUUUUAAAACCUCAAUAAAUAUUAAUCAAAUUGUUGAUCUCAACUAAAGCUUUAUUCACAUCUCAAUUCAUAAGGAAUUAACAAGCAUAAAAAUUUUGAAAAAUAUUGAUACUUAAAUUCAAAAGAAAAAGUUCUUAAGUCGUUUGAAUGUUGGCAACCAUCCUUCUUCAAUUUAAAUAUUGAUAUUCCAAUAGCUAUUUCUCCUUGCUAAGUCAUUUAAUUUCCUUAGAAAUUGGCUAGUGAAUAGAAUUCUUAAUCCAAAUAGCUAUCACCAAUUUUAGCUUCAAUUAAAUAAUCACAUGUUGUAAGAUUGUCAAAAACAUGAACUAGAAAAAGAUACAUAAAUCUAAGAAAUCUGUGUAAAAAAAAAAAGUGACAAAAUAAAAAUAAAGUAGUAUGUAUAUUAAAAAGAAACUGGAAUGGCUAUCGCCAAAAGAUGAGGAAACUAGAGACUCUUGAAUCUAGAUUAGAAGCAAGAAAAGAAUUGACAAGAGUGAAGAAGGCUUCACUCUUGCCUCUAUAUAUACUAUCUAAGUAAGGGCUAUGUGGCGAUGUUCUACAGAAUCUCUAAUAUGUGUUCACUUUGCAAGAUACAUGCAUUAACUUAUAUGGCAUAUUUUCUAUGAGUGUGCCACAUAGUUAGCUUAUUCUUGAAAUUACCAAUAUGUGUGGCACAUGGCUAACUUAUUGACUAUGUAUCUAACCUAAGAAGUCAAUUAUAGACACUUAUAAAAUCAAAGUAGUAUCUAUAAAGCUUCUAAAAAGCUUCUAUAGAAGAUGUUAUAGAACGUAUAUAAGACAAGGAUUUAAGAUCAAAAAAUGGAAUUAGCUCAAUAUUAGAAUUAAGGAAGAAGAUCCUAAAUAAACCACAAGAAGUGAAUUGUCAAGUUUGAGGAUCCCCUUAGCCUCAACUCCUAUAUAUACUAGGUCCUAGGAAGCUUCUUGAGAAGUUUUUAUGAGGCUUGGAAACAAAGCAAGCCUAAGAUCCUUCUUCAACAACUUCCUAAAUCAUCUAAAGCCUCCUAGAACCUUCUAGGAUCUCUUAUGACCUUCUAGAAUUUUCUUAGAAUCUACUAGAACCUUUCGAAAUCUUCUAGGAUCUAUAAGAAUCUUUUUAGAACCUUUUAGAAUCUCAUAGAAACUUCUCAAAUCUUCUUCAGUUGUAUGUCCAUGAUAUCACUUCUUCUUCUAGCUUCGAGGUCACUGAGAAGCAAUAUUGGUACAAGUCAAUAUAUACGCAAGAAGUUGAAGAUUUGUUGAAUGGUGUCGACUAUAUACUUCAAUUUUUUUUUCCAAGGAAUAUAGUUCAUAGGCCCUUAAAGCCAUCAAUAGUGCCUCAAGCCUUCUGCUUGUAACCAAACAUGAACUUCGGUAUCUUUGUUAUGGAAUUAUCUUACAAAUACUCUUUCUUAGUAUCUUUCAUAGGCAAGUUCUACUUCAAAUAUAAUUACCAGCUACUUAUUACAAGAUAUCCUUCAACGUCUUUAUAUUUUAGGUGUCUUUUUAUCUCAAGGUUAUCUUCGUUAGCUAUUUGAUUGAGAUAGUAUGAUUAGCAAGGUGUCUAUCUGUGGACUAUUCAUAUCACAUAAAAUAAAUAAGACCAAAAGAAUAUAAAUAGGCUAUAGUCAUGAACUCCAACAAUUGAUUUAUACUAUUCUAAACAUUUGAAAAAAAUUUCUCUUCAAAGGUUGCAUCCUUCCCUUUUUCAUGACUCGAAGAACUAAGAAACUUCAUGGUAAAGCCAUCUUAUCAAGCUAUUGUUCCUCAUUUUGCCGCUUUUGGUCUGGAUGAAUGUCGUUGAUGGAACUUUUGAACCUUUAUUUGUCCAUUUAUAAGGUUGCCAACUAGUUCUCACGUAUAAUUGUUGAUAUCAUAUCCAUGCCAAUGGACCAGAUAUUCAAGGCUUUCAUAUCUUAUCCUUGAACCUAAUACCUUUUCUACUUCAAAUUCAACAUGAUCAUUGAUUUCAAUCAUAGGAAGUAGUGGUUGUCUUCGACCUGGUAUGUUCCAUUCUUUAUACUUUUUCAAAAGUAAAAUAUAAAAUGGAGGAUGUUCCUUCUCCAAUUCAUCUACUACUAGCUUAUAACGUUGUUGAGUCCUUUUUAGGUGAGUCUUCAUGGUUGCUUGAAGUUUGGCUAUUUUCAUAGCAAACUCUUCUAUUAUUCAAUUUGUCGACUUUGAAGGCCAUAUCAUAUCGAACUCUAGAUGAUGACCAUAGUUUGAGUAAAAUGAUAUUUGUUGCAUAGAUGCAUGGAUUGUGUUGUUAUAUGUGAACUCCAUCAAUGACAAGUAGGAAGUCCAAUCGUCUUGUUCAUAGUUGAUGGUGCAAUUCAAAUAUUACUUAAAAAUUUCAUUGACCUGCUUUGUUUGGCCAUCAGUUUAAGAAUCAAAGGAAGAAGAAAGGUUGAUGUCAACCUUAAGAAUCUUGAAGAAUGCCUUCCAAAACUAUGAUAUAAAUUGUGGCCCAUGAUUCGAUACAAUAUUGUUUGGUAACCAAUGGUAAUGAUAGACAUUAUUAAUAAAGAGUCUUAUCAUCUCUUCAAUAGUAAUUGACUUCUUGCAAGAUAUAAAAUAUAUCAUCUUGGUCAAUUGAUCAACAACUAUGAAGAUAGUAUUAAAUGAGUUUGAUGGUAGAAGAUCCAUAAUGAAAUCCAUAGACAUAGAUGAUCAUGGUUGUCUUGGAAUAAAAAAUGGUUUAAGAAGUCUAUAUGGCCAGUAUUGAGGAUACUUUGACCUUGAACAAGUAUCACAUGAUAGUACAAAUUCUUUAAUGUCUUUCAACAUUUUAGGCCACCAAAAGUCUUUAGACAGAAGUUCCAAGGUCUUGUUGAAUUUGAAAUGUCCAGCUACAAGGAAAUCAUGGCAUGUUUGAAAAAUGCGCUUGUGAGUUGGCUCUUCAAAAAUGAACAAACAUUCUUCAAAAAAUAAGAGGUUGUCUUCAUACUUAAAUUUAGAAGAUUCUUCAAGAAGGUUGUUGGCAAGAUGCUUGAUAUUAAGAAUAAGAGGGUCCAUCUUUGAGGCUUUACGAACUUGAUCAAGAACUAAUAAAUCCACAUGCAUUGAUAUAUUGGUUGCUUGAAGAUGAAAUUGCUCAGGCUUUAAUAACAUUGCCCAUUGUUGAUGAUAUGCUGCCUUGCCUUCUUUUGGUUCAAGGUAGAAACAUCUUAAUAAUGAAUCUAACAAACUUUCUUAAGUCCCAGGUCGGUAUGUGAUACAAAAGCCAAAUCAUAAUAAAGAUAUAUUUCAAUGUAUUUAAUGACAGUUCAAGACUCGGGUUGAUAUGAAGUAUUCAAGAUUCUUAUGAUUUAUAUAUAUAGUCACUUGAUGAGAGGUGCCUUCAAAAAAGCAGCACUAUUCUUAGAAAGAAUCUAUGAUAAUAAGUAAUUCUUUCUUGUGGAUUUUGUAGUUAAUUUUUGCCACUGAGAAUUUUUUAGAAUGGAAUGCAAUUAGAUGAAGUUUGUCAUCUUUUCCAUAUUAUGACAAGCCUGCUUCCAAUGCAAAGUUUGAAGCAUUGGUCUCUAUAAAGUAGGAUUUAUUAAAAUUUAGAUGUAUCAAAAUUAGAUCUAUUGUGAAAGUAUCUUUUAAGCUUUGAAAAUCUUUCUCUGCUUUGGGAAUCCAAUCCAACUUAUUCUUGCAUGUCAACCGCAAAAGUAGAGCAGUGAUCUUGGAGUAAUUCUUAACAAAAACCUUAUAAAAGUUUACAAAUCUAAGAAAGCAUUGGACAUCACCUAUAAUUUUUGGUUUUAUCCAAUUGAUGAUUACUUGUACCUUCUUUGGAUCCAUAAAAAGGCCUUUGUUGGAAAUAAUAUAUCCAAAAAAUUUGCCUUGAGGUGCAAGAAAUACAUACUUCUUUAGUUUUGCAUAUAGCCUAGCACUUCGUAGCUUUUUCAUUACAAGGCGGACAUAUUUUUUGUGGUCCUCCGGAUUCUUAGAAAAGAUUAGAAUAUCAUCCAAAUAGAUUAUAACAAAGUCAUUGAGAUGCUCACAAAUUAUGUCAUUCAUUAAAUGUUGGAAUAUGGCUGGUGCAUUGAUAAGUCCAAAAAGCAUGACAUUGUAUUCAAAAAUGUCCAUACAUGGUGCAAAAUGUUGUCUUCCAUUCAUCUCCCUCUUUUAUUUGUACCAAGUUAUACACACCUUGUAAAUCAAUCUUUGUAAAGAUCUUUGCUUAGCUAAAUUGAUCAAGAAGUCUAGAUAUCAAAAGCAAUGGUUAUCAAUUCUUUAUUGUGAUUUUAUUAAGACAGUGAUAAUUAACAUACAUCCGUAAAGACCUAUCUUUUUUCUUCACAAAUAAUAUCGGAGCAUCAGUUGGUGACUUGAAAUGUCAAAUAAAAUUCUUAGCCAAAUUUUCAUCAAUGUACUCCUUUAAAGUCGGAAAUUCAUUCUGGGAUAAAUUGUUGAUGGGUCUGAAUGGUGGUUGAGCACCUUCUUGAAGGUCAAUUAUACAAUCGUAAGGGCGAUGUUUUGGCACGAUGUCUACAUUCUUUUUUUCAAAUAUAUCUAUAAAAUCUUUAUAUGCUUUUAAAAUUAUUGUUGUAGCAACUACAUAUUUCAAUUAUAGAUUUGCAUAGACAGCAAAUAUAAUGCCCUAUUUGGUCGCCUUCACAAAUGCUCUAGCUCCAAUAAAUAAAUAUUGUUUAAGUUUUGGCUUGUUGGAUGUUAGAAGUUUCUUUUAUAGAUUUGAGGGUUCUAUGAUCUAUUAGAGAAAAUUCUAACUUUUGAGAUACCCAAUCUAUCUACAAAUUAUAUUUUUUAAACCAUAAGAGUCUUAAAAUGACUGAACUUGAUAAUGUUCUAAUGACGUUGAAUACUACUUGGUUGUUAUGGUUAUCAAAGGUUAUUUCUAAUAGAAUCAUUUUAUGAGUGAUGUUUGUAGAGGAUAAAGGUUGAUUAUUUAUUACUUCUAUAUAUACGACUUUGGAUUUUUUAACUAUACAAAUUUUAUAUGAUCUAAAAAAUUCUUUGUCAAUAAAACAUAUAGAGACUCUGGAGUCAAGUAAUGCAUGACACUCUAAUUUUAUGACUCCUAACUAUACAGAUAUAGUAAAAAAAUGUGAAUGGCUGGCAGAAAGUACAAGACUUUUUUUGAUUUGUGGUAGUAAAGAAUCCAACUACAUGGUCCCUACUGUGGCUGCAUGCCUAUGUUUUUCUACAUAGCUUUUGAUGAAGUGGCGGCACUCCUCAUUCAAUAUGUAUGCUGACAUUUCUCUGAACAAUUAUCAACCUUGUGGCCAAGUUUUUUAAAAUAUAAGUAUAGACCAAGUUCUCUUUGAUAUUUUUUUUCUUCCUCAGAAAGAUGUUUGAAGCAAACUACAUCAAUCUAUACAUCUUCUGCUUCCAAAUGCUCAUCAAAAUUGAAUGGUGAAGAAGUUGUAGAAUAAUUGAUAUAUACAUGUGGCAUAAUUGAAGAAUUUUUAUCUUGUCAUUAUUGAAAUAAAUGAUUAUCGUACUUCAUAGUUUGACUAAUAGCUUCAUUGAGUAUUUGAGGAUCUGGCAUAGACAAUAUAAGUACUUAAUAUUUUCUCUUAAUCCCCAAUUAAAUUAGCUCAUCAAUGCAUCUUCUCCAAAUGAAAUUUUGAGGGGGUGCUAUCAAACUUUUUCUAAAGACUAAUCCUUGGUUCUUUUGUUGUUAUUGUUGUCAGAUCAUUGCCUUAAAUGGAUGCAUCUUUCAUAUUUGUUGAAGCAGAUAUAGUCGUUUGAGAAUUUAAAACCUCUAUUAUCAUUUAAUGUGGUGGUUGAGGCACUUCGGCUCCUUGACCAUUAUGUAUGAAUAUAUAGUUCUUCAUUCUCUUUUAAUAAAAUCUCUAUUCUGAUCUUCAAUGCUUUAAGAAUAUUAAUAAUAGAAUCUAAUUUGAUCUCUUUGGAAUCUAUCAUAUUGACUUUUCUACCUUUUUCCAUAGAAAAUGAAAGAAAUACAUGCAUUCAAAAAAAAAAAAAAAAAAAAAAAAAAAAACUUGAUCAUUAUAUAAAGAAAAAAAAAUCAAAAGAAUAUUAAAAAAAAACAAUAUUAGUAUAGGGAGGGUAAUUUGCAACCUCUAGAAUGUUAUAGUACUUCCAAGAAGAAGGAUAAUGUAUUCUUUGUUAAGAAAGACCAAAAUUUUAAUAUUAUUUUAUGGCAACCUCGACAAACUAUUAGGAAUCGUAUAUAAGACAAGGAUUCAAGAUAGAAAAAUGAAAUUAGCUUGAUAUUAGAACAAUAAUUGGAUACAAAGCAAGAAGGUCUUGGCUAAACCAUAAUAAAUGAGUUUUUGAAAUUGAGGAUCCCCUCAACCUCGACUCCUAUAUAUACUAGGUCCUAGGAAGUUUCUUGAGAAGUUUUCAUGAGGCUUGGAAAUAAAGCCAACCUAAGUUCUUUCUUCAACAACUUCCUAAAUCAUGUAAAGCCUCCUAGAACCUUCCAAGAUUUCCUUUGACCUUCUUGAACUUUCUUAGAAUCUACUAGAACCUUCUAGAAUCUACAAGAACCUUCUUAGAAUCUUCUCGAACCUUCUUUAGUUGUAUGUUUAUAACAAAAGAUAUUAUGGAAUUAACCUAAUAUUACCUACUUUUGUAUUAACUUAUACUUAUAUAAAAUUACUUAUAUCAUAUAAGUAAUUAUUGGUUUACAUGUAUAUAUCAAUGACAAAGAUUAUAAAAAUCCUCACUAACCUUAAAUUUUAAUUAUGUGAGACCAUAGUCCACAAAAAUUCUCAUAACCAUCAAUUGAAUCAUUUGAUUAAUAUCAAAUUUUUCAAAUACAUUUAAAAAUAAAAAAUAACAAAUUGAAAACAUUUCAUUCAAAAGUAUGCUACGACAUUCACAAAAUCUUCAAAAAAAAAAAAAAAAAUCUUUUUUUUCUUUUUUUUAAAUUCAAAUCUACUAAAUACAUCUCUCACUUUAAAAAAAACCUUUCAAACCUCAAUAUGCCUUCAAAUCACAUAAAAUCAACUCUCUAAAAUCCUCUCAUAAGUUCCUUCUAAAAUCUCACUCUCUAAUCAAUCAAAGAACCUUGGAUCUUAUUUCAAUCUUGGUUCACAACUAAUCCACUCUAAGUGUUAAUUCUUAGUAUUUUGAGGUAAUUUUUGCUAAAUCCUAUUCUUAACUUCCUCCUAAAAAUAAAAAUAUUAAUUAUUUAUCUCAUUUAAAAAUAAUAACAUUCAAAUGAAAAUAGUAAUCAUACACUAGUGAUAUAUUUUUUCAAAUAAUAAAAAAAAUUCAAAAAAAUAUAUCAAAUAUAAAGACAACAAUGAAAAUAUUCUAAAAUUUGAUAAUUCUUCAUAGUUACUAAAUGAUUUAUGGCCAUAGCAAAAUAAAUAUCAAAUUGGUACUUGAUACUUUUUGAACAUGAGAGCCUAAUGGCUCCUUUCAUAAGAAAAUUUUAAUAAAAUUGUGAGCUAAAAUUGACCUCUACUAAUUGGAAGUUAUUAUAGUUCACAAGUAAAUUAACUUGUGAAUUUUAGUAGUUAAAGCUGUUAAUUAGAUUCUAAUCAAAUUAUUCUUUAUUCUUUUUAAAUAAUCCAAGUACAUGAUCAGUGAAUAAUAAUUCCCUGUGUGCAACAAUCUGCAAGUAAUUGACUCCUAAAUUCAACUUCCUAUCCAACCCUGUAAACUCAAUGCACAUAUUGUAAUCCACGAUUUACAUUAACUCCAUCGAUGAAUCUCAGCAAUGAGUCACCAAUUGCACAUCCAAAUUGCCUGAGCAUCACAGACAAUAAUAGAAUCUCUACAAAUCAUUGCAAUAUGAUCUACGGAUCUCCCAAAAGACGAACAACUCGAGUGGAUUGGAAGCAUCUACAGUUGCUUGCUGCUCAAAGCGACACAGCUGUCGAUCACACUUCUUGACUUCACGAUCUUUCUAUCUAAUAUUGUGUCGCUACUCAAGCUAGCACCGUCAACAUUUCUGCUUGCAUUGAUUUAAUCUACCAAUUGAAAUCAACAGGCAUUGAAGAAUGUCUUUCAGAUCUCGCCUCAAUUGCCGACUCAGCCUAUGUUCUAUCACCAGGGAACUACAACCAUCCUCAUUGGCUCGAGUUGGCACAGAACGCCACAAAAGCUACACCAGUUUUUUUUUGUAGAGCCAUCUUGAACAAUAAUCGUGAAUCUUGAACAUCAUCGCUGAAAGAUUCCAAUCGUAUUGUAUCAUGAACAAUGGCGAUACCCCUUGUUUUUUCUAGAUCACAAUCAAAGGAGAGAAACUACAAGACUGGAAGGGGGUGAGGGUUCUCAAUCUUCCCACUGCAACGCAUGAAAGCAUCAAGUUGUAAAGACCACUGCCAAUAACUAGCAGCCCUUGUCUAACCCUGUGGCGCUAAUCAGCAAGUAAAAAUGCGGAGCCAAGUCGUCCCAGCCAUACUCAAAAAAAAAAAAAAAAAAAAAAAAACAAGUGCAAGCAAACCUAGGUGCAGCCACAAAAUCAAGAACUAUAUGCAAGGAAGGAAAGUAAAAAAAAGGAUAACAACGCUAGAACAAACCCGGUCCGAUGCAUGAAGCACACACCGCAACAACAUGUGGCGCUCCUAACUCAGUACCAGAACCAAAAACAAGAGCAGAACUCCGUAGGAAUGGAGUCCAGAAUUCUCCUCGAAAAAAUCAAAAACAAAAAAAACAAAAAAAGGAAGAGAUCAGGACAUUCUAGAAUAGAACUGCGAGAGAGACAUGAGCACUGAAUCACAAAAGAAGAAAAAACAAAGCUACCCAGAUCCGACGCUCCCACUACAGAGCCGCCAAUGAGAGAAAACACCAUCGGCGGCCUACCGCUAGCAUCCCGUCGCAUGCAACAGCUACACCACCUUCGGAGCUUCUUCCAAACAUACAAACCAGAAAAAAUAGAAGUGCUGCACCACAUCACUCUAAAAAAAUAAAAUAAAAACACAGCAGAAUCCAACCUUUGAGGGUCAACCAAUGCCAAAAAGUAAGGUUUUUCUAGUCAUGCAGAACUUGCUACUUCUCCCACCAAUCGCAACUUCCACAAGAAAUCUCGAGUACUUCCUAUGCAAGCGCAGCCACUGCCACUUGAACACGAAACAAAAAGGAAGCAAGAUCCAUUUCUCGCUGCCCUCGUCGGAGACCAGUCCAGUCGCACACACCAAAAAGAUCACACACCUGGAGAUGCUUCUCCCCGUCAGAGCAUCCACAACGUUGCUAAAAUAAAAUAAAAAAUAAAAAAAAAAAUAAAAAAAAAAAAAACAAAACAAAACAAACAAGAGUAAGAGAGAGUGAGGGAUCAGGGCGGUCGGACCCCUAUCGACCCCUAUCAAGGCUGCUGCCGUUGAAGAAUAGCCUCUUGUCCCACCUUGAUCGCCUUUCUUUAAUUAUUUAUAUAUAUAUAUAUAUAUAUAUAUAUAUAUAAAUAAAUAUAUAUAUAUAAAUAAAUAUAUAUAUAUAUAUAUGUCUUCUCUUUUCUUCGUCUCUUCUUUUUGAUUCUCCUUCUCUUCUAUUAUUAUUAUUAUUUUUUCUAUUAUAAUAAUAAUAAUAAUAAUAAUAAUCAUAUAUGAAGAAUACAUUUGCUAUUAUAUAAAACAUAAAGAUAUUUUUGAUAUUUCAAGAUACUCAAGAGGUAUAUUUGAUAUUUUUCCUUCUUACAACAUCAAAAUAUUGGAAGUCAUCAAUAAAGAUGUCAAGUUUCUCAAAACUUUUGAACAAUGUCUAUUUACAUUAUUUAAAAUUAUACAAGAAGUUGCUUCUAUAUAAGAGCUAUGAAUGUGUUUGAGUGUAGAAUUUGAUUAUUUUAGAAAGAACCACAAGCUUGAUUGCCAAGCAAUGUUGAUGUGCAAGUGUUGAGCGACAAAUACAUACACUUAUUAUAAAAACCACCAUUCAAUUAAUUAUUUAUAAAAAUUGAUCACUAAACAAGGAUCACUUUGCGGUAGCUGACAUCAAUUCUUGAUAAAGUAGUUAAGUAUUUCAACAUCAUACUUUAGGCAAUCUAAAUGGCAAUACUUUUUUUUUUAUAUAGAUUUGUAAGCCAAAAGGUGCUCUAAAAACAAUGAUCAUAUUGCAUAUCUUGUUUAACUACUUCUUUAUCACUAAAAACAAUGGCAUGUAAAUUUGUGCCUAUAUAUAAAUCCAAAGAAGCAUCCUACUUAAAUCAAUCACCAAUAUAUGAUAUUUUUAGGUAUUAUGUUGUAAUAAAUUCUAUGAUUGCAUUCUUAAUGGAAUAAAAUCCAUUGACACUGCUUAUAUUAAUCUUUGUAAUAAAAUACAAAGUAUAAAUUUUAUAAAAAAAAAAAAAAAAAAGAUAUUCAAUAAGAGGAUUUUGAAAUUAUUUUAAAAAUAUUUUCUCAGAUUCUAAAAUAUUUUAUAAGAUUUUAAGAAUAUUCUAAUAAAAGAUUAAAAAAUAUUUAAAAAAUAUUUUAAUAGAAGAUUCUAUAAAGAUUUAUAGAAUAUUUUAAUAGAAAAUUAAAUAAAGAUUCUUAUAAUAUUCUAAAAGGUUCUAAAAGAUUCUUAUAAUAUUCUAGGAGAUUUUAGAAAGUUCUUAGAGGAUCAAGAAAGAUGUCUAAAAAGCUUCUUAGAGUUGCUUCAUUUUCAAGCAAUAUGAAAACUUCUUAAGAAGUUUUCUAAGAUUUCUUCAUCUUCAAGUAACAUAAAACUUCUCAAAAAGCUUUCUAAGGUUGCUUCAUCUUCAAGUAAUAUAAAAACUUCUUCAAAAGCUUCUUAAUACCUAGUAUAUAUUGGAGCCAAGAUAGAGGAGAUCUUCAAUUUUAACAACACAUUUAUUAGAGCUUUAGUUCACUUUUUUUAGAGUUGAUGUUAUAUUCAUUAGAUUUAAUUAAGUUCUUGUUAGUUUUUUUUGUUGACACUCUUUUUUCCAACUUCUUAUUUGGUCCCAUAUAUAAUGUAUCCAUGAUAGUUUGUCAAGACUUCCUUCUUAUAAUUAUUGGAGCUUGAUUUUUUUUAUAAAGAGUAGAUUAUUUCUCUUUUUGAAGACAUCUAAGUACUUUAGAGGCUGCAAAAUAUCCUCCUUUAAGCAAGUAUUAUUUAAUUUUUUGAAAUGGCUGGAGGUGAAGAUAUUAAUAUGAUUGAAUCUCUUGAAUCCAAGUUAGAUUUUAUUAUAAACAUGUUGAACGCUUCAUCUUAAAGAACUAUUGAAAUUGAGGAUUUUUUUAUAAGAUUUCAUGGUGAUGUAAGCCUUGAGCAAUUUAGCUUGUGGUGCAACUACUUUCUUAAGCUUCUACAUCCAAAGAAGUAGUUGCAUAUGUACCUUGAUAAGAAAAUUUACCUAUUCAACAACAUAAAGAGCCUUGUAUUAGUCUUUUAAAAAUAUUUAAUAGAAUAUUCUUCAAUUUCAAGGGUUUGUUAACCAAAUUUGAUUGGUAACUUUUCUACAACCUAAGUGUUAUUUAACAAAAGAGUUGCAAGUUGAUUUAUUUGAAACCUUGUUGACAAGUCAAGCCUUAUGUAGGUUUGUUUUUUUAUUUGAAAAGAGAUCUCCAAUCUUGAUCAACUUUGAAGCUUUUUUAGAAGCAUUUAUGGAAGCAUAUAGAAAACAUGAUAAGAUCCAAUGGACGACAACAAAGAUUUGCUCAUUAUGUCAAAAAUCAUAUUCUAAAUCAGUUUAUGUAUCUAAUUAUAGUCAAUUGGCUUAAAACAUCAAUUAGGAUGAAUAAGCUCUUAUGAGCCAAUUUUAUUGAAAAGUAAGAGAUGAUGUGAAAGAUCUAUUAUUAUCAUUAAUUGAUUUUCAAACACUCAACAAAGCUAUCAACCAGGUUGUGCAGUGUAAUAAUUAAUUAUUCUAAUACUAUCAAUAUCAAUACUUGUGAACUUUGAUAAAUCAAUAUCGUAGAAAUUUUUAUUCUAUUGUUUCAAUAAAUAUAUUAUUUUUAUAGUGCAAAAUUGAUGAUAUGUAAAUUGAUGCAAUAUAGUUCAAACUUCUUACAACAAAGAAUUAGAAGUAUUGAUUUGAACAAAGCUUAUAUUUUUUUUGUGAUGAAAAAGACCACAAAAUUAGAAAUUUUCUGAAGUAAUAAUAUACAACAAGGAAUAAGAGUGCAACCAUUUAAAAAAUAAACAAGCCGAGCCAAAAGAAGGACCAUGUGCCUAAACAUUCUAAUACCUCAAAUUCAUCAAGGUCCUUCUUUCUGUCAAGGACAAAAACAUGAUAAAGACAAAAAUUAAGUGAGACUUCUCUCAUAGAAAGAUGACAAAAUAAAAAUAACUUCAUAUAUAUAUAUAUAUAUAUAUAUAUAUAUAUAUAUAUAUAUAUAUAUAUUAAGAAAGAAACUGGAAUGGCUAUUGCCAAAAGCCAAGAAAACUAGAGACCCUUGAAACUAGAUUGGAAGCAAGAAAGGAAUUGACAAGAGUGAAAUAGGCUUCACUCAUGUCUCUAUAUAUACUAUCAAACUAGGGGCUAUGUGGUGACAUUCUAUAGGACCUCCAAUAUGUAUUGAGUUUGUAGUACACAUGUCUUGAUUUACAAGGCAAGUUUCUCUACGUAUAGGCCACAUAGUUAGCUUGGUCUUCAAACUAACAACAUGUGUGGCACAUGGCCAACUUGUUGACCAUGUUUCUAAUCCCAAAAAGUCAAUCAAAGACACCUAUAAAGUCAAAAGAGCGUCUAUGAAGCUUUUAGAAAGCUUUCAUACCAAAUACUAUAGAAUUAACUUACUUUUACGUACUUUUAAUUACUUCUACCUAUUUAUACAUGUAAUUAUUGGCUUACAUACAUAUGUUCGUGAUAUUACUCCCCCUUCUAGGAACGAGUUCUAUGAGGAGCGAUAAUCAUAUGUUGAAGAAAUCUAUAAUACGACGAAUUGUAUUCGCUACAUACUUUGAUCUUUGUUCUUCGAAGAUGAUUGAUAGGGCCUCUCAACCAUCGGUAGUGUCCCAUACCAGGGUGGGAAGACCACCCAGUUAUUUGAUCAUUGUUAAGGCCUUCAUAACUUCCUUCAAAUAAAACAUUUGGAACACCAUCAAGAGUUGUUCCUACCUCAAGUAAAAUCACCAAAUAUUAGGAGUCCCUUCCAAAAUCGUGAUACCAAACGCUUUGUAUCUUGCCAUCUAUUCAAGGAAGAACAUGUCGUUCUUGAAGAUCUUCAUCUUGAUUGUAUCGUCUUGAAGGUUGUGACAAUCGUAAUAUCUCGUCCGAUAGAUCAGCAAACGAAGGUUCUUAAGUUGAAUCCGCUGAUUGUUAGUUCUCCAUUUUUUGAGUGUCACAACUACAAAGAAGCUACAAACAAGGAUUAAAAGUAGAAUGUUAUCUUGCCUAAUUCUUGUUUUUUUUAUAAGGAAGGUAUUCAUCUUGAUUUUGAUGGAUGUCGUCAAUGAAAAGCCUCCACUAGUUUUGCUACAUUUGCAAGAUUCUUCACUGGCUCCCAUGUGCAUUCACUACUAUCAUAUCCAUGCCAAUGGACAAGAUAUUCUAAUUUAUUUUGGCAUCCCCUUGAAUCUAAGACUUCUUCCACUUCAAACUCUUCAUUAUUGUCCACUUCUAUAGGAGGAGGUGGAGCUUGUCUUCUUCUUAGUAUAUCCACUAUCUUGUAUGCUUCAAGAAGAGACAUGUGGAAUACUGGAUGGAUUUUCAUUGACUCCGAUAGAUAUAAACGAUAUGCAACUAGAUUGAUUUGUGCAGAAAUAGAAAAUGGUCCAAGCCUUCGAUAGUCCAAUUUGUCACAAAGAUGAGUGGUCUUGAUAUUGUGACGAAGUAACCAUACCUUAUCACCUAUGUGGAAUGGUAGUUGUUCAUUUCGAUAGACAUCCGUAUUGACCUUUUGUUGUUCUUGAGCUUCUUUUAAUUGAGCCUUCAUUAUUGCAUGUAGCUCUGACGAAUGAAUUAUUAAAACUUUUGCAACAGGAUUAUCAACUUUUAAAAAGUCAAAAGUAUCAAGUCGUGGAUAAUAACCAUAAUUAGUAAAGAAAGAUGUUUGUUUUGUAGAAGAAUGUACCAUGUUAUUCUAAGCAAACUCUGCCAAUAGCAAAAGAGUUGUCCAAUCAUCUUGUUGGUAGUUAAUGGUACAUCUUAAAUACUGCUCCAAAACUUGAUUAACAUGCUUCGUUUGUCCAUCAGUUUGAGGAUGGAAUAUCGAAGAUAGUUUUAUAUCCACUUUUAGAAUCUUGAAAAGAGUUUGCCAAAAUCUUGAUACAAAUUGAGUUCCCCUAUCUAAUAUAAUAUCCUUCCAUAAUCCAUGAUAGCGAUAAAUAUGGUCAAGAAAGAGCUUAGAUGUUUCUUCACAUGUGAUAGAUUUUGUACAUGGUACAAAAUGUGCCAUCUUCGUAAAACGAUCUACUAUCACAAAUAUAGAGUCAUAAGAACUUGAGAUUCGAAGAUCCGUGAUGAAAUCCAUAGAAAUAGAAGACCAUGGUUGUUCUGGAAUGGAUAAUGGCUGAAGAAGUCCAUAAGGUCGAUGACGAGGAGUUUUUGAUCUUGAGCAAAUAUCACAAGAUUGUACAAAAUCUUUGACCGCUUUCCACAUUUGUGGCCAUCAAAAGUCCCUGGAUAUUAGUUCCAAAGUUUUAUUGUAUCCAAAAUAUCAUGCUGCUGAAAAGUCAUGAUGAGCUUAAAGAACACGUAAUCAAGCUUCACAUUCUGGAACAUAUGGGCGUCCCUCAAAAUAUAGUAGAUUCUUCUUGAAUUCAAACUUGGAAGUAUCAUGAGACUUUGAAGGAUUUUUCUUCAUAUCACGAAUAAGAAGAUCAGAAGACAUACUUGACUGAACUUACUUAAUGAAAGUUGAAUCAACAGUUAGUAUUGAUUUCAUUACUCAAUUGCAAGAAGUUCUUUGUUGUAGAUUUCGUAGCUGAUCUCGGCUACUAAAAAUUUUUUGGAAUGAAAAGCUAUUGGAUGAAGUUUAUAAUUUUUUCCCAUUUGUGACAAUACAACAUGUAAAGCAAAGUCUGAUGCGUCUGUUUUCAUAAAAAUGGCUUAGAAAAAUCGACGCAAUACAAGAUUGGUGUAGAAACAAAGGCUAUCUUCAAAACUUCAAAUGCUACUUCUACUUCUUGAUUCCAUUGAAGUUUGUCUUUGCAAGUCAAACAUAUAAGUGGAGCUGCAACUUGAGAGAAGUCUUUGAUGAAGAUCCGAUAGUAGUUGGUAAAUCCCAAAAAGCAUUGGACAUCUCUUACUGUUUUUGGAAUCUUCCAAUCCAUAAUAGUUUGAACUUUCUUAGGAUCCAUCAUAAGUCCAUCAUUUGAAAUGAUGUAUCCUAAGAAAUCGACUUGAGUAGUGUGAAAUACACACUUUUCUAUCUUGGCAUAGAGUCCUGCAUCUCUUAGUUUUUGUAAUAUUUGGCGAACAUGAAGUUCAUGUUCUUUCGAGUUCUUAGAAUAGAUUAAGAUGUCGUCUAUAUAAUAGACAACAAAAUCAUCUAAAAACUCCCAAAAGACAUCGUUCAUUAGAUGUUGGAAUGCUGCUGGUGCAUUUGUAAGUCCAAAAGGCAUGAUAUUGUAUUCAAAAUGUCCAUAUCUUAUUUGAAACGCAGUCUUCCAUUCAUCUCCUUCUUUGAUGCAUACCAAAUUAUAUGCUCUCCAUAGAUCUAUUUUUAUAUAGAUCUUAGCUUGAUUCAACUGAUGAUGAAGUUCAGAUAUCAAAAUUAGCAAGUACCUGUUUUUUAUAGUGAUUUUAUUGAGUCCUCAAUAAUCAACACACAUCCGCAAUGAUCCAUCCUUUUUCUUCACAAAUAAAAUUGGAGCUCUUGCUGGAGAUUUGGACUAGCAUAUGAAGUUUUUGGCCAAAUUCUCUUCAAUAUACUCCUUGAGUUCAGCUAACUCAUUUUGAGAUAAAUUAUAGAUUGAUCCAAAUGGCGGUUGUGCUCCUUCUUGAAGGUCAAUUGAGUAGUCAUAGGAAUGAUGUUUUGGAAGAGUAUCUACACUCUUUUUUUCAAAUACAUCUUGAAAAUCUUGAUAUUGGCUUGGAAUGUCACUUGAAGUCUUUCCACCAAUAGAAACAAGUGUGGCAUAAAUCAUACAAGGUGAUCUUUCUUUUGCAGCAUGUAAGAAAGCACUUGCAUCUACAAAUAUAGAUUUAAUUAUACUAGAAUUAUGACUUUUUACUUGAUUAACUACACUCUUAGUUAUACUUUCAGAAAAGUCAAGACUACGAGAAGUCUAAUCUAUUUUAGGGUUAUAUUUUUCUAGUCAUGAUAAAUCUAAAAUGUCUAGAUUAGAAAGAGAUCUAAUGAUAUUAAAUAUUAUAAAGCUACUAUGACCAUUAGUUGCUAUUUCUAUAGGAAGGAUUUCAUGAGUAACAUCUCCUAAAGACAACGGACGACCAUUUAUGAAUUCUAUAUGAAUAGGUUUAGUUUUCUUUAUUAAAAAUAUGCUAUGUCUUUUAGCAAAUUUUUCAUCUAAGAAAUAUGUUAAGGCUCUUGAAUCUAGCAAGGUAGAUGCUUUGAGAUGUUUAGGUCCUAGAAUAACAUUUAUCGCAAUACAUGGAGAGGGUUCUAAAGAGAGGAUAGGACCUUCACUAGACGUUGUACAAGAUUCCAGCCAGACGGUCCUUAUUGUAGGUGGACAAAUUUUUUUUCUAACAUGCUAUCUUCUUUGAUCACCGUACUCUUCAUUUUAUGGUUGCGUCGCUUUUUUGGACAAUGUUGAGCAUUGUGCUUAGGUUCUUCAUAAUAUAAGCACAAUCCUUCUUGACGACAACGAGUCUUUUCUUGCUCAGUAAGAGGUUUGAAACAUACUACAUCAAUUUGCAUAUCCUCUACUUCCAAAUGUAUGUAUUGAAGAGGUGUUGGUGUUGCCAUUGAAUUAUAAUAACGUUGAGAUCCACUUGUACGGUUCUCAGAUCAAAAUUUAAAAAGAUGAUUGUCGCACUUCACAGCAAAGUCAAUUACUUAACUCAAUGUUUGAGGAUCAAGUAAGUUGACCAUUAAUUUUUUUACCUCACAUUGUAAUCCAUAGAAAAAUUGGAUAAUAAGUGCAGCAUCAUCUCACUUGAUAUUAGUUACAAGUUGUCAAAAUUGUGAAGCAUAUAACAUUACUAAUCAAUUAUCUUGUCAUAAAAUAUGGAUCUUAUUGGUUGCAAUACGAAUUACAUCAUAUUUUCCUUACAUGGAUUGAAACUCCACCAAAAAAGUCUCUAGAUUAUCCAAUAUUAGAUCUCGUCAUUCAAGAAAAGAUGAAAACCAUGAUAGUGCUGAACUUGAAAGAAGUGUACCAAUGAAUCUAACUUGCGAUUCUGGAGUUGGAUAGCUUUGGGGUUGAAGUUCAAUUAUAAGUUGCACUUGAUUGAUAAAUCCUCGAAACUUAGAUCUGGUGCCAUCAAACUUCUCGGGUAGGGCAAUUCUUGGUUCUCUAACAUUGGAAGGCGUUCCACCAUAAGAGAAGGGACAUGAUUUGGUGCAGAUGUUGAAGCAGCUCUAAUCAUUUCUAUAUCUUCACUUCCUGCCAAUCUUGUUACUUCUUGUGGUGGUAAAUUGAGUUGAUGCAUGAUAAGCAUUAACUCCCUCAAUUGUUCUUGUAUUUGUGCCAUUGCACUCUUCAUUUCAGCAAGUUCUGCCAUAAUAACACUUAGAAAAGAGAAGAUGUCUAAUAUUGCUCAAGACAAAUAGAAGAGAGGACUUGAGAACAAAGAAAAUAUUAAGGACAAUAUCAGUGUAGAAGAAGGUAAUCCGCAACUUCUAAUAUGCUUGUGUCUUAUCAAAAAAAAGGGAUAAUCCAUUCUUAAUCAAGAUUAGACAAAAAUUUGAUAUUAUAGGUAUACUCUUGUCAAUCUAUCAAGGACAAGAACAUGAUAAACAUAAAUAAACAAGUGAGACUUCUCUCAUAGAAAGAUGAAAAAAUAGAAAUAACUUGAUAUAUAUAUAUAUAUAUAUAUAUAUAUAUAUAUAUAUUAAGAAAGAAACUGGAAUGGCUAUUGCCAAAAGCCAAGAAAACUAGAGACCCUUGAAACUAGAUAAGAAGCAAGAAAGGAAUUGUUAAGAAUGAAGAAGGCUUCAUUCUUGUCUCUACAUAUACUAUCUAACUAGAGACUACAUGGCGACGUUCUAUAAGACCUCAAAUAUGUGUUGACUUUGUAGGAUACAUGCUUUGACUUACAAGGUAAGUUUUUUUAUGUAUGGGCCACAUAGUUAGCUUGGUCUUCAAGCUAACAACAUGUGUGGCACAUGCCCAACUUAUUGACCACGUUUCUAAUCCCAAAAAGUCAAUUAAAGACACCUAUAAAGUCAAAGUAGCAUCUAUGAAGCUUCUAGGAAGCUUUCAUAUCAAAUACUAUAGAAUUAAUUUACUUUUACAUACUUUUACUUACUUCUACCUAUUUAUAUAUGUAAUUAUUAGCUUACAUGCAUAUGUCCGUAAUACUUUCUCUAUUCAACUUGCUUAUUAUUUUACUAUACCUUCAUUUCUUUGCCUAUAAAAACUUCAAACAAUUACUUUAUUAGAUUCAAAAACAUUUGCUUGUUCUUUAAAUAAAGAAUUUUUUAAAUUUUAUAAAAUUCCUUUAAUACAAAAGUCCAAACUUGUACAUAUAUAAAUAAUUUAUGAUCGACAUUUAUCUUCAAGCAAUAUUAUUUAUGAAACCAUACCUCCAUAAAUAUCAUUUGAAGCCCAUAGUAGUGAAAUAAUAUUCAAUAUUAUUACAACUUCAUUUAAUCCUAUCAUUCUACGACUUUCAUAGUUAAAAAGUUAUAAUUCAUCCAAAAAAAAGAGGUUUGAUAAGAUUUAAUGUUCUAUAGAAUCUCUUUAGGCAAAACCUAUUAAAAAGUCAUCAAUAACAAGGCCUUUAUUUUUUGAAGUAAAGACUUUUAUAAAGAUGGCUAAAAAUAUAUUUAUUAUUUAUUAUUUAUGCAAAUUCAACUUAUAAAGAAGUAAGCUUGAUAGUAGCUAUCCUAGAGCAAUAUAAGGAAUUUUAAGAUAUCUUUGAAAAGGAGAAUGUUGACAUAUUGCUAGAGCAUUGAUUAUAUAAUUGUGCCAUUCAUCUUUAAGAAAAGAUUCAACUACCAUUUGGCCCAAUUUAUAACAUAUUAUAGAACGAGUCUUUGACAUUAAAGAAUUACAUUGACUAAAAUCUUGCAAAGAACUUUAUUCAACAUUCCAAAUUCUCAGUAAGUGCACAAUUAUUUUUUGCAAAAAAAGAUAGAUCUUUAUAAAUGUGUAUUGAUUAUUGUAUCUUCAACAAAAUAAUAGUGAAGAAUUAUUAUCCAUUACGAUUGAUAUUAGAGCUAUUGAAGCAACUUGAUUAGACUAAGAUCUAUACCAAAAUAGAUCUCUAUAUAGCAUAUAAUUUAGUACAAAUUAAAGAAUGAGAUGAAUCAAAGACAACAUUUUCGAUAAUAUAUGUACAUUUUGGAUAUAAUGUCAUGCCUUUCUGAUUGAUAAAUGUUCGAGCUAUAUUCUAGCAUUUGAUUUAUGAUAUUUUUUUAGAAUUUUUGGACAAGUUUGUUAUCUGUUAUCUUGAUCAUAUCUUAAUCUACUCUAAGACUCUUAAAGAAUAUAAAGAAUAUAUGAAGUUAAUCUUAUAAAAACUAUGCAAUAUAAGAUUAUAUGCCAAAUUAAAAAAUAUAUAUAUAUUCCAUGAGCCAAAAGUAGAAUUUUUUGGAUAUAUUAUAUCCAAUAAAGACUUAUUGAUGGACUUGAAGAAAAUUCAAGCUGUAACAAAGUGAACAAUUCCAAAGACAAUAUGGAAUAUACAAUGUCUCUUUUUAUUUGCUAAUUUCUAUAGAAUAUUUAUCAAAAAUUAUUCCUAAGUUAUUGCUUCUUUUACUCAACUAACAUCAAAAGACAAAUUAGAAUAGAGAUCUCAAGUACAAAGGACUUUUCAAGAUUUGAAGGUAGUUUUUACUACAACUCUAAUUUUAAUGCAUCUAAAUUUUACAAAGGUCUUUUAUUUUGAGACUAAUGCUUCUAACUUUGUAUUAAGAGCUAUACAAUCAUAAAUGAGAAAAGAUUGAAAGUUCUAUCCAAUUUCAUUCUAUUUUAGAAUUUUUUUAGCUAUAAAGAUCAAUUAUGGGAUUUUUAACAAAAGGGCUUCAAUAGUUCCAUAAUUAUACAAUUAUGCAAUAAUACAAUUGUAAAGUAUUUCUAAGAAUGGCAUCAUUUGUUGAAAGGUACUAUACAUCCUAUGAUUGUAUGUAUAGAUUACAAAAUUUUAGAGUGUUUUAUGUCAGUUCGAAUUUUGAAUUACCGCCAAACUUAUUAGUAUAUGUGAUUAUAUUGUUUUAAUUUUUGCGAUUAUAUACUAGCCAAAAAAACAGCAAUGACUAUCAAACACUUUAUCAAAGCGAUCAUUUCUAGCUCAAAAUAUUGGAAAAGUAGUAUUUGAUUAGCAAUAUAUCACUUUUUUGAAGCUACAAUUAUUUAAUCUUUGUAUUACUUUUAUAGUUACAUUUGUUAAUUCAAGUUUUCUUGAACAAAUUUGAACAACAAUAGCUAAGAAUUCAUUAGUUUAUAAUAUCAAGCAAGGCCCUAAUAACAAUAAGUUCAAAUUCAUCAAAGAUCAUUUAUAUUUUGAAGAUUUCUUGUAUAUUUUAGAUGGACCGAUGUGACUUUGUGUUCUUCAAUCUUGUCAUGAUUUUCCAACUGUAGGGGAUUUUGGAUUUAAUAAAACAUUGGAGCUCAUUUCUUAAGAUUUUUAAUAGUCUCAAAUAUAGAAGACCAUGAAGGACUUUAUUCAAAAUUCAGGUUUGUCAAAUGACAUUUGUUCAAAAUUCAAGAAUUCUUAACAUUGUCCUUAUGUAUUUUUACAACCACUAUCAAUUCCAAAGUGACUGUGGUCUUCAAUAUCAAUGGAUUUUAUCACUGAUCUAUUACCAUAAGCUACAUUUGAUGCUAUCUACAUACUUAUAGAUUAACUUAAAAAAAUAGCACACAUUAUCUCAUACAGAAAGGUAAUUUUUGGAUAAAAAAUGGCAAGGCUUUUUCUUGAUAAUAUAUAUCAAUAUCAUAGCCUACUUGAUGACAUCAUUUUUUUUAAUUAAAGACCUCAAUUUAUAUCAAAGUUUUGGAUAUCUUUUUUCAGCAUAUUGAAGGUGGAUAUCAAACUUUUUUCUACCUUCCACCUUCAAACAAAUGGUCAAAUUGAACAAAUCAAUUAAGUUUUAGAACAGUAUUUGUGAUGUAUUAUUAACUAUUAAUAAGAUGAUUGGACCUUGUAUUUAGAAUAAAUAGAGUUUGCUUGUGAUAAUAUUCUUCAUGCUUUGAUUGAACAAAUACCAUUUUAUGCCAAUUAUGAUUAUCAUCCAAAGCUUGAUUUAUUAGGUACAUUAAAAGAAAAAAACUCAGCAAAAAAUCUUACAAAAUAAUUGUAACAACUCUAGACAAUUUUGAAGCUCCAUUUAUAAGCACCUCAAGAUUCUUACAGAGCAUAUUCAAACAAAUUUAGAAAAAAAAUCUAGUCAUUCAUAUCUCUCUCUUAGAAGCUUAUACAAAAUCAACUAUUUUGAAAAGAAUACAACUAUCGUCGCCAUGCAUUGAAAUAAAUCAUUAUUGGCAUGGCUACAACAUCAAUGAGUGUACGAAGGAACUAACAAAAAAUCCAAUUAAUUCGCCACAAAAGAUACUUGAGUUUCAUUGAUACUAUCUUCAAAAACCUAAGUCUAUUUUAAAAUGAUUUUUUUAUAAAGCUAUUAUUAGGAUAUUAUUUAUAACAAAAAAAGAAAAUGUGAAACUGAUGGUUUUUGUGGAAUUCAAAGUUAGAAGGAGAGGUGAUAUUACAAACAUCUAAUAAUAAUAUUUUAAGAAUAUUCUUAAAAUAUUUUAUCAAAUUCUAAAAGAUUCCUAAAUAUUUUAAAAAAAAUUUAAUAAAAGAUCAUAAAAAAUAUUCUUAAAAUAUUCUAAAAUGUUAUAAAAGAUUUAUAAAAUAUUAUGGUAGAUUCUAAAAAGUUUUAAAAUGUUUAAAAAAAUUAUCUGAGAGGCUUCUUAUGAUUGCUUCAUUUUCAAGCAAUAUAGGAACUUUUCAAAAAUCUUCUUAAGAUUGCUUUAUUUUCAAGGAAUAUGAAAACUUCUUGAGAAGCUUCUUAAUAUCUAAUAUAUAUUGGAAUUGAAGUUGAAGGAUCUUUAGUCUCAACUACACAUCUUUUAAAGCUCUAGUUCAAGACUCUUAGUGUUGAUCUUGUACUCAUCUUGUUUAAUGAGGUUCUUAUUGGCUUUCUUGUUAAAACUCUUAUAUUCAAAUUCUUAGUUGAUGUCUUGUGUAGUGUAUCCAAGAUAAAACUCUUCAAUGGUGAAUAUAAAGUUGAAUUUGUAUAUUUAAAUGAUGAAGUCUUUGUCAAGCCUAAAUUUUUGACUAGUGCUUAUGAUUAUCAAGCAAAUAUGUACAUCUUUCAAUUCAAACCUAGGAUGCCAUUUUGCAUAGUAUAUGGUAGAAACUAUUAAAAACAAUGUCUAGAAACCAAAAAACAAACAAACAACAGUAAAGGACGCAUGCACAAUUUGUGCUCAUUUCAUUAUAUUCUCUUUGUAUCUAUCAAUUCUUUACUAGAUUCAAUCAAAGAAAAACAUCAAAUAAAUCAUUUGGGUACACUGAUACAUUUGUAUUAUCAAAAAUAAUAGGGAUAUUAUUGAUAUUUUAGGACAUUUGAGGGAUAUAUUUGAUAUUUUUCCAAAACCAAAAACCAAUGGGAAAGCGCUCUCUCCCAUAGGAGGAUUGGCCGAUACAGUUGGCAGAAGUUGGAUCCAUCGAGGCAGCGCCACGUGGGCGCGGCGGAUGGAUGCUAAGACGACAAGGCAUUUUCUGACCACAGAUUAGGGCAAGUGAUGACUCAUCUGUCUAUGCAACACUGACACGAACAAGCACUGGCCUGAGCUGGCGCAAUCGCCGCAAACAACAAAGCCCGCCGUUGAGAAAACUCCGCCGUCGGAUUCAGCCUCGGACCAGCGCGGCUUCCACACCCUAAGGGACAGGAGCCCUUCAAGAGGCCGCGCCGCACAGCAUCCCACUUCACAGUGAUCGCGAGAGGUCUCGGAGCAGAGAUUUUUGUACCUAUUCGCAACCUGCUUAAAUUUUGAGGUAUGCCUUCUUUCCUGCUUCUUUUUGAUAUUAUGUCUACAAACCUCAGUCCCCUCAAAGCUGUUCAUUACCUCUUCGUUGAAUGUGACUUAAACAUUCUGGCUAAGAGCGACCUUAUCAAGUCUGCUGUCGUGGACUUCGUCGCAAGAGGUCCCCCAGGUCUUUUCCGAUCACUGGCAAUGGAGUCGUCUUUGUAAGAUAGUAGAAGAAGCAGUGAUUCCGUCUCCGUCAGUCCUGGUUUUUUAACCUACGUGGUCUAGUCACAGUUUUUGUUAGGUCAUCCAGCUUCCCUCUUUCCCAUAUUUGAGAUUCUACUCAACAGACACUCUUGUGUGCUGAAACGCUUUCACUUUCGUUGAGAGAAGGAGUCAUAGAGGAUAUCCUUUCUCCCAUAGCGAUGAUCAGGACUGAAUUAACGGCUUUAUCAUUGAAUGCGUUUAUGUUAUAUGCAGUUAGUUCAAGAUGGGUAAGGAGAAGGUCCACAUCAACAUCGUGGUCAUCGGCCACGUCGACUCCGGCAAGUCGACGACCACUGGGCACCUUAUCUACAAGUUGGGAGGUAUCGACAAGCGUGUGAUCGAGCGUUUCGAGAAGGAGGCGGCGGAGAUGAACAAGCGUUCGUUCAAGUACGCGUGGGUGCUGGACAAGCUGAAGGCAGAGCGCGAGCGUGGUAUCACGAUCGAUAUCGCGUUGUGGAAGUUCGAGACCGUGAAGUACUACUGCACUGUUAUCGACGCGCCCGGACAUCGCGAUUUCAUCAAGAACAUGAUCACGGGAACGUCGCAGGCGGACUGUGCCGUGCUGAUCAUCGACUCGACGACGGGAGGGUUCGAGGCCGGUAUCUCGAAGGAUGGGCAGACGCGUGAACACGCACUGCUGGCGUUCACUUUGGGAGUGAAGCAGAUGAUUUGCUGCUGCAACAAGGUGGGUUCGGGGGCAUUUUGGUUGAGGUUGGGGGGUAGGGACAUGGUAUGGGAGCGGGGCGCGGUGGUGGCAUUGGGUUGCGUUAUGGACAUGGCGUGGGUAAUGUCGGGGGCAGACGAGUGGGGUAAGGGGUAGGGUUUUUUGCGUGCAUUUUUGGGGGGCAGUGAGGUGGGCUGAUGUUGGUGAUGUGGAGGGUGGCAGAUGGACGCGACGACCCCGAAGUACAGCAAGGCCCGAUUUGAGGAGAUCAGCAAGGAGGUGUCGGCGUACCUGAAGAAGGUGGGGUACAACCCGGACAAGAUUCCGUUCGUGCCGAUCUCAGGGUUCGAGGGUGACAACAUGAUCGAGAGGUCGACGAACCUGGACUGGUACAAGGGUCCGACUCUGUUGGAGGCGUUGGACAACGUGUCGGAGCCGAAGAGGCCAUCUGACAAGCCUCUGAGGCUGCCGCUUCAGGACGUGUACAAGAUUGGAGGCAUUGGAACUGUGCCAGUGGGACGGGUGGAGACGGGAAUCAUCAGGCCGGGCAUGUUGGUGUGCUUCGCACCGACGGGACUGACGACUGAGGUGAAGUCUGUGGAGAUGCACCACGAGUCGAUGCCCGAGGCACACCCGGGUGACAACGUUGGGUUCAACGUGAAGAAUGUGGCGGUGAAGGACCUGAAGAGAGGGUACGUGGCCUCAGACUCGAAGAAUGACCCUGCAAAGGAGGCAGCAAACUUUACGGCGCAGGUUAUCAUCAUGAACCACCCGGGACAGAUCGGUAACGGUUAUGCGCCAGUGCUGGAUUGCCACACGUCGCACAUUGCGGUGAAGUUUGCGGAGAUCUUGACGAAGGUGGACAGGCGAUCGGGUAAGGAGCUGGAGAAGGAGCCGAAGUUUUUGAAGAACGGAGACGCAGGGUUCGUGAAGAUGAUUCCGACGAAGCCGAUGACGGUGGAGACGUUCGCGGAGUACCCACCAUUGGGACGGUUCGCGGUGCGGGACAUGAGGCAGACGGUGGCUGUGGGUGUCAUCAAGGCUGUGGAGAAGAAGGAGCCAACUGGUGCCAAGGUGACCAAGGCCGCCGCCAAGAAGAAGUAAAUCUCCUGGGAUUGAAGAGACUUUUUAUUCCUGAGUACUCGGACUUGAUAAUUUUUCGGAGUAUAUGCAGCGCAUUUCGCUGAUGCUUGUGGAGACUUAAUUUUCAUUCUUACCCGCCUGAAGAUAGUCAUGUAGUUCAUCUUGGUGUCAGGAUUAUUUUAGCGAGUUCAUGUCACGGAUACCUUUACUAUUUCCUGAGUUCUCCUUUAAUGCCCUCUGUCAUAUCCCGAAUACUUGACAUGUUUCCGUUCAAGUUCAUUCGUUGACCGUCUUGAUUCCAUGGUUGUUUUGAUAUGCUCGACAGAAUAUGUCAAUUCUGUUGUCGACGUUACAGUUUGUCUGUUGAUUGAGCCCCUCUAUGUUAUCAUUUUACAAUUACUGUGAAGUUUGACUGAAGAAAAUCCUUUUUUUUUUUGCCUCGUUCUGUAACAUAUUCUCGGCGCUAAUCCCCGUGAUAUUGCAUCUUUUAUCCUGUUCCAAAGAAACAUGUUUUUUAUCUCUAUCUUUGUACAGUUCCCGGCAAAUUUUUUAUUACCCCCAUCUACACCUAAACUACCUCUCCUAAUCAAUAAAUUACCUGAGAUGAAUGAUAUUCUUCCUCGAGAAUUAUUCAAUGAAACAUUUGUAAUUUACGAGUUGCAAUGUAGAAAUUUAGGAGGAAGAGUUGAAAUAGAGUCGGCUAUUUAAAUUCAAAGGAAUUCUUUGUGUGCUGUCGUUAUGAAGUAAACGGCAACGGCCAAAUAGAUCUUUAAUCAACUGAUAAGAUGCUGUCACUUUAAUUAUCAUCUUUGUCCAUUUGAAUUUCUAAAUAUUCAGCAAACUCAAAUCUGCAACACCUAUUUAACUGUCUUCUUUACUUUCGGCACUUUUUGAAUGGAAUCAUAUGGUUUUUUGUAGAAGGUUUUGUCCAAAGAAAAUUAAAUUGCACUUUGAAACUGUAAAUCAAUCCGCAUGUUCUACCCUUGUAUUGCCUUGUGAUAUAUAAUCCUUUCUUGUUCUUUAUAAUUCUCAAAUGGUGAAGAUUUGAUUUUUGAAGGUAGUGAUCUAUUGAAAAAAAAAAAAAAAAAAAAAAAAAGGAAUUUUGAAGUCACAAUAUAUAGCAUUAAUAAGGUUUGUACACAAGGAAAUUAUGGAAUAAAAUAACUCAUACUUCUAUAAUGCAUUUCUUAUAGGUGGUAGCUAUUGCUUUGUUGGACAAUUUUUAUCUUUGAUGAAUACAUCUAUCUAACAUUUUAUCGAUACUUUCUAUUAAAUAUCUUAUCUUCUAUAAGAAUAUGCCUUUAAUAUAUCUUCUAUACCUUUAAGAUCCUUUGUUUGUUCAUCUACCUUGUGUCUUGGCGUUUUUACAUACCAAAAGCCUAUUCUUUGAUCAAUAGCAACUUACUUAAGAUAAUAGCUUCUAAAAGGUAAUUUAUUCUACUUUCACUUUUAUUUACUUACUUUAACACUUCUACUUUGCUAUGGAUCAAAGGCUUUCAAUCUUAAUAUGUGAUGUCUAUCAUUUAUUAAUCCCUUUGCCAACAAAUCAGCAAGCAUGUCUUCCAUUAUACAAUACUUCAUAUCAAUUACUUCCAUUUCAAUCUUUUUUCUUGUGAAGUGAUGUUGAAUGUCAUUGUAUUUGGUCUUUAAAUGAUGCUUUGGAUUCUUUGUAAAUCUAAAACAUUCUUGAUUGUUAUAUUCCAUUGGAAUUGCUUAUGUUUGCACUACUUCAAUGUCUUCCAAAAGUUGUCUUAGCCAUAUUGUCUCCAUUCUAUUAUAGCUUGCUGCCAUGUACUUGGGUUCUAUUGUUGAUCUUACAAUUGUUGGUUAUAUCUUGCAAUUCCAUGAAAUAGCCCUGAUUCCAAUAGAAAAUACAUACUCUAUUGUUGACCUUUUAUUAUUUGCAUCUCCACUCCUAUCUACAUCAGAAUAAUCAUGCAAAGUAAUGUUAUUAUCUCUAAGACUUAAUUUGAAAUGCAAAAUACCUUUUAAGUACUUCAUGAUUGUUUUGAUGGUUGCUCAAUGGAUUGAUUCAACCUUUGACAUGUGUUGGCUCACAAUACUUAUGACAUAUGCAAGAUUCACUCUUGUGCCAACCAUUGUAUAUAUAAAUGAGUCCACUACUGCUUUAUGUGGAACACCUUGCAUUUGACCUUUAAUUCAAGCAAAUUCUUCAUCCGUAAACUUUAUUAACUUCAAAUUGGCCUCUAAAGGUAUUUUAAUAGGCCUACCCUCUUCCAUAUUGAAUUGUUUCAAUACCUCUUCAAUAUACUUAUUUUUGCUCAUUGUAAUGGUCUUCUUAGUAUAACCUCUCACAAAUUCUACUUCUAAAUAAUAGUGAAGAUUUUCCAAAUCACUCAUCUCAUACUCAUUUUCUAAUUUUGCCUUCAAUCAAUCCAAUAUCUUCAAGGUAUUGGUUAAGAUGAUCAAAUUAUCAACAGAGAGAAUGACAAUUAAUAUAAAUUUAUUUGAUUGCAUGACAUUCAUAUAAUGAUUAGCCUUACUUCUUUUAAAUCUUUCAUUUACAACAAAUGUGUCAAUACAUUUAUACUAUACUUUUGGUGAUUGCUUGAGCCUACAAAAAGAUUUCUUCAACUAUAAACAAGAUAUUGUUUGUCUUUUUCAACAAAUCCUUGUAGUUUAACCAUGUAGAUGUCAUUUUCCAAGCUUCUAUUUAAGAAAGCCAUUUUCACAUCUAUUUAAUGCAUCUUUGAGUCCAAUAUUGUCUUAAUUGCCACCAUAAUUCUAAUGGUGUUGAAUUUGGAUGUGAGAGCAAAUGUCUCAUUGAAAACAAUAUCAGCAACUUGUGAGUAGCUUUUACCAACCAAUCUAACAUUGUAUCUCAUAAUAUUGCCUAUAAUAUCUUUCUUGGAUCUAAGUACUCACUUAUAACCAAUUGAAGAUUGAUUUUGUGGAAGUUGAGUCAUUUUCCAUGUUUCAUUGUUCAUGAAUGAUUUAUACUCUUCUUCCAUGGUAUUUUUCUACUUCAUUGCAUCCAUGGACUUUAUUACAUCAUCAAACUCAAUGGAUCAAUAAAAAGUGUAAUAUUGAUAUGUUGUUCACUUACUUGAAGAAAGAUGUGAUUUAUCCACUAUUUACCAAAAUUUUUUCUAUCUCUCAAAAGAUAUAUCCCUUCAUUUGAUGAAGAUUCAUCUUCUUGCAUUCUAAAAAUUCUUGCAACCUUCUUCUUUCUUAAAGCUCGUCUCUUUACAUUUAGUACUUGAUACUCUCCAUCAUUAUCAUCUUCAACAUCUUAAUUGUCUUCAUUGUUGGUCUAGUAAUUAUAGACAUACUUUGAUCUAUCUUCAUUGACUCUCUAUCUUGAUUUGUAUAUCUACUAUCUUCAUUGUCAUCAUCUUUUUCUUCAUUCUUUGCUAAAAUUAAAAAUAAAUGAAACAAAAAUACCAUUACUUCUACUUAGACACAUUUCAAAGUAUUCAUAAGUAUUCUUAUGCUCUAAAAACUCUACAUUACAACUCUUAAUGAUCUUCUUGGUUUCUAAACGUAUUAGCCUAUAUACCUUUGUAUCUUCAUAAUAUCCAAAAUAUACAUAUUUUGUAUCUUUUGUAUCAAAUUUGGACCUCAUAUAAUCUCGUACUUUUGCAUAAGCAAUACAUCCAAAAAUCCUCAUGUGUGAAACAAAAGGUUUCUUGUCACUCUAAAUUCCUUGUAGAGUUAUUGAUUUCAAUGCUCUUCCGUGGCCUUUUUUCUUCUAUAUACUAUAAUAACCAUGGCUUCCGCCCAAUAUUCAUAUCCAAGGUUUUGUGCAUAAAGCAUACUUCUUGCCAUCUCCAAAAAAGUGUAAUUUAUUCUUUUAGUAAUUCCAUUUUAUUGUGGAGUGUAUAGAAUAGAAGAUUGUCUUGCAAUGCCUUGUAUCUUCAAAAAGUCAUCAAAAUGCAUUGACAUAUAUUUAGCCCUAUUUUCCAUGUACAACACUUUAAUCUUGCAUUCACAUUAUUUUUUCACAAGUAUCUUAAAUUCCUCAAAUCUUAAGAAAUAUUCAUUCUUAGCUUUAAUGAUGUAUAUCAACACCUAUUUUGAAAAAUCAUCAAUAAAUAUGACAAAGUACCUUGCUCUUCCAAUUAAUGGCAUCUUUAUCAGUCUACAAAUAUUAGAAUGUAUAAUUUGCAACAAUUUGCUAGCAUAUAUUAUAACUCUAUUUGAAAUUGAAGCCAUUUAUUGUUGACCUUGACAUAUUUUUUUAUUCUAAUAUUUACUUAUAUAAUUAAGCAAAAAAAAGUGAAAGUAGAUUUAUUUCACAAUAUUUUCUAAAAAAGCUUUCUAAAAGCUUUAUGGAUACUACUUUGACUUUACAUGUAUUUAUAGUUGAUUAAUAGGUUAAAUACUUGGUCAACAAGUUAAUUAUGUAUGAAUAGCUUGCAAAACAAGCUAACUAUGUAGUGCACAUAUAAAAAACUUCUCUUCUAAGUUAAAAUAUAUGUCUUAUAAAAUCAACAUAUUUUGGAGGUCGUUUAGAAUAUUGCAACAUAGUUCUUAGUUAGAUAGUAUAUAUGGAGGCAAGAGUGAAGCCUUUUUCAAUCUUGACAAUGCCUUUUUAGCCCUCAGUCUUAUUUUAAGUCUUUUUAGUCUUUUUGUCUUUGGCAAUAAUCAUUCUUGUUCAAAAUAUUAUCAACUUUGAGUCUUUUUUUAGUUUUUUCAAGUGACACAAGAGUGUAUCGAGGAUUUUUGUUUCGAAGAUUCAUAUUCUUGAUAGUUUGAGAAGAAUUUUAACUUAUUAUUUUUGUCAUGUUUUAAAAAGUGAGUGGAUUAAUCUACUUCUAUUGUUGUAUUUUGAAAGUUAUAGAUUAUCCACUUUUAAACAAAUUGUUUAGUUUUCUAACAUUGAUUAUUUUUUUAAAGAAAGCAGAUAUCUUUCUUUAUAGGAAUUUUUAUUUUAUAUUAGAGGUUACAGAUUAUCUUCUUUUUAUUUGACUUGUGAAUUUAUUAAGUUAUUUGAAAUAGAAGAAAAAAUCAUAGAUGCUAUACUUGGUAGAAGUGAAAACAGAUUUGCAUCUAUUAUAGAUUUGACAAACUUGUCAAUACUUUUAAGGUCGAAAUUUCACACAUCACCAAUGCCACCCAUAGAAACACUAAUCCUAUAGUUAGAGAAGAAGUUCAAAGUAUACAUCAAGAAGUUUUGUAGUUGAAGGAAGCAAAUAUAUCAACAUCAUAACCAAAUCCAAAAAAAUUAUACUUCUAAAAAUACAAUGGGAACAAGAAUUAGUAAGCUUGAGAAGUUUGUUGGAAUAAGAUCAAAAUUUUGAAGAUUUUUGCAACAAGUCAAGCUCUAACUAAGGUUGUAUUUCUUCUAAUAUCUUGAUGUAUUUACUCAAGUUGGAUUCAUAGGCGCACUUCUAUUUGGAAGUGCUCUCUCUUUGUUUAUAUCUUUGAUAGAAAAGAUUCACGACUCCUUUAUGAUUUGAAUUCAUUUAUAAAAGUAUUUAUGGUGUCAUAUUGUGACACGAUUAUAUGGUAAAAAUAUGACUAAAAAUGAUUUUUUAAUUAAUAUUCUAUUAUAUUAGCUCAAUAAGAAUUCAAAAUAUUUUAAUAAGGCUUUUAUGAAAGUCUCUUAGCCUAUUUUUUUUUAAAUAAAAAAUAGAUAAAAGUUAAUUAUUAAUUUACCUUCUAAGAUAUAGAAACUCUUUUACUACCUAAGAAAGGCCAUAAAUUAUUAAAAUCAGAAUAGAAGAUGUAAAUGGUUGGUAUGUUUGAUACUAUGAUCAAGUUGAGAGUAGGAUUGGACUAAAAAAUCCUUAGGAUAGAUUAGAUUGAUACCCGGAGGUCGAUCAUUUGUGAGACAUGGUCAAAAUCAGACCUUUGGUCACUAAAACGACUGCUUAGGAUAAAUUAAGAUGGCAUUAGAAGAUCACGGAUCAGAAUUUGAGAGCUAACUUAAAGCUCUUUUCAAUGGCAUAAGGAUUUUUUUGGUAGGAUUUUUGAAGAUUUGACAAUUUUUGUUCAAGAUCAAGGUUUGUAUUGGUGAUUUGGAAUUUAUAUAAUAUAAUUAGGGCUAGCAAUUUUGGCUAGUUCAUGCAAUUGAUAUAACAUCUAAGUUUCAAAAGUUGAUAUUAUUUGGAUUAUUAGAUGCACUAAGUAUAUAAAAAAUUUUGUGAUAACCUAAUGAUGUGGUUUAGAGAUAUUUGGUUUUUAGCACAAGAAGAUUUUGGAAGUUGGUAGGUUGGAGUUGAGUAGGAUUUUUGUGAUAUUUGGAGAUCUACUAGUUAGAUGAAGAUGAAAUUUGGCAUGGUGUUGAAGGACUUGAAGAUCAAGAUGCAUACCAAUUUUGAAUCAAAGGUAUUAGUUGGAGAAGGAGAAAUCAUUGCUAGGGUUUUUGCUUCACUUUUCAAGUUGGCAUCCGAAUGACAUCAGUGCAAUAUUUGGAGGUUUUCUCACGAUUUAUAAGUUGGAUUGAGCUAAAAAUUCUUGAGCAUAUAGAAGACUUACAUUGACAAUUAUAUGCAAAAUUUUACAUCAAAUCGACACUCAAAUUAGAAGUUACAGCUUACUAAAGCUCAUUGAUUAGGAUUGGGACUUAUAAAAAAAAUCUGAAUUGCUUAAAUAUGAAAGUAACAAGAUAGUUGAGGUUUAUGUAUGAUUAAGGUUACUAAGAAGAGUGUUUUUUAGCACUUUUGAAUUAAAAUUUGGAUUAUAUUCUUCUCAUAUGGAUGAAACCUAUUAGGAUUUUUUGGAUGUUUGUUAAAAAUAACCUCAUAUUUGACAACUAGGUGCUUGGUAAAUUCCUAAGCAAGAAAACAUGUAAUACGACAAUGGCCACAUUCAAAGAAAAUGAUUAAACAAAGAUUAAGCUCUUAUCUUUAGGAUAAGAAUCAUAGUUAGCCAUUAUAUAUGCUAUUGAAUUCUAAAACCUUCCUUGCGAUGUGGGCUUGAAUGACAAAGCCUUUAUCAAUCAAUUUUAAUAGGGAUUGAAGUAUAAUGUCAAACAUUUGUUAUUGACAAUGCCAAAAGAAAAAUCUUUGAAAAAAUUUAUUGCUUAAGCCUUUGCAUAUGAUAAUUGAUUAUUUGAAAGACAUCAAGAGUAAAGACUUGGCUGAAGAAGAACAAAUCAAGUAAUAAUGGCAAUUGUUAAGUUUUCAAGAAUUUAUUUAUCAAGGUUUGAAACAAUACAAAUUGAUAUGGUAUAUUUUAAAUCCCUCAAAAAGUAGGAGAAGACUUAAUAUUAUUAAGAAAAUUUGUGCUUACAUUAAAGAGAAGCUCAAUACACUCUUCAAUAUUGUCAAAAAAAGCAAUACAAUCACAAAAUAAGGAAGAUGAUUAUCAAAGAAGAUAAUGUAUUAGAAAAUAAGUUUUUCUAGCUAUAAUAGGGACUAUGUAAUUAAAAUCAUAUGCAAUACCUACUAAAGAUCUUAUUCUCAAUUCAGAUCUAUCACCUUAUUUUAUAAUAGAUGGAUAUUUAGGAUCUAUAAAUUACAAAGUCUUUGCCUUAUUACAUUUAGGAGCCUUAACUUAUAUUAUAGAUAAUUUUUUUUAAAAAAAAUAAGAAAUAUCUUUAGUCAAGAAAAUUAAAUCCAUAUAUGUAGAAGUCAUAUAUAGUCAUUUGCUAUCUUCUAAAGAUGUUAUUCAUGAAAUUAUUCCUUUAAAUAUAGCAAUUAAAGAUCAUAAUAGUAUAAUAAUAUUUAAUGUAAUAAAAUCUUCCUUUAAUCCAAUUAUUUUAGGAUUAUUAUAGUUAAAAAAAUAUAAAAUUCAAAUAGAUUGGAUUUUUUAUAACCUAAUUUUUUUUUAUAGUUAAAUCUAAAAUUCUAUCAGUCAGGUAGAAAUACAUAAGUCUAAUAUAUUCAAACUCUUAUUAGUACAUAUAAAAGAUUUCAUGUAUGCUACAAAGAAAGAUCAUCUUUUGUUAUAUAUGGCAUACCUAUUUUUGAUAGUGUAAAGAUACUAAGUAGUAUUUGUAGCCAAUAUCAAGAUUUUUAGGACGUUUUUUUAAAAAAAAAUACAGAUAUUUUUUUAGAACAUUGAUUUUAUGAUUAUUCAAUUGAUUUGCAAAAAAGAGCUCAAGUGCCAUUUCGAUCAAUCUUCAACUUAUUGUAAAAUGAAUUGAUUGUAUCAAAUAAAUAUAUUAAUGAGAACUUGGCUAAAAACUUCAUAUACUAUUGAAAACUUCCAACAAUAGCUCAUAUCUUAUUUUUAAAGAAAAAUAAUGGAUCUUUGUUGAUGUGUAUAGAUUAUCAAAGAUUUAACAAGAUCACCAUCAAUAAUAAGUAUUUCCUAUCUUUAUUUUUAAUACUUCUUGGCCAAUUCAAUCAAACAAAAAUCUAUAUAAAAAUAGAUCUAUGAAGAAUAUAUAACUUGAUUCUCAUUUAAAAAAGAAAUGAAUUAAAGAUUGUUUUUUAAAUUAAGUAUGGAUAUUUUGAAUAUAAUCUUAUGCCUUUUGGAUUCACAAACAUAUCAACAGCUUGUCAAUAUUUUAUGAAUAAUGUUUUUUUGUGAAUUCUUUAAUGAUUUUGUGGUCUACUAUAUAGAUGACUUUCUAAUCUAUUCUAAGAAUUUAGAAAAAUAUGAACUUCAUAUUUGUCAUAUAUUACAAAAAAUUAAAGAUAUAGGAUUAUAUGCCAAGAUGGAAAAGUAUAUAUUCUAUACUACUUAAGUUGAUUUUUUAGGAUACAUCAUUUUUAACAAAGGUUUAAUAAUAGAUCUAAAGAAGAUCCAAAGUAUCAUAGAUUGAAAGAUUCUAAAAAUAUUAAAGAAUGUAAAAUGCUUUUUGAACUUAAUCAAUUAUUAUUAAAUCUUCAUCAAGAACCUUUUUCAAGUUGCAGCCUCACUUAUAUAUUUGACUUCUAAAGACAAAUUUGAAUAGAGCACAAAAGCUAAAGCAACUUUUGAAGUCUUAAAAAAAUAUUUAUUUCUGCAUCAAUCUUAUAUCACAUCAAUUUUUUCAAGGCAUUUUUCAUAGAAAUAGAGACAUCAAACUUUGUUAUCAAUGCAAUUUUGUCACAAAUGGAAGCACAUGAUAAGUUUCACUUGAUAGCUUUUUAUUCUUGGAAAUUUUCAAUAACUAAGUUUAACUAUAAGAUCCAUGACAAAGAGCUUCUUACAAUUGUGGAUUCAUUUCAAAAAUGGUGUCAUGAUUUAAAAGGCGCCUUGAAUCUAAUCAUCAUAUAUAUAAUUCAUAAGAAUCUUACGUAUUUCAUAUUAAUAGCCAAGCUUGCUCGAGCAUGUUUUUAUAAAGAUUUGAUUUCAAAAUUAUUUGUCAAUUCAAAAAAAAAUAAGGUUUAUCAAAUGCCAUUUUUACAUGUUUUUAUCUUACAUCAAAAGAAAAAGAUGCAUCUUUUGAUCAACAAAGAACAAUUUUCUUGAAGUUGGAGCAAUUCACCUUUAAUCAAUAAAAUUAACAUUGAUUUUUGAUUCAAUUUUUGUUAAAUAAAUCUAAUUAAGUAUGUCUUCUAAUUAUCUUAUUGGUGAUAUCAAAAAUAAUCCUUUUAAGUUCAAAUAAAAUUAUACAUUUUAAAAGAUGAAGCAUGGUUAUAUAUUCUUCAAGCUCAUCAAACAAUUCUUUUGUCAUUGGUGGAGUUUGCAUAUAAUAAUUUUUUACAUUUUUUUAAUUAAUAAACAUCUUCUUUUGCCAAUUAUGAUUAUCAUCUAUAAUUUAAUACUUUUGAAUUUUUAAAAGUUGAUAAUCUUGUGGCAAAAGUUUUAACAAAUUGUUUGUCAAAGUUACAUACAACAAUAAAGGUGCAGUUAAAGGAAGCUCAGGAAUGACAAAAAAUCAAUAUAGAUGUUUAUUAUAAGGAAUAACUAUAAUUCAACAUAGGUGAGAAGAUAUGACAAUUUUGUUGCAAUAUCAAGAUUACUUAUUUUUAUGAUAAGUUGGACUAUUGCAGGCUUAAAUCUUUUCUUAUUUGUGAAUAAAUCAAUCCUAUUGCUUAUUGAUUACAUCCACUUCAGUCUAUGAAGAUCCAUCUUAUAUUUUGCAUGUUUCUUCUUGAGCCAUAUAAUAUAGUAAAUAUCUUGAGAAGAAGAUCAAUGCUAUCUUCUUCUAUAGGAAAUGAAUAAUGAUGAAGAGUUCCAGGUAGAAGAAGUUUUAGAUUCAAGAUGGUGCCAAAAUAGAUUGAAAUAUCUUAUUCAUUAGCAUAGUAUUAUGAUGUAAUAUGUCAAGUAAAUGAAAGAGAGAAGAAAAUAUUAUAUUAUAGAAGGUCUUAUUUUAAAAUAUUAUAGAAAAUUAUUUUAGAAAUAUAGAUAGUAAUAAAAAAGAUAGUAAAAAUUAAAAAGUUCUAAUGCUAUUUUUUUAUAAAAUAGGCUUCUACUUACUUUGUACGACCAUAAAUAAGAAAAAACUAAGUAGAUUAUAAAAAUAAAUAAUAUAAGCAUGCAUAAGAAAGAAUUUAAGAUUAGAUUUUAAUAAAUUUUAUCUUAAGAAGCCAAAAAUUGAUAUCUAAAUAAGAUUGGUUAUCAACCUAGGCCAAAAUCAGACCUCAAGGCAUAAAACCAUACAUCUAUGGUGAAUUUGGAAUUCUUUUAUAGAUCAAAGAGUAGGAUUUGAAGAUAGAUUUGAAUAAAGAUUUUUAAGCAUUAGUUUCAUGUCAUUUGGAUCAAUAUUAAGUUUUUGAGGUAUUUUCAAAGUUAGUAAUGUUCUUAGUAGAAUUAAGGUUAGGGAAAUAAAAAUAUGUUUAUAAAAUUGAGGAUUUUUUGAGUUUUGUGGUGUGUGUAUAGAUGAAAUUUAAAAAAUAUGUUGGUAUAAUAGUUAUAAUUGUGUUGGAAAAUUUUGAUAUAAAUCAAAUAAUUAGAUUGAAGUAUAUGAGGGUUUUUGUGAGUUGAAGUCUCAGAAAGUGGAGUUUGAGGGUUAAUUAGUAUUUCUAAGAUCUUUAGAAAUCUAUCAAUUAGAUUGAAGUGAAUUUUUUUUGUAUAGAUAUGACACUCAAAUUCCAAUGUUUAGAUGAAAUUUCAAAGAAAUUUAAUAAUUCAAGAAGGAGAUAUUGGCAUUAGAAGUUUUGUAUUGAAGUUGGAGUAGGAGGCUGUCCAACACUUGAUUGGAUUAUCUUACAUUUAUUUAAAUUAGUAAGUACAAUCAAUUUCAUCUUUCUUGUGCUUCUUUUUAACUAAGAUAUUAAAAAGUGUAAAAAUUUUGAAUUGAUACCAAUGAUUUGAUCAUUAUUUGUUGAAGUUCCAUUUUACUAUAGGAUUUAUUAAGAGGUUAUUUAAGAUUUAGGAUUUAAUUAAGAUUUGAUUUAGGAUUUAUUUAUGAUUUAAUUAAGGCUUAGAAUUUUUUUAGGAUUUGAUUAGGAUUAAGAUUUGAUUUAGAACUUAACUAAUAUUUGAUUUAGAUUUAUGUACGGUUUUAUUAAAAUUUGAUCUAGGAUUUGAUUAAGGUUUAUUUAGGAUUUUGAUUAAGAUUUGACCUAAGAUUUGAUUAAGAUUCAAUUAAGGUUUCAAUUAGGAUUACAUUAAGAUUUCUAUUUUUAAUAUUCUUUUAAAGUCCUUUGUUAUUUCUUUAAAGGUUUAUUUUUAUAUUUCUUUAAGAUUUAUUAUUAUUUUUCUUUGGGAUUAAAUCAUGAAUUUUUUAUAUUUCUUUUGUCACUUUUUUUGAAUUUAUUUUGAUAGGUUAAAAUUUAAUUGGAUUUAUUAGGAAUUACUUGAAGUUUUUUUAAGGCUUUAUUAGAUUUGAUAGAAUCAUUGUUGUAUUUUUAUUUACCUUCCACAACUAGGUGCCCAGUGCAUUCUUAAGCAAGAGCACAUUUAAUAUGACAACAAAUAUGAUAUUAGUGAAUGCACAUGGAAGUGAGAAAAAAAUCUUUAAAAUGAAGCAAGGAGGAUUAAGUCUUUUCAUUGAAAACAUGAUAUUUAAAUAUGUCUUUUAUAAAACCCUCUUAGUUUAUUUUUUUAUCUUAAUAGCUAACAAAUUAAAGAUUGAUUAGUAAUUUUACCUUUUGAGGUAUAAAAAUUCCUUUAUUGCCUUAAAAAAGCUAUAAAUUUAUAAAAACAAGAUAGAUAAGAUAAAUAAUUAAUACGGUUAAUAUUAGGAUUAAGUUAAAGAUAGAGUCAGGCUAAAAAAUUCCUAUGAUAGGUUGGAUUGAUAUCUAGAGGUCAUUUGUUUAUAAGAGAGGAUUAAAAUCAAAUCUCUAGCUAUUAAAAUAAUCGCCUAAGGCAAAAUAUAGGAACAUUUAGAAAUUAACAACUAAAAUUGAAGAGCUAGCUUUAAGAUUGUUCUAAAGGCAUAAAGUUGUUUUUAUAGGGCUUAAGAUGAUUUUACAAUUGAUAUUUAAAAUUAAGAUUUAUAUUAGUGACUUUGAAUUUAUGCAAUACAAUUAGAGCUAGCAUUCUUAGCUAGUUCAUGCAAUUGAUGUUACAUCUAUAAUUCAAAAUUUAAUUGUGUUUAAUUGAUUGCAUGUGCUAAGUGUCCAUAAAAUUUAUAUCAAUUUAAUGGUUCAAUUGGAAGAUAUUUGAUUUUUGAUACAAGAGGAUUUCAGAAGUUGGUAGUUUGAAGUCGAAUAGGAUUUCUAUGAUAUCUUAAGAUCUACUUAUUGAAACAUGGUAAAAUUUGGUAUGGUAUUGAAAGACUUGAAGAUGAAGCUAUAUACCAAUUUUGAGUUGAAGUUAAUAGGUAGGAAAGAAAAAAUUGCUAUUGGAACAUUUGCAUCAACUUUCAAGUUGGUAGCCAAGUAACAUUAGUGCAGUUUUGUCAGUAAAAUCAAUCCAUCUUAAUUGUGUUUGAUAGUCUAGUGGAGUAACUUCACUCACAUAAAGUUAGAUGUCUUUUCUUUCUUAACCAUUGUUACUUUAUAAUUUUAUUUUAUCAAAUUUUUAUUUUUAUUUUUAUUUAUUUAUUUAUUUAUAUAAUAUUUUUAAUUAUAAUUUCUUUUUUAAAUUUAUUAUUAUUAUUAUUAUUUUUUUUUAUAAAAAUUCAAUUAAUUUAUUUAUAUUUAUAUUUUAUUUAAUUAAUUAUUUAUUAUAUAUAUUAUUUUAAUUAUUUAUUUAUUUCUUUAAACUAUCUAGCAAUCAAUAUGUCAAAGUUUUUAUAUACAUCACAUUCUUCAGUAAAGAAACGACCAUAUUAAAAAAAUUGAUCACAACACCAUAAUCACUUGUUAUCAUAUCAAAAAAUAUGCACAAAAACUCUUCCACAAUUUUUGUCUAACAACUACUAGAAAUCAACUAUCACCUCAUAAUAAGAUGGUAAAUCAUAACUAAUCUACCAUAGUCAUCAACUUCCAAGCUAUGUCUUGUCUUCAUUGCUAUCAAACCAUUCUACAUCCUUGCAAUACCAUCGCUCUGAUCUCCUUCAAUAAGAAUGCCUUGACUUUACUGCUUCUUCUAAAAUGGCUAUGUAGCUUAGAUCCAUCAACAUCAAUUGGGCACAGUACUACUAUCGCUUCACUUUCACUGAGCUUGAAUUCUUCUAAAAUCUAUCACCCCGUUGUGUUGCCUCACAUUAUUGCUCUCAUUAAUUUUGUUAUAUUUAAAUUUCAAUCUUCUCAACCUCAUCCAUCCAACAUAAUUGAUAUAACUUGCUUAGUCCAGAACUAUUUAGACUGGAACCUGUGCAAUCAAAAAUUGGUCCAACAAAAUAAAUCGCCAAUUUGUGAUUUGUGGUUUUUUUUUUUAAAAAAAAAAAAACAUUCACAAUACAUCGUUCUAAGAGAUUGUUAGUAAUAUUUUUAGAAGUCUCUAUUAUUCUAUUCUUGCUUAAAAUUGGUACAUCUAAUUUUUUUAUUUUUAAUAUAUUUAUUUAAUUCUAAAGAUUUACAUAACAUAUUUUUAUCAUUAAUUCCUUUCUUCACCACUUUAUCAACAUGACACCACUGUUUUUAUUUAAUCUAAUUUUAAACAAAAAUCAUUUUAUCUACUAUUAUAAUUAUAUUUUAUUCUUAAUACUUAAAUGAGCCUUUUCUUUAGUAAUUUAUUCUACUCAACUUUCUCUUCUUAAUUCUAUUAAUUUAUUCUAAUAUUUUUUUCUAACUACAUUAUAAGUCAAAAAAAUUGGCUCACAAGUUUUUUGGACAUUUUUUCACAAUCUGCAAGUUCGAUUAGUCUAAAUUUUUUUAAACAUAUAAAAGACUUAUAGUAGCAUUUGUGUGCAAAAUUUUGCAUCAAAUGGAUGGUCAGAUUAGAAGUUAUAACUUUCUAAAAUUCAAUGAUUAAGAUUAUUGCUUGCGAAGAGAAAUUGAAAUUGCCUAAUUUAAAAGUAAUAAGGUAAUUGGAAUUUGUAUAUAAUUGAGAUUAAUAAAAAGAAUAUUUUUGAAUACUUUAUAUUGGCUAUAAAUACUUUUGAAUUAAAAUUAAAAUUAUAUUCUUUUUAUAUGAAAAAAACCUAUUAGAUUUUUUUGAAUAUUUAUAAAAUAGAAUUUCACCUUCCACAGUCAAGUACUUGAUGCAUUCUCAAACAAGACUAUAAGUAAUAGGACAUCAAAUAAGACAUUUUGAUUGUCAUAACCUUCAAGACAAUGUAAUUGAGAUAAAGAUCCUCAAAAAUGAUAUAUCUUUCUUCAAAUAGAUGGCAAGAUAUAACAUAUUUGAUAUCACAACCAUAGAAGAAAUUUUCAAUAUUUGAUGAUUUAAUUAGAAGUAGGAACAACUCUUGAUGAUGUUUCAAAUAUUUUAUUUAAAGGAAGUUAUGAAGUCUUUAACAACAAUCAAAUAAUAUAGUGAUCUUUUAGCCUUAAUAUUGGAUACCAUCAAUUGUUGAGAAGACUUAUCAACCAUCUUCACAGGAAACAAAGUCAAAGUAUGUAGCAAAUACAAUUUGCUGCAUCUUUGAUUUUUCUACACAUAAUGACUACUUUUCAAGAAACACAUCUCUAGAACGGAGAAUAAUAUCACAUACAUAUUUAUUUUAAUAUUUAUUCAUAUAAUUAAGUAGAAGUAAGUAAAAAUAAAUUUAUUUCAUAAUAUUUUUUAGAGAAGAUUUUUAAAAGUUUCAUGGAUACUACUUUAACUUUACAUGUAUUUAUAGUAGAUUAGUAGGUUAAAUAUUUGGUCAAGAAAUAAAUCACAUAUCAGUAGCUUAAGAAACAAGCUACUUAAGUAGCACACAUAUAAAAAACUUGCCUUGCAAGUUAAAAUACAUGUCUUAUAAAGUCAACAUGUUUUGAAGAUCUUAUAGAAUACUGCCACAUAAUUCUUAGUUAAAUAGUAUAUAUUGUUAUAGGGUAUAGAUAAGACAUUUGUAUUAUUGACACAUAAGGAAAGAUAGUUAGAACCAUGGAAGUUUCUAGAAUUGGUAUUAGAUUAGUGGAUCAAGUAAAAUCCAUCAUAAAAUAUUUUAGAAAGAGUCUAAGGUGGAUAUUUAGGUGAAGCCUACCAUAUAACCUUCUAAAAAAAGGCUUAAAAUGGUCACAUAUGGCUUCAAAUCUUUUUUUUUAAAACAAAUGGGAUUUUUUAUUUUCUUGUUUUUUUUAUUCUAUUCUAAUUUUGAUUGCUUAGUUUUGUCUUUCAUGUCUCAUUUUAUUUAGUUCUAUUCAGUUUUAUUCUAGUUUAGUUUGUUCAAUCUUAUGAUAAGAUUUUAAGUUUUUGUGGAUUAAAAGAGUCUUGGAUACUUGAGAUAGACUAAUCCUAUUUUAUUGGUAUCAAAGCAAGUAUUAAACUAUUUUAUUUUAAUAGUAUAUCAAUAGUCAUCACCUAGUCCAAGAUCAAUUCUUAUGGUCACAUUGGAUAUUGUUUUGAGGCUACCACAAGCUAUUCUUAAAAAAUCAAUUAUAAGGUGAGAAGAUAUUAUAAUUAUGGAGUCCAACUCAGAAAUUACAACAUAGGAGAUAUGGCACAGAAAUCUUAGAUGGAAGCUCAAAUACAAUACCUCUUAAACGAGAUAGUUAUUUUGCAAGGACAAAUAGAAGCUUCAAGGACAAGAAGGUCAAUACCUACUAGGCUAAAAUUGAAUAAGCCUACUACAUACUUUAGAACUUCAAGACAAGAAGAUGUAUAUCAAUGGCUCUUUUAUAUGCAACAAUACUUCUAACUAUCUAAGGCAAAUACCACUAAAUGAAUUAUAUAUGUAGCGAGCUAUUUAAGAGAUAUGGCAACUAUUUGAUAAUGACAUUGAAUUCAAAGCUAUGGAGCUUAAGGUGGAUUUUGUCAUUGGAAGGAAUUUGAGACCGAGUUUAAGAAUGAAUUUUGGUCCAUCAAUGUGGAGAAGAUAGCACAUGAUGAGCUGACAAAUCUUACACAAUUUAGGUUGGUGCAAGUUUAUGUCUCCCAAUUCAAGUUCCUAUGUUUCUAAAUUGAUAAUUUUUUAGAGGAGGAAAUGAUGGAUUGAUUCUUAUGAAGUUUGAAACCUAGGGUUUAGCAAGAAGUAGAGCUAAAAGAUUUACAAACAUUUGAAGAGAUAAUUUGGAUUGUAAAAAGUGUUGAUGCUAUAGAUUUUAGAAAUCAUGGAGUGUGAUCUAUACUACAAAGUCCUAUGUUGCUAUUUAAUAUCAUGGCAUAACAACCAAUACCAAUAGAGAUUGAUAUCCUAUAAAGAUCAUUGAUACAAUAAAGACAAUAAAUAUUGGUACAAAAAGAAUUUUAUUUCUAUUGUUAAGAGCUACGACAUCGGAUUGGAGAUUGUCUAAAAUAUCAAAAUUUAAGCACUAGCAAAAAAAGAUGGAUUCACAGUCUCAAAAUUCACCAAGUUGAUAGUGAAACAAAGCAAGAAAAUGGAGCUCCUUUGUAAAGAUGCCAAGGGCUAGUACUAGGGAUAGCUACUAUCUCUAAAAGUCAAAUGGCAUGACCUUGAAAAACUAUAAAAAAAAGUAGACUGAUGCAUCUAAUGGGACUACUAAGAGGACAACCAUAUUGAGUACUUCUAGAUUAUAGCUCUAGAAAAAAUUGUAUCUCAACUAAAAUUACUACAUGACUUGGAAUUAAAAUUAAGGCAAUUAAAGGAGGAAGUAUAUACCUUAUAGAUGAUCAAGAAAACAUAAUGAGUGAGACAUGUGAAGAAGAAAUCUUGAGGUUGACUAACAUAUACAUCUUAAGAAAAAGAUUGAAGGUGAUAUAGUUAAGAUAUAAUACUAUCUUUGAUAUGCCAUUACUAGAGAUGAAAAAUAAGCAAGUUGAUUGGCUAGCAAGGACAAUCUUCUAUAAAGAUGGUAGACAUAAGGUGAUUCUUUGUACCUCUACAUGAAGUAAAAAAAAAAAGACAAUCUGUAACCAAAGACUUACUUAUAGGGAUGACUUUUAAGAAGAGGCAAAUAUUGCAUAAGCAAUCAGUUUAUAUAGUGGUUCCAAAUCUUACAUCAAUAGUAGGAAAGAUAAUCAAAGGAAUAGAAUAUAUACAUCAAUUCAUAUAAGAAUAUUGAGAUGUCUCUCUAAUUCACGUACUUAGUGAGGUGCCUCCUUUCAAAUAGAACUAUUUUCUUAAGCCAAACUAACAAGUUGGUCAAUUUACCACGUAGCUUCAAAAGAAUUUGAAGAACUAUAGAAGAUAUUGGAUGAAUUCUUAGAGAAAUGCCUCAUUUGAGAAAGUACAUCACCAUAGAAAGCAUUUUUAUUCUUUGCGUCUAAAAAGGAUAGUGAACUUUGUAUUUGCAUUGACUAUUGAUGCCUCAAUAAGCAAAUUGUUAAAAUGCAUAUCCACUUUUACACGUGGAUGAUCUUCUUGACCAACUUCAAGAUAUAACUAUCUUUAAUAAAUUAGACAUUUGAAAGAGAUAUUGGCAAACACCUAUUGUAAGAGGAUGUAAGAAAAAUAAUAUUUUAUAUGUGCUAUGAAUAUUUUGAAUGGCUGAUUUUACCUUUUGGUCUCACCAAUAUUCUAGCCUCUUUCAUAGAUAACAUAAAUAUAUUCUUUUGGGACCUUUUAGACAAGUAUGUAAUUGUCUUUAUUGAUUAUAUCUUUGUAUCUAAUAAAACCCUUGAAGAGCAUGAAUAACACCUACAAGAAGUCUUAUGUCGGCUACAAGAUAGUCGCUUAUAUUGCAAGCAAUCAAGAUGUGAACUUUGGAAGUUGGAAGUCACCUUUUUGAGGCAUGUGAUGUCUUCCAAAGGCAUGCAUAUGAAACAAAAUAAGGCAAAAGUAGUGGCAAAAUAGCCAACCUCCAAAGGUGCUUCUAAAGUGCACUCAUUUUUAGGCCUUGUUGGAUAUUAUUGUCAUUUUAUUUGGCAAUUUGCUCAUGUGGUUGUUUCAUUGAUGAGCCUAUUGAAAAAAGAUGCUCUAUUUGAAUAGAAAUUGGAGCAAUAAAGAGCUUUUUAUAGGUUAAAGGAGGAACUUAUUAGUGCUCCAAUAUUACAACCAUAUGAUCCUAUUCUUCUUUAUAUGCUUGACAUUGAUUCUUCCAACUUUGCUAUUGGAGCCGUCUAUCAACAAGACUUAAGUAGGAGCAUUCAACUUGUGGCAUUGUCACGGCCAUAAUCAUGUAAGCUAAUAAUUACAUAUAGAAAUAGGUAGAAGUAAGUAAAAGUAGAUAAAAGUAAGUUAAUUCUAUAAUAUUUAAUAUAGAAGCUUCCUAGAAAUUUCCUAGACGCUGCUUUGACUUCAUAGGUGUCUUUAAUUGACUUUUUGGAUUAGAAACGUGGUCAACAAGUUGGCCAUGUGCCACACAUGUUGUUAGCUUGAAGAUCAAGCUAACUAUGUGGCUCACACAUAGAAAAACUUGCCUUGUAAGUCAAGGCAUGUGCCCUAUAAAGUCAACACAUAUUGGAGGUCCUAUAGAACGUCGCCACGUAGCCCCUAGUUAGAGAGUAUAUAUAGAGACAAGAGUGAAGGCUUCUUCACUCUUGUCAACUCCUUUCUUGCUUCUAGUUUGUUUCAAGGGUCUCUAGUUUUCUUUUGGCAAUAGCCAUUCCAGUUUCUCUUUCAAUAUAUAUACUUGUUUGUAUAUAUUUUGUUACCUCUCUUUGAGUGAAUGCUCACUUGUUUGAAUUGUUUUUUCAUUGAGUUCUUAUCCUUGACAGAUUGACAAGAGUACACUUACAAUAUCAGAGCUUUGUUUUUCUUGAGUAAGAGUGGAUUACCCCUUUCUCUUGACAAGACAUAAGCGUAUUAGAAGUUUGCGGAUUACCCACUUCUAAACUGAUAUUGUUCUUAGUAUCUUCUUUGUUAUCAAGUCUUUUUUUUUUCUUUUGUCUUGAGCAAUAUCAGACAAAUUUUUCUUCUUAGUAUCAUUAUGGCAGAGCUUGUUGAAAUAAAGAGUGCAAUGGCACAAAUGCAAGAAUAAUUGAGAGAGUUAAUGCUUGCGAUGCAUCAACUCAAUUUACCAACACAAGAAAAAACAAGAAUAGCAGAAAGUGGAGAUAUAGAGAUGAUCCGAGCUGCUUCAACAUCUGCACCAAAUCACAUUCCUUCUCCAAUUGUACAACAUCCUGUAAGUACUAGAGAACCAAGAAUUGCUUUACUCGAGAAAUUUGAUGGUAUAAGAUCAAAGUUUCGAGGAUUCAUCAAUCAAGUACAAUUGGCAAUUAAACUUCAACCGCAAAGCUAUUCAACUCCAUGAUCACAAGUCAGGUUUAUUGGCACUCUACUUUCUGGUUCUGCAUUAUCGUGAUUUUCGUCUUUUCUUGAACAAUGAAAUCCAAUAUUGGACAAUUUGGAAGCUUUUUUCGCGGAGUUUUGAUCUAUGUAUGGUGAAUACGAUGCAACUCAUGUCGCAACAAACAAGAUCCGAAUUCUACGACAAGGAAACUGCUCAGUAACAAUGUAUGCUUCACAAUUUCGACAACUUGUAAUUGACAUCAAGUGGGAUGAUGCUGCACUCAUCAGUCAAUUUCUUUAUGGAUUGCAAUACGAAGUAAAGAAAUUGAUGCUCAACUUACCUGAUCCUCAAACUUUGAGUCAAGCAAUCGAUUUUGCGGUAAAAUGUGACAAUCGACUUUUUGAAUUUCGAUUCGAGAGUCGUACACGGGAACCUCAACGUUAUUACUCAAUGGCAACAUCAGCAUCUUCGCCAAAUGUACAUUCAGAAGUAGAAGACAUGCAAAUUGACGCGGUACGUUUUAAACCCCUAACUGAGCAAGAAAAGAUUCGUCGUCGUCAAGAAGGAUUAUGUUUAUACUACGGAGAACCUAAGCACACUGCUCAACAUUGUCCAAAGAAACAACGUAACUAUAAAAUGAGGGGUACGGCGGUCAAAGAAGACAACAUGUUGGAAAACGGGUUCGUCGAGCUACAAUAGGGACCGUGCAGCUCGAACCUUGUACAAUUCCUAAUGAAGGUCAUAUCCUCUCCUCAGAACCCUCUUCUUGUUUUAUAAUAGAAUUAUAUUUAGGACCUAAGAAUUACAAAGCCUUUGCUUUAUUAGAUUCGGGAGCCUCAGCAUGUUUUUUAGAUGAACAAUUUGUUAAAAGUCAUAAAAUACCUUUUGUACAGAAAACUAAACCCGUACAUGUAGAAGUCAUUGAUGGCCGUCCUUUGUCUUUUGGAGAUGUCACUCAUGAAACUCGCCCUAUAAAAGUAACAAUAAAUGGUCAUGUUAGCUACAUAGCUUUUAACAUAAUUAAAUCUCCAUCCAAUCCAAUUAUUUUAGGUUUAUCCUGGCUAGAAAAAUAUAACCCUCGAAUAGAUUGGAAUUCUCGUAAACUUGAAUUUUUCCAAAGCAUUAUUAAUAGUUCUACCAACUAAGUAAAAAGUUAUAAAUCUAGUAUAGUAAAAUCCGUACUUAUAUAUGCAAAAGCAUUUAUAUACGCAGCAAAAAAAGGAUCAACUUUUGCUAUUUAUGCUGCACCUAUUUCUGAAAGCGUAAAGACUUCAAGUGGCAUUCCAAGUCAAUAUCAGGAUUAUCAAGACGUUUUUGAGAAAAAUAAUGCAGAUAUUCUUCCUGAGCAUCACCAAUAUGAUUGUUCAAUCGACCUCAAGGAAGGAACUCAGCCACCAUUUGGACCAAUUUACAGCUUAUCGCGAGAUGAGUUGGCUGAACUCAAGACAUAUAUUGACGAGAAUUUAGCGAAGAAUUUCAUAUGCCAUUCAAAAUCUCCAGCAGGAGCUCCAAUUCUAUUCGUAAAGAAAAAAGAUGGAUCUUUGCGAAUGUGUGUUGACUAUCGAGGACUCAACAAGAUCACAAUCAAGAACAGGUAUCCAUUAUCUUUGAUAUCAGGACUCCUUGACCAGUUGAAUCAGGCUAAGAUUUAUACAAAAAUAGAUCUAAGAGGAGUAUAUAAUCUAGUACGAAUCAAGGAAGGAGAUGAAUGGAAGACUGCAUUUCGAGCCAGGUACGGACAUUUUGAAUAUAAUGUCAUGCCUUUUGGACUCACGAAUGCACCUGCUACUUUUCAACAUCUCAUGAAUGAUAUAUUUCAUGAAUUCUUAGACAAUUUUGUCGUCUGCUACCUAUACGAUAUCCUGAUCUAUUCUAACAACGUCGAAGAACAUGAAAUACAUGUUCGUCAAGUAUUACAAAAACUUAGAGAUGCAGGAUUGUACGCCAAGAUGGAAAAGUGUAUAUUUCAUACUACUCAAGUUGACUUUUUAGGAUACAUUAUUUCAAAUAAUGGUCUCAUGAUGGAUUCUAAGAAAGUCCAGACAAUCAUGGAUUCAAAGAUUCCAAGGACAAUAAGAGAUGUCAAAUGUUUCUUGGGAUUUACCAAUUACUAUCGGAUCUUCACCAAAGACUUUUCACGAGUUGCAGCUCUACUUACACGCUUGACCAAUAAAGACAAAUUCCAAUGGAAUCAAGAAGCGGAAGCAGCAUUUGAAGCCUUGAAGACAUCGUUUGUAUCUGCACCAGUCUUAUAUCGUGUUGACUUUUUCAAGGCAUUUUUUAUGGAAACAGACGCAUCAAAUUUUGCCUUGGGUGCAGUUUUGUCACAAAUGGGAACAGAUGACAAACUUCAUCCGAUAGCUUUUCAUUCAAGAAAAUUCUCAAUAGCCGAGAUCAAUUAUGAGAUCCACGAUAAAGAACUACUUGCAAUCGUGGAUUCCUUUCAAGAAUGGCGUCAUUAUCUAAAAGGCGCUUCUAGUCCAGUCACUGUGUAUACAGAUCACAAGAACCUCGAGUAUUUCAUGUCAGCAUGCGUGUUGAAUCGUCGUCAAGCUCGUUAGAGUAUGUCUUUGUCAAGAUUCGAGUUCAUUAUCACUUAUCAGCCAGGAAAACAACAAGGUUUGUCCGAUGCAUUGUCUAGACGUUCUUAUUUUGCACCAAAAGAAGGAGAUGCAACUUUUGAGCAACAAAGAACAGUCCUCUUGAAACCAGAGCAAUUUCAUCUCCGAGCAAUGAAAUCAACAUUGACUGUUGAUUCAACUUUUCUCAAGCAAAUCCAGUCCAGUAUGUGUCACGGACAUACAUAUAAUUACCUAUAUGAAUAGAUAAAAGUAUGUAAAAGUAGGUUAAUUGUGUAAUAUCUUCUAGAGAAGCUUCUUAGAAGCUUCAUAGAUGCUGCUUUGACUUUAUAGGAGUCUAUAGUUGACUUUUAGGUUAGAAACUUGGUCAACAAGUUAGCCAUGUGCCACGCAUGUUGGAAGCUUAAAGAACAAGCUAACUACGUGGUCCAUCCAUAGAAAACUUGCCUUGCAAGCAAAGGCAUGUGGCCUAGAAAGUCAACAUAUAUUGGAGGUCUUAUAGAACAUCGCCACGUGGCUUCUAGUUAGAUAAUAUAUAUAAAGGCAAGAGUGAAGCCCUCUUCACUCUUGUCAACUCCUUUCUUGCUUCUAGUCUAGUUUCAAGGGUCUCUAGUUUUCUUGUAUUUUGGCAAUAGCCAUUCCAGUUUCUUUCUUAAUAUACAUAUUUCUAUUUUGUCCUAUUUCUUUUUGAGAAAAGUCUCACUUACUCUUUAGCUUUUAUCGAGUUCUUGUCCCUGACAGAUUGACAAGAGUACACUUACAAUAUCAGAGCUUUGUCUUUUCUUGAUUAAGAGUGGAUUACCCCUUUUUCUUGAUAAGACAUAAGCGCAUUAGAAGUUACGGAUUACCCUCUUUUAAACUGAUAUUGUUCUUAGUAUUUUCUUUGUUAUCAAUUCCUCUCUUCUAUUUGUUUUGAGCGUUGUUAGACAUCUUCUCUUUUCUAAGUGCUACUAUGGCAGAGCUUGUUGAAAUGAAGAGUGCAAUGGCACAGAUGCAAGAACAAUUGAGGGAGUUAAUGCUUGCGAUGCAUCAACUCAAUUUACCACCACAAGGAGCAACAAGAAUGGUAGGAAGUGAAGAUAUAGAGAUGAUUGGGGCUGCUUCAACAUCUGCACCAAACCAUGUCCCUUCUCCCAGAAUGGAACACCCUUCGAGUGUUAGAGAACCGAGAGUUGCCUUGCCCGAGAAGUUUGAUGGUACCAGAUCCAAGUUUCGAGGAUUCAUCAAUCAGGUCCAACUAGUGAUUGAACUUCAACCCCAGAGCUAUCCAACUCCAGGGUCACAAGUAAGAUUCAUUGGUACACUUCUUUCAGGUUCAGCAUUGUCAUGGUUUUCAUCUUUUCUUGAACGACGAGAUCCAAUAUUGGAUAAUCUGGAGGCUUUUUUGGCGGAGUUUCGAUCCAUGUUUGGAGAACAUGAUGCAAUUCGUGUUGCAACCAACAAGAUCCGUAUUUUGCGACAAGACAAUCGAUCAGUAACAUUAUAUGCUUCGCAAUUUCGACAACUUGCAACUGAUAUCAAGUGGGAUGAUGCCGCACUUGUGAGUCAAUUUCUCUACGGAUUACAAUAUGAGGUAAAGAAAUUGAUGCUUAAUUUACCUGAUCCUCAAACAUUGAGUCAAGCAAUUGACUUUGCUGUGAAGUGCGACAAUCGACUUUUUGAAUUUCGAUCCGAGAGUCGCACAAGUGGGCCUCAACGUUACUACAAUUCAAUGGCAACACCGACGUCUCCUCAACACAUACCUUCGGAAGUAGAGGAUAUGCAAAUUGAUGCGGUACGUUUCAAACCUCUUACUGAGCAAGAAAAGUCUCGUCGUCGACAAGAAGGAUUGUGCUUAUAUUGUGGAGAACCUAAGCACACUGCUCAACAUUGUCCAAAGAAGCGACGUAACUACAAAAUGAGGAAUACGGCUGUCAAAGAAGACAGUAUGUCGGAAAACGAGUACGUCCAGCUACAAUAGGGACCGUGCGGCUGGAAUCUUGUACAACUUCUUAUAAAGGUCCUAUCCUCUCCUCAAAACCAUCUCCUUGUUUUAUAAUAGAUGUGCGUUUAGGACCUAAUAAUUACAAAGCCUCUGCCUUGGUAGAUUCAGGAGCCUCAUCUUGUUUUUUAGAUGAAGAAUUUGCUAGAUGUCAUAGAAUAUCAUUAAUACAAAAAACUAAACCUGUACACGUAGAAGUCAUAGAUGGUCGUCCGUUGUCUUCUGGAGAUGUAACUCACGAAACACUUCCUGUAGAUGUAGUAAUAAAUGGUCAUAGUAGUUGCGUAAUUUUUAAUAUAAUUAGAUCUCCCUCUAAUCCAGUAAUUUUAGGCUUAUCAUGGUUAGAAAAGUAUAAUCCUCGAAUAGAUUGGAUUUCUCGUAAACUUGAUUUUCCUCAGAGCAUUAGUAACAGUUCUAUUAACCAAGUAAAAAACCAUGAGUCUAGUAUAGUAAAACUCACACCUAUAGGUGCAAAAGCAUUUAUAAACGCAGCAAAAGAAGGAUCAACUUUUGCUAUUUAUGCUGCACCUAUUUCUGAAAGCGUAAAGACUUCAAGUGGCAUUCCAAGUCAAUAUCAGGAUUAUCAAGACGUUUUUGAGAAAAAUAAUGCAGAUAUUCUUCCUGAGCAUCGCCCAUACGAUUGUUCAAUCGAUCUCAAGGAAGGAACUCAGCCACCAUUUGGACCAAUUUACAGUUUAUCGCAAGAUGAGUUGGCUGAACUCAAGACAUAUAUUGACGAGAAUUUAGCGAAGAAUUUCAUACGCCAUUCAAAAUCUCCAGCAGGAGCUCCAAUUUUAUUCGUAAAGAAAAAAGAUGGAUCUUUACGAAUGUGUGUUGACUAUCGAGGACUCAACAAGAUCACAAUCAAGAACAGGUAUCCAUUACCUUUGAUAUCAGGACUCCUUGACCAGUUAAAUCAAGCUAAGAUCUAUACAAAAAUAGAUCUAAGAGGAGCAUAUAAUCUAGUACGGAUCAAAGAAGGAGAUGAAUGGAAGACUGCGUUUCGAACCAGGUACGGGCAUUUUGAAUAUAAUGUCAUGCCUUUUGGACUCACGAAUGCACCAGCUGCUUUUCAACAUCUCAUGAAUGAUGUAUUUCGUGAAUUCUUAGACAAUUUUGUCGUCUGCUACCUAGACGAUAUCCUGAUUUAUUCUAAGAAUGUUGAAGAACAUGAAAUACAUGUUCGUCAAGUAUUACAAAAACUCAGAGAUGCAGGAUUGUACGCCAAGAUGGAAAAGUGUGUAUUUCACACUACUCAAGUUGACUUUUUAGGAUACAUCAUUUCAAAUGAUGGUCUUAUGAUGGAUUCUAAGAAAGUCCAAACAAUCAUGGAUUGAAAGAUUCCAAAGACUAUGAGAGAUGUCCAAUGUUUCUUGGGAUUUGCCAAUUACUAUCGGAUCUUCAUCAAAGACUUCUCACGAGUUGCAGCUCCACUUACACGCUUGACUAGUAAAGAUAAAUUUCAAUGGAAUCAAGAAGCGGAAGCAGCAUUUGAAGCCUUGAAGACAUCGUUUGUCUCUGCACCAGUCUUAUAUCGUGUUGAUUUUUCCAAGGCAUUUUUUAUGGAAACAGACGCAUCGGAUUUUGCCUUGGGUGCAGUUUUAUCACAAAUGGGAACAGAUGACAAACUUCAUCCGAUAGCUUUUCAUUCAAGAAAAUUCUCAGCAGCCGAGAUCAAUUAUGAAAUCCACGAUAAAGAACUUCUUGCAAUCGUGGAUUCCUUUCAAGAAUGGCGUCAUUAUCUAGAAGGUGCUUCUAGUCCAGUCACUGUGUAUACAGAUCACAAGAACCUCGAGUAUUUCAUGUCAGCACGCGUGUUGAAUCGUCGUCAAGCUCGUUGGAGUAUGUCUUUGUCAAGAUUCGACUUCAUUAUCACUUAUCGGCCAGGAAAACAACAAGGUUUAUUCGAUGCCCUGUCUAGACGUUCUUAUUUUGCACCAAAAGAAGGAGAUGUAGCUUUUGAGCAACAAAGAACGGUCCUCUUGAAACCGGAGCAAUUUCAUCUCCGAGCAGUGAAAUCAACAUUGACUGUUGAUUCAACUUUUCUCAAGCAAAUCCAGUCCAGUAUGUCCUCAGACCCUCUUGUUCAUGAUAUCGAGAAUAAUUCUUUCAAGUCUCAUGAUUCUUCUAAGUUCGAGUUCAAGAAUAAUCUAUUAUAUUUUGAAGGACGCCUAUAUGUUCCAGAAGGAAAAGCACGUUUGCGUGUUCUUCAAGCACGUCAUGACUUUCCAGCAGCAGGGCACUUUGGAUAUAAUAAGACUCUGGAACUCAUAUCAAGAGAUUUUUGGUGGCCACAAAUGUGGAAGUCAGUCAAAGACUUUGUACAAUCAUGUGAUAUUUGUUCAAGAUCAAAAAUUCCUCGACAUCGACCUUACGGACUUCUUCAGCCAUUACCUAUACCAGAACAACCAUGGUCUUCUGUUUCUAUGGAUUUCAUCACAGAUCUUCCAAACUCAAGAUCUUAUGAUUCUAUAUUUGUGAUAGUAGAUCGUUUCACCAAGAUGGCACAUUUUAUGCCAUGUACAAAAUCUAUCACAGGUGAAGAAAUAGCUAAGCUUUUCAUUGAUAAUAUCUAUCGCUAUCAUGGAUUACCUAAAGAUAUCAUAUCAGAUAGGGGAACUCAAUUUGUGUCGAGAUUCUGGAGGACUCUUUUCAAGAUUUUAAAAGUGGAUAUAAAGCUAUCUUCAGCUUUCCAUCCUCAAACUGAUGGACAAACAGAGCGCGUAAACCAAGUCUUGGAACAGUAUUUAAGGUGUACCAUCAACUACCAACAAGAUGAUUGGACAAACCUUCUGCCAUUGGCAGAGUUUGCUUAUAAUAAUACGGUACAUUCCUCCAUGCAACAAACACCUUUCUUUGCCAAUUAUGGCUAUCAUCCACGACUUGAUACUUUUGAUUUUUCAAAAGUUGAUAAUCCUGCAGCAGAAGAUAUGGCAAAUCGGUUGUCAGAGUUAUAUACAAUAAUGAAGGCGCAGUUGAAGAAAGCUCAAGAACGACAAAAGAUAAAUGUAGAUGUAUAUCGUAAAGAGCAACCACAACUCAACGUGGGUGAUAAGGUAUGGCUACUUCGUCGCAAUAUCAAGACCACUCGACCUUGUGACAAAUUGGACUAUCGUAGGCUUGGCCCCUUUUCUGUUUCUGAACAGAUCAACCCAGUUGCAUAUCGGUUACAUCUACCGGAGUCAAUGAAGAUCCAUCCUGUAUUCCACGUGUCUCUUCUUGAACCAUAUAAGACAGUGGAUAUACAAGGAAGAAGACAAAUGCCACCGCCUCCUAUAGAAGUAGAUAAUAAUGAAGAAUUUGAGGUGGAAGAGAUAUUAGACUCAAGGCGGCGCCGAAAUAAGCUGGAAUAUCUUGUUCAUUGGUGCGGAUAUGAUAUUAGUAAGCGCACAUGGGAGCCAUCCAGGAAUCUAGCAAAUGCAUCAGCUAAAGUCAAAGUUUUUCAUCAACGACAUCCAUCAAAACCAAGAUGAAAACCUCUCUUAUAAAAGAGACAAGAUUGAGGAAGUUAUGAAGGCCUCAACAGUGAUCAAAUAACAGGGUGGUCUUCUCGCCCUGGAAUGGGACACUAUCGAUGGCUAAGAGGAUCCAUCAACUAUCUUCGAAGAGAACAAAGAUCAGAGUAUGUAGCAAAUACAGUUCGCCGCAUAUUAGAUUUUCUCAAUAUAUAAUCACCGCUCCUCGUGGAACUCGUCCCUAGAAGGGGGGGUAAUGUCACGGACAUACAUAUAAUUACCUAUAUGAAUAGAUAAAAGUAUGUAAAAGUAGGUUAAUUGUGUAAUAUCAUCUAGAGAAGCUUCUUAGAAGCUUCAUAGACGCUGCUUUGACUUUAUAGGAGUCUAUAGUUGACUUUUAGGUUAGAAACUUGGUCAACAAGUUAGCCAUGUGCCACGCAUGUUGGAAGCUUAAAGAACAAGCUAACUACGUGGUCCAUCCAUAGAAAACUUGCCUUGCAAGCAAAGGCAUGUGGCCUAGAAAGUCAACAUAUAUUGGAGGUCUUAUAGAACAUCGCCAUGUGGCUUCUAGUUAGAUAAUAUAUAUAGAGGCAAGAGUGAAGCCCUCUUCACUCUUGUCAACUCCUUUCUUGCUUCUAGUCUAGUUUCAAGGGUCUCUAGUUUUCUUGUAUUUUGGCAAUAGCCAUUCCAGUUUCUUUCUUAAUAUACAUAUUUCUAUUUUGUCCUAUUUCUUUUUGAGAAAAGUCUCACUUACUCUUUAGCUUUUAUCGAGUUCUUGUCCCUGACAGUAUGUCCUCAGACCCUCUUGUUCAUGAUAUUGAGAAUAAUUCUCCCAAGUCUGAUGAUUCUUCUAAGUUCGAGUUCAAAAAUAAUCUAUUAUAGUUCGAAGGACGCCUAUAUGUUCCAGAAAGAGAAGCACGUUUACGUGUUCUUCAAGCACGUCAUGAUUUUCCAACAGCAGGACACUUUGGAUAUAAUAAGACUUUGGAACUCAUAUCAAGAGAUUUUUGGUGGCCACAAAUGUGGAAGUCAGUCAAAGACUUUGUACAAUCAUGUAAUAUUUGUUCAAGAUCAAAAACUCCUCGUCAUCGACCUUACGGACUUCUUCAGCCAUUACCUAUACCAGAACAACUAUGGUCUUCUUUUUCUAUGGAUUUCAUCACAUAUCUUCCAAGCUCAAGAUCUUAUGAUUCUAUAUUUGUGAUAGUAGAUCGUUUCACCAAGAUUGCACAUUUUGUGCCAUGUACAAAAUCUAUCAUAGGUGAAGAAACAGCUAAGCUUUUCAUUGAUAAUAUCUAUCCCUAUCAUGGAUUACCUAAAGAUAUCAUAUCGGAUAGAGGAACUCAAUUUGUGUCGAGAUUUUGGAGGACCCUUUUCAAGAUUUUAAAAGUAGACAUAAAGCUAUCUUCGGCUUUCUAUCCUCAAACUGAUGGACAAACAGAGCGCGUAAACCAAGUCUUGGAGCAGUAUUUAAGGUGUACCAUCAACUACCAAUAAGAUGAUUGGACAACCCUUCUGCCAUUGGCAGAGUUUGCUUAUAACAAUACGGUACAUUCUUCCACGCAACAAACACCUUUCUUUGCCAAUUAUGGCUAUCAUCCACGACUUGAUGCUUUUGAUUUUUCAAAAGUUGAUAAUCCUGUAGCAGAAGAUAUGGCAAAUCUGUUGUCAGAGUUACAUGCAAUAUUGAAGGCACAAUUGAAGGAAGCUCAAGAACGACAAAAGAUAAACGCAGAUGUAUAUCGUAAGGAGCAACCACAACUCAACGUGGGUGAUAAGGUAUGGCUACUUCGUCGUAAUAUCAAGACCACUCGUCCUUGCGACAAGUUGGACUAUCGAAGGCUGGGACCAUUUUCUAUUUCUGCACAAAUCAAUCCAGUUGCAUAUCGUUUACAUCUACCGAAGACAAUAAAAAUCCAUCCAGUAUUCCACGUGUCUCUUCUUGAAUCAUACAAGACAGUGGACAUACCAAGAAGACGACAAGCUCCACCUCCUCCUAUAGAAGUGGACAAUAAUGAAGAAUUUGAAGUAGAAGAAGUCUUAGAUUCAAGGCGGCGUCAAAAUAAAAUAGAAUAUCUUGUCCAUUGACGUGGAUAUGAUAUUAGUGAACGCACAUGGGAGCCAAUGAAGAAUCUUGCAAAUGCAACAAAGGCGGUGGAGGCUUUUCAUCGACGACAUCCAUCAAAAUCAAGAUGAAAACCUUCUUUAUAAAAGAAACAAUAUCUAGGCAAGAUAACAUUCUACUUUUAAUUCUUGUUCGUAGCUUCGUUGUAGUAGUGGCGCUCAGGAGAUGGAGAACCAACAACCAGCGGAUUCAACUCAAGAGCCUUCAUUUGCUGACCUGCCGGACGAGACAUUACGAUUGUCACAACCUUCAAGACGACGCAAUCGAGAUGAAGAUCUUCAAGAACGACAUGUUCUUCCUCGAAUAGAUGGUGAGAUACAACACGUUUGGUAUCACGAUUUGGGAAGAGACUCCCGAUGUUUGGUGAUUUUGCUAGAGGUAGGAACAACUCCUAAUGGUGUUCCAAAUAUUCUAUUCGAAGGAAGUUACAAAGGCCUCAACAAUGAUCAAAUAACUGGGUGGUCUUCUCGCCCUGGUAUGGGACACUACCGAUGGUUGAGAGGCCCUAUCAAUCAUCUUCGAAGAGAACAGAGAUCAGAGUAUGUGGCGAAUACAAUUCGUCGCAUCAUAGAUUUCCUCAACAUAUGAUGACCGCUCCUCAUGGAAUUCGUCCCUAGAAGGGGGGGUAAUGUCACGGCCAUAAUCAUGUAAGCUAAUAAUUACAUAUAGAAAUAGGUAGAAGUAAGUAAAAGUAGAUAAAAGUAAGUUAAUUCUAUAAUAUUUAAUAUAGAAGCUUCCUAGAAAUUUCCUAGACGCUGCUUUGACUUCAUAGAUGUCUUUAAUUGACUUUUUGGAUUAGAAACGUGGUCAACAAGUUGGCCAUGUGCCACAUAUGUUGUUAGCUUGAAGAUCAAGCUAACUAUGUGGCCCACACAUAGAAAAAAUUGCCUUGUAAGUCAAGGCAUGUGCCCUAUAAAGUCAACACAUAUUGGAGGUCCUAUAGAACGUCGCCACGUAGCCCCUAGUUAGAGAGUAUAUAUAGAGACAAGAAUGAAGGCUUCUUCACUCUUGUCAACUCCUUUCUUGCUUCUAGUUUGUUUCAAGGGUCUCUAGUUUUCUUUUGGCAAUAGCCAUUCCAGUUUCUCUUUCAAUAUAUAUACUUGUUUAUAUAUAUUUUGUUACCUCUCUUUGAGUGAAUGCUCACUUGUUUGAAUUAUUUUUUCAUCGAGUUCUUAUCCUUGACAGGCAUAUGAAUCACGUUGUCAUGAUGUAAUAUGAUUAAUAGGUGAAAGAGUGUGGAGAUUAUUAUAAUUUAGGAGAUCUUAGUUCAAAAUAUUAGAACAAAUUAUCUUAGAAAUAUAGUUAAUAGUCAAAGGGAUAGAAAAAUUAAAGGGUACCAAUGCUGCCUUUUAGAAAGGUACCUUUUAGAAAGGUCUUUACUUUGUAGUACCAUAAGUAAAGCAAAUCAAAGUAGAUUGGAAAAAUAAAUAAUAUAGGCAUCUUUAGAAGAAAGUUAAGAGUAAAUUCUAGAAAAAAUUUACUUAGAAAAACUAGAUAUUGAUACCCGGAGAGGCCCAGUUAUGAACCAGGGUCGAAAUCAGACCCUAGGGCACAAAACCGAGUCUCGACGACGAUUUUGGGGUUCUUUUGGAGAUCAGAGAGUGAGGUUUGAAAGCAGACUGAAUAGGUUUUCUAUGAACAUUGAUUUUGGAUGAUUUGGAAGUGAUAUGACUUUGUAAGAGCUUUGCAAAGUUGAAGUUUGUUUCAAAUGACUUGGAUUUUAUGAAAUAAAAUAGGGUUUACGUUUUGGAUAAUUUCAAGAGUUUUGUAAUAGAUCUGUAGGUGAAAUUUUGUGAGUUUAUGGUUAUAGUUGUGUUUAAUAUGUGUCGUAAAUUUGAGCUUGAUUUAACGGUUGAAUUGAGGAAUAGUGAGGUUUAAGUGGGUCAAGGUCUCAGAAAAAAGAAUUUUAGGUCUAGUGGGGGUUUUGAGAUUUCUUGCAAUCUAUUAGUUGGAUUGGAAUGAAACUUAUAUGAGAGGAUAUUAGACUUGUUUUUCUAUGCGUAUGAGAAUUUUGAGAUCAAUCGAAAGGUGCAAAAGAGAGAUAUUGGCUCUAGAAGAUUGGCAUUAAGAUUGGAGAAGGAGGCCGGCUAAUACCCGAGCACAUUUUUGAAGAUAUUGUCAAUUUGGUAACUCCGAUCUUUAUCAAUUUUUUUGUGUUUGUUCUUAACUUAUUUUUUUAGAAGUAUGAAAUUUUUUAGUUAAGAUCAACGGUUUAUUCAUUAGUUAUUGAGGUUUAAAUCUGUUGUAGGAAUAAUUAGGAUUUGAUUUAGGGUUUAGGGUUUGGGUUAGGGUUUGGUUUAGGAUUUAGGAUUUGGAUAGGGUUUAAUUUAGGAUUUAAGGUUUGGAUUAGGAUUUGGUUUAGGAUUUAGAAUUUCAUUAGGGAUUAAUAUUUGAUUAGGAUUUGAUUUAGGAUUUAGGAUUUGGUUUAGGGUUUAGAGUUCGGAUUAGGGUUUGAUUUAGGGUUUAGGAUUUGGAUAGGAUUUGGUUUCGGAUUUAGGGUUCGGAAUAGGGUUUGAUUUAGGAUUUAGGAUUUGAAUUAGGAUUUGAUUAGGGAUUAUGGUUUGAUUAGGGUUUGAUUUAGGAUUUAGGAUUUAUUUAGGAUUUGAUUAAGGUUGGAUUAGGAUUAGGAUUUGGUUAGAAUUUAAGGUUUUAUUAGAUUUUUGUUAAGAUUUGACUAAGUUUUCUUUAAUAUUCUUUUAUAUUUCUUUAGGAUUUCCUUGUGUUUCUUUUAUAACUUCAAUAAAAUUUAAUUGAGCUUGCUUAAUGUUUGAUUAUGAUUGUUAACAUUUAAUUGUAAAUUCUCUAUAAUCCUAUUGGAUUGUUAAAAUCCUUUGUUGCAAUUUUCUUUUACCUUCCACAUUCAGGUGCUCAACGCAUUUUUAAGCAAGACUUCACAUAAUACGACAACGUAAGCUCAGAAGGACAAGUGUAAUCACUCUAUAUGUGAUCGAGAGUAAUUACUAAUUGUACAUGCUACAAAGGUGUGGCGAAACUAUCUAUUGGGAGGACUAGUCAUUAUUUGGAUUGACCAUUGAUCCUUGCUACAUAAUUUGCAUGUGAAAAAUAUAAAAUCAUGACAUCAUCGUUAAAAAAAAUAAUUGUAAUUUUUUGAUAUUUAACUUGAGUACAAGUAAGGACGACAACAUACUAUGCAAGAAAACUUAUUAAAAAGACAAAACUUGAAGGAAAAAUCAAAAGACAAGGCAAAAGUUGCAACCAUUAAUAGUGUCAUUUCAAACCUAAUCAAAGAAGCAGAAUAGAAGGAAGCUAUGCAUUGGAAUGCUUAUUUCAAGAUGGUUAGCAAUUGGUUGAAGGUAAGUAAUAUAUAAUAUCAAAAUUACAGUCUUAAUGAUGGCUUGCUUUGUUUUAAGAAGCAGAUUUAUGUACCUGAUAAUAUUAUACUUCAAAUGUCUAUACUUCAAGAAGGACAUGAUAUCCCAAUAUUUAGACAUCUGGAACUAGAAAAGACUCUAGAAUGGAUCUCAAGGACAUGGUUUUGGGCAAGUUUGGAUCAUAAUGUUCGAGCCUUUGUAUGCUCUUGCGAAUCAUGUCAACAUAAUAAAUCACACAAUGUAGCAUCUUCUAAACUAUUGCAGCCAAUUUUGCUAUCUACGACACAUUAGAAGUAAGUGACUAUGGAUCUUAUUACAUGUUUGCCAUAGAUACCUCAUAAUCAUUUUAUAAUUGCUAUUUUUGUAAAUUAACUCUCAAAGCAACUUCACUUGAUCAUGAUCCACUUGGAUAUUGAUGUCUUUGUGCUUAUAUAAGUCUGCUUUGAUACCAUCUUUUAUCACCAUAGAUUAUCUUCUGUCAUCUUUUCAAAUUGGAAUCUAUACUUCACGAGAAGUUUUUGGCAAGCCUUGUUCAAGCUAUUAGGCAUAUAACUUUCUAUGUCUACAAUCUUAUAUUUCCAAACAAAUGGGCAAAUAGAGCAUGCAAAUCAGACCUUGGAAAAUUUAUUGUGGACAUUUGUGGUGGUUCAUCAUAAUGAUUGAGAUGAAUACUUGACACCCUUGGAGUUUACUUACAAUAAUAGUAUUCAAACAAAUAUUGAUCAUUCACCAUUUUUUUUAAUAUCAAUAAGUAUUUCAUUAUACUUGUAACUCUAUACCCUCCCAUUGAUACCAACAACCUGAUAACAAGGGAAUUUAUACAACGAAUUACAAUAACCUUAGAGGAGGCACUUUACUACCUCAUUAUCAUAGAAAAUUAAUAUAACUAAUAUGUGGAUAACCACCGACAAUAUAAGACCUUCCAAAAAGAUGAUCAAGUAUGACUAUCCAAUGCUAAGUUGCCACUUACUACAUCAAUUCAAAUCCAUAAUCUAGUACCUUGAUAGCUUGAAACUUUUCACGUUUCUAUAGUUCUUUUUGAUGUCGCAUAUUGCUUCAAACUUUUGUCACAUAUUUGAUCUAUUCAGUCUUUCAUGUUUUACAAUUAAAAGAAUUUCAUGCCGAGCCAAAGUACUUUUUGGAUCAAAACCAACCACCACCACUACUAGUUGUAGUUGAUGACCAACAAGAAUAUGAAAUGGACAGCAUUUUGGAACAUCGCUACCUCCAUCAUGGCAGUGGACAUCUACAACUUGAAUACAAAGUUCUUCGAAAAGGUUAUCUCAUUCACGAUGCAACAUGGAAACUUGCACAAAACUUCAUCCAUUACUAAGAGACAAUUUGGAGAUACCAUUGAAAGCAAAACAAUGACAUUUUUUAUUAGUAGAAGAGAUUUAAUUGUAGCAAGGUAUAGAUAAGAUAUAUAUAUUAUUGAUACAUAAGGAUAGAUAAUUAGAACCAUAGAAGUUUUUAGAAUUGGGAUUAGAUUAGUGGAAUAAGUAGGACCUACCAUGAAAUAUUCUAAAAAGAAUCUUGGGUGGUUUUCUAGGCAGGAUCCACUAUAUAACCUUCUAAAAAAGAUUUAGGGUAGAUAUUUAGAUAGGAUCUAUGAUAGGAUCUUUAAGAAGGAAUUUAAAAUGAUUAUCUCAAUAAGAUCUAUUACUUAAGAACAUUCUAAAAACUCUAGGAUAGUAGAACAAAGUAUAAAUAGGAUUACAUAAAACCUCAUCUAUUACAAGUAAUUACAUGUGAAAAAUUAGCAUCAUUAAGAUUUGUUGCAAUCAUUUCAAAAGUUAUUUUUUAAUAAUUUUUGUAUUCUUUCUUUUUAUUGACAUCAAUAUCAUGCUUGGAGGCUCUUCACUUUCAUCAAGAAUGUUUCAAAGAUCCAAUGAAGCUAACAAAAAUUCUAUUUUUUCUUUUAAUAAUAAAAGUUAUCAAUUUUAAAUUUUCAAUAAUCUUCAAGUCUUCACCUUGACUUGAAGCCAUAUCUAAAAAAGAGAUAUAUUAAAAAGAAUCAAAAAAAGAUGAGAUAGAAUUUUCAAGAUCAAAAUAAAGAAAUUAUUUCUUAAAAACUCAUUAGCCCUCUUUGUUAGUAAAUUAAUGAUUUCAUUCUUUAAUCAUUCUCAACUUUGACAAAAAUAUUUUUAUUCUCAUAAAUACCUUCUUAUCAUUAUAAAAAGACUUCUUAAGAAAUUUAGGACAUAAAAGCACAAUAUUAAUGCACCAAUGAUGUAACUUAGCAAAAAAAUACAACACUAGUAUUCUAAAACUUCAUUCUAAAGUAUCUUACAACUUCUAAGAUCAUGAAUGCAGUUAACAAUAAGUAAGAAAAAAACUACAUCAACAACUAGAUAUAAAAGAAAAUUUAGAAGAUAUCAAUCUCUAAUAUCAGCAAUAAUCAUAAAAUCUAUCUUUUACUACAAGAAAAACUUCAAAAAACUUCAAAACUCACAACUAAAGGUGAAUGGGCCCAUAACCUAUUGAAGAAAAAAGAACUUUGAAGUCACAAUACAUUGCAUUAGCAAGGUUUGUGAACAAAAAUAGUUGAUGAUUUUGACUUUGAUAAGAUCUUCAAUAUACAAGGAUAUUUACUUCUUUAUCUUAAUUUUUCUAUUAUUAUUGUACCUUGCAAUGUUUCUAUUAUUGAUCUUGUAAGUAAUAUUAGUUUACUACAUAACCAAUAUCUUUUGCUAUAAUUAGAAAGAUAUUAAAGAAUAUUUUUUAUUGAAUAAUAGAAAUAGCUAGUACAUUCAACUCAAGAGCCAUCAUUUGCUAAUUAAUUGGACAAGAUAUUGCGAUUAUCACAGCCUUCAAAUCAAUAUAAUUGAAUUAAAUAUCUUCAAAAAUAAUAUAUUCUUUCUUAAAUAGAUGGCAAGAUACAAUGCAUUUGAUAUCACAACCUAGGAAAAAAAUUCCAAUGUUUGGUGACUUUAUAUGAAUUGAAUGACUCCUAAUAGUAUUACAAAUGUUUUAUUUGAAAGAAGUUAUUAAGGCCUCAAUAAUGAUUAUAUAAUAGAGUAGUCUUCUUGCCUUAGAAUGAGAUAUUAUCAGUGGCUAAAAAGUCCUAUGAAUUAUCUUCAUAGCAAAAAAAGAUCAAAAUAUGUGACAAAUAUUUCAUAUUUUGGACUUCUUCAAUAUGUAAUUACUAUUUCUUAUGGAAUUCGUCUCUAGAAGGGAAGAUAAUAUCAUGGAUGUAUAUAUACUUCAAUAAUUAUCUAGAUAUUAUAAAUAAAUAAAAAUAUAUAAUUUUAAUAAUAUCUUAUAUAAAAGCUUUAUAAAAGCUUUAUAGACAUGGCUUCACCUUUAUACAUAUUUUUAGGUGAUGGAUAGAUUAAAAACUUGGCCAUUAAAUUAGCCACAUGUUGCAUAUUGUUGUGAGGCGUGAUUUACAAUCCAGAAAUAUAUGAGGUAUCUAAUUGUAGAGAAUUUAGUUUUAACUUAUUGGCUAAGUUCUAAUAAGUGUUUUAUUCCAUCUUUAACUUAUAUUCAAAGUCUUGGCUUCCAAAACCUCUUCACUUUAUAUAAAAUAUCCAAAUUGUAGCAAAUUCCUUCAAAACAUAUUUUUCUUUUAGGGAAUUUUUUCUUCUUGAACUUUAGAAAUUCAUAUCUUUUGAUCCAACUAUUCAAUUUCAAAUUUUUAUAUAGUAUAGUUAUUAUUCUUAAGUUUUACUAAAAAAAAUGAACCGUAAAAUCACCACGAAUCUUUUGGCAUCUUAGAAACCCUAGCAAGUGCUCUAAAUUCUAACUUACAAGCAUAUGAGUACUAUUUUCUUCAUAUCUCAAAAAUCCAAAAUUAAAAUGCUACAAAAUUUAUGCAAAAAUUUUAUUAAUAUGAUUAUACAUAUUCUUAGAAAUUUUGAGCCAAAAUCUUGUCAAAUUACUUAAGAUAUAGCUCAAAACACAACCACUAGUGAAUCGGAUCACUUACUACCUUUAGAUUUGCAAGUGCUGAUUUCAACCUCUAAUAUCUCUUUCAGUCCAACUUGGAAUCUAUCAAAUAGUAUGCCAAAAGUGUAGUUGAAAAAUUGUUCUCUUCAAUCCUAAUUGCCAAUCCUUUAUUGCUUUCUGUACGCAUGCAUUAUGUCCAAAAGUGUGACAAUAGAUACAAAAUUAAUACCUUAACUUUGAGCACCCAUAUCUCCUUCAUAUAAACUCCAAAUCACACAAAAUUUUCACCAAAACUAUAGCCAAGAACCUAAAAUUGUUAAAUCUAGCCUCCAAAGCUCAAAUGGCUUCGAAAAAAUAACCCUAAUUCCUACUAAGGCCUCGGGCAGCCUUCUUGAAGCCCAUUGGAUACGAUUUUUGGCCAAUAUGAAUGGAAAUUCUCAUCAUUCAUCUCCAUUCAUCCAUAUCAAUGCCCUUACUUUCUUUUUUGCUUCCAAGACUCCUCUCCAAUCCUUUCUCUAAUAAGAUUUAGAUAAUAUACGUCCUAAACACCAAAUAAAAGAACCAAAAUAUAACUUCAAGGUUCACCAAUGUCUAAUAAGGUGACUCUAAAUAUUUAAAAGCUACUACUAAUAAGAUCAACUUCAAAAGUCACUAUCAAAAGAAAAUAAAGUUAUAUAAAUUCUAAUAAUAGUUCUUUUAAAUGAAUUCCUUUUAAGAUAGUAAUCUAACUCUAUUCUACAACUAACUAAAAUUUAUUAACAUGGUUCUUACCAUGUUACUUAUUAAAUCAUAUAUCAAACAUACAAACACAAUAUUUUCACAUGGUAGGCUAAACCACAACACAACAAUGUAUUGAUAGCUUGUCAUAUAAGCUAAUGAUGUAACUUAUAUAUAUAAGAAACUUGCCUUAUAAGAUAAGAUGUAUAUCUUGUAAAUUAAAUACAUGUCAGAGGUCUUACAAAACAUUAUCACAUAGCUUUUGAGUAGAUAGUAUAUAUUGAAGCAAAAGUGAAGCCUUCUACACUCUUGUUAAUAUUUUUUUAGUCUUUAAUCUUAUUUCAAGAAUUUUUAAUCUUCUUGACUUCAACAAUAGCUAUUCCAAUUUUAAUCUAUAUUAGUUUUGAGUGAAUAUAUAUUUUGUUUAAAUUACACAAAAGUAUAUUGAGUUUUUGAUACUUUGAGAUUCAUGUCUUUGUCACCAUAAAAUAUUUUAUUCACUAAUAAAACUACUUGCACUUAGAGUACUUAUUAAUAUGUUAUUAUUAAAUAAAAUUUAAGAAUUCAUAUUUAAAAUAUUAAAUAAAUUAACAAAGUUAAUUUUUCUAUGAAUAGUUUUUAUUUUAAAGAAUUAUUAGUUGUAGAAGAAGUGGAACCUAAAGUUGGCAUGUGAUAGGAUUAUUUUGUAAAACUUAAAAUAAAACCUAAUAAAUUAAAAAUAAAUCAAAUCUAAUUUUAAUUAUAUGGAAUUAGUCUUAAUAAAUUAAACUUUUGAUUUACGUUUAGUUUAUAAAUAAUAAAAAAUAUGAUUAAAAUUAUCUUUUGUCAAUAAUUAAUUUAAAAAAUUAGUAGUAGUGAAAAAUGAUUUGUUUCAAUAGUUAGGAUUAAAAUUGGAAUAGUGUAAUAUGUUGAAAAUAUCAUUAUUAAAUUUUGAUUCUUAUAUUUAAAAGCUUUGUUUUAUUUUGGAAUAUAAGAAAUUAUAAAUUAUCUUUGUAUUUUACUAUCAAUAUAAAUAUUAUUAAAUUGAUUAAAUACAUAUUUACCACCACUAUGACUUUAUAAAAUCUAUAAUCAAUGUCAUAUGUAUUUUUCAACAUAAGCUUUUUAAUCCGUGAGUUUAGAAAAUAUUUGAAAUAUUAAUUUUAACUAAAUUAAUCAUUGUAAAAAUGGCUAAAAUUAUUAAUAAAAGUAAUAAAAUAUUAGUAGCUAGUAAGUACAAAAAUAAUGGUUUAUUUAAGAUUAGUAUGAAUUAAAUUAUAUAAAUAAAUAGCUUCGUUUUUUUUCUUUAUUUAUAAUAGGACUUGGUAGUGUUUUUUCUUUGUAGCACUUCUUCAAUAAUUUUUUACUCUUUAAGAUUAAAUUCUAAUAAUAGAUUUUAGUAAAGGCUCACUUGCACAAUUAUAACUUAGGAUUAUUAAUAAGAUUCUAAUUCCUUAAAAUUCCACAAUCAAUGCGUGAUUAAAUCUAAAAAAUAAUUUUACUUGUUUUCAAUUCUAUUAUAUUUUAUUGAAAAAAUUGAAUUAAAGUCAAUUACUAAGCUUUUAAUUCCAAUUAAAUAGAGAAUGAUAAAUAUAUCUAUUGUAUUUUUUUUAUUUAUAUUUAAAUAAUUUAUCUUUAAAUUUAUCUAUCAAAUACAACUAAAUUACAUAAAUUGUAAUCUUAUGACUAAUAUUUUUAUCUCUUUUAAUAUAUAUAUAUAUAUAUAUAUAUAUAUAUUAAUAUUCAUUGGAAUUUUUUUAUUACAAUAUUUUAUUUUAAUAUUUUAAUUAGAACUUUCUUGCACUAUCUCUAAUUUUAAUAAUAUCAUUGAGUUAUUUGUAUUUUUUCCUUUAAAUUAAUUAUAUUUUGUAGCUAUUUUGUAUACGUUUUUAUUUUUUAUGUGGUCCAAUGUAUAUUAUAUAAACUUCUAUAUUAGUAGUAAUAUUGUAAUAGAUAAGUACUAAAAAUCUCCUUCUACUAAAUAUUUCAUAAUCUUUUUGUUUUCUAAAUUAAUAAAAAUAUACUUUAAAUAUCCAUUUAUUUUUUGUGUUUUGAAGUAAUUAUGAUUUCUUUUGAAAUAUUUAUAAGAUUUUAGGUUAUACAAUUUUAAAAGAUUAGUAGUAGUACUAUCUUAAUUCAAGUGCAAAAAAUAUUUAAAAAAUCAUAAUAUACAAUUACGUUUGGUUUGGAUUUAAACAUGACUAUGGUUGCCAAUAUCAAUGUACAAGUUUUACUAUGCACUAAUACUAUUAAUCAUUAAAGUUGUAGGUGAUAAAAAGUUUAUUUAUUUCUAUUCUAUGGAUAAAAAUAUAUAUAUUUUUAUUAUAUAUAGGACUAGGACUAAACACUAAAGAAGUAAUCUUUUAGAUUUUUAAUUUCUUAAGUAGUCAUCAAUUGAUCUUUAAAAAAGAUCAAUCUAAUUCUUCUUGACUAACUCAUUCUUAAAGUUUUGCCUCAAGAUUCAAAUACAACUCCUUAUCAAGUGCGUUCAUUCAAUAAAGUAAUAAUCUUCUCUUGUAUUAAGUUCUUACUUUUUUCUUUUGUGGAUUAUAUUGUUUUUGAAACCAAAUACAUCAGCUAAAAUAACUCACCUUACAAUCUUUAACAUAUUACUAAAAACUUUAGUAUAAAUAGACAAACCAUAUUAUUCUAUAUUUCAAAAUAUUCCAAAAUAAUUUUAAAAUAAAAUAUUAAAUAUCAUGUAUAUAUCACAUUUUUCUUAGUGUUGUAAUUUUUUCAAAAGAGUUCCAAAAAAAUACUUGAGUUUCUUACAAAUAUAAUGUAAAAUCUACAAAAAAAAGUUUAUAAAUAAUAAAAUUAUGUCAUUAAAAGAUAUGUAUUCAUCAACAAGGAUUAAAUUUUUAGUUCUAUAUUAGAUGUUAUAAUUUUUUUAAUAAUUUAAGUCAAUAUUUACAAAGGUUUUAUAAAUUAGACAGUGUUUUUGGAUGGAAAUCCAGAUACCUCUAUAACAUUUGGUUGUCUUUGUACUCAUAUUGGACUAUAAUUUUGAACAAGAUAUUAUUAUUUUUAAAUAUUCAAGGUUUUUUUUACUCUUGAUGAUCCUUCACAAUACUUCGGGCCUCACAAUUUAGGUACUCCCCAAAUACUCUAGUUUCAUUUUAAUGAUCUGACUGCUCUCAUUGCCUGCCGAAGGUGCAUAGUGACGCCCAUAGGGUCUGUAACCGCGGGAUCCGGUUCAAGACAGCAGAGUUCCCGCGGUCACCGAUCAGCACAACGCCCCAUGGGAAGGAUCCAAAUGGACACCAGCCUGGACACCCGAAGCCGCCACGAAUCGGGGGGGGGGGGGUAUGACCACAUUAGGUCACUAUUUUUUCCGCUUUUGAAGUCACCUUCAAAAUCCUUUCCAACCGCGCUCGAAACCGCGUUUCUGAAAUAGCACACCACGGUCCAUGUCCGUUAGAUAAGAAAUCUGACGGUGGGCCUGUAAGAACCAUUCCUUCAAGUAGCAGAAUCGCACCUGAGCUUGCCCCUUUCGACCUGAGAGCUCUCGUGCGAGAGCCUGCACCGCCGCUGACGCUGUGUGCAUUUCCGACUUCGAUUAAUCGUUUCAUUUUGAGGUAUGCUUCUGGACUUAUGUUAUGCGUUUCAUUCUUGCCUUUUUAGGGUUUACAGUCAAGGCUUUCCGUCACACGGCCUGGUGUGACAUUCCUUAUACGCCUAAAAGUGGGGUUUGGGUUCAUCUUUUAAUCCAGUUGUUUAGUGACAAGCCUUGGUAUAGUUUCACUUCACUGACUUUAUUCAGCACUCAACAAUGAUUAGGGGUGUGGAGUGAGUUAACAAGUCAACUCUUUAUCGAUUCUACCCAUGGUCUGGGUCUACAAAAUGCUCAAUGUGGAGCACGGAACAGAAAGACAUUUAAAUACUUAUUACAGAAUGCGUUUGUGUCAUCUGCAGUUAGUUCAAGAUGGGUAAGGAGAAGGUCCACAUCAACAUCGUGGUCAUCGGCCAUGUCGACUCCGGCAAGUCGACGACCACUGGGCACCUUAUCUACAAGUUGGGAGGUAUCGACAAGCGUGUGAUCGAGCGUUUCGAGAAGGAGGCGGCGGAGAUGAACAAGCGUUCGUUCAAGUACGCGUGGGUGCUGGACAAGCUGAAGGCAGAGCGCGAGCGUGGUAUCACGAUCGAUAUCGCGUUGUGGAAGUUCGAGACCGUGAAGUACUACUGCACUGUUAUCGACGCGCCCGGACAUCGCGAUUUCAUCAAGAACAUGAUCACGGGAACGUCGCAGGCGGACUGUGCCGUGCUGAUCAUCGACUCGACGACGGGAGGGUUCGAGGCCGGUAUCUCGAAGGAUGGGCAGACGCGUGAACACGCACUGCUGGCGUUCACUUUGGGAGUGAAGCAGAUGAUUUGCUGCUGCAACAAGGUGGGUUCGGGGGCAUUUUGGUUGAGGUUGGGGGGUAGGGACAUGGUAUGGGAGCGGGGCGCGGUGGUGGCAUUGGGUUGCGUUAUGGACAUGGCGUGGGUAAUGUCGGGGGCAGACGAGUGGGGUAAGGGGUAGGGUUUUUUGCGUGCAUUUUUGGGGGGCAGUGAGGUGGGCUGAUGUUGGUGAUGUGGAGGGUGGCAGAUGGACGCGACGACCCCGAAGUACAGCAAGGCCCGAUUUGAGGAGAUCAGCAAGGAGGUGUCGGCGUACCUGAAGAAGGUGGGGUACAACCCGGACAAGAUUCCGUUCGUGCCGAUCUCAGGGUUCGAGGGUGACAACAUGAUCGAGAGGUCGACGAACCUGGACUGGUACAAGGGUCCGACUCUGUUGGAGGCGUUGGACAACGUGUCGGAGCCGAAGAGGCCAUCUGACAAGCCUCUGAGGCUGCCGCUUCAGGACGUGUACAAGAUUGGAGGCAUUGGAACUGUGCCAGUGGGACGGGUGGAGACGGGAAUCAUCAGGCCGGGCAUGUUGGUGUGCUUCGCACCGACGGGACUGACGACUGAGGUGAAGUCUGUGGAGAUGCACCACGAGUCGAUGCCCGAGGCACACCCGGGUGACAACGUUGGGUUCAACGUGAAGAAUGUGGCGGUGAAGGACCUGAAGAGAGGGUACGUGGCCUCAGACUCGAAGAAUGACCCUGCAAAGGAGGCAGCAAACUUUACGGCGCAGGUUAUCAUCAUGAACCACCCGGGACAGAUCGGUAACGGUUAUGCGCCAGUGCUGGAUUGCCACACGUCGCACAUUGCGGUGAAGUUUGCGGAGAUCUUGACGAAGGUGGACAGGCGAUCGGGUAAGGAGCUGGAGAAGGAGCCGAAGUUUUUGAAGAACGGAGACGCAGGGUUCGUGAAGAUGAUUCCGACGAAGCCGAUGACGGUGGAGACGUUCGCGGAGUACCCACCAUUGGGACGGUUCGCGGUGCGGGACAUGAGGCAGACGGUGGCUGUGGGUGUCAUCAAGGCUGUGGAGAAGAAGGAGCCAACUGGUGCCAAGGUGACCAAGGCCGCCGCCAAGAAGAAGUGAGGGGUUGGGUUUUAGUCGGUGACAUAAUUUAUUUGUUCGAUGCCGCCUCUGGCGUCGGCACUUCUCGAGCUUGUUUAUGCCGUUUUCUUUGGGUGGAAUGGCAGCGCUGUUAAUUGGUUAUCUGCACUGCACUGCGUCUCGUUUUUUGUAUCCAACUGUAUCUUUAUAUUGUUUGCUUGUUGUCUGAACAUGUUUUUGUUCGGUGCUCCUUGCGUGCUGGUGUGACAGUCUGAAAUGUGUUCUGUCUAACCGUAAUUCCAUUUCUUAGUUACUUCUACCCCUCAUUUGUCAUGGCACUUAGAUGUAUGUUCAAUAUUAUCAAUGUUAAGUAGUUUUCAUCUUAACAAGGAAUAUAAGAAAUCAGGGUGAAGAUGAAAUAACAAGGUGCCCAUCCGCGUCGUCUGUGCUGAUUUUGAAGCACAUAUCUGUAAUAUCUGUUAGAACAUGGUAGUACAUUUCCAAAGGACAUACCCUCGAGAAGUAGAACUUCGGCUUCACAAUAGAUAGGGAACGUAACUUGCGCUCUCUUGCACAUCUAAAUCUCGGUCAGAGUGCGUUUGGACAGUAUUGUGGGAAUGGUGAUCAGUAAUGUUGGAAUCUGGCACUUAUAUCCUGUACGGCUUUGCUCGCAAAUGAUACGUCUUGUCGCUGCCAAUAAGGGGAUUCUGACUAAAGGUCUUCGUGAAACCAAAUAUCACAGAUCAUUCAGAACGUCACCUCCCGAAAUAUCACUGAUAUUUUGGUGAUUUGGAAACGACAUCCUGCUGUGUUGUAUGGAGUCAAAGAAGGAAGAAAUCUGAGGCAAGUUUCGCAGUUUUUGUUAUUGCAGUUGCCCCUUUAUUGAUACUUCACGAGACUCUCUUUAAAUAAUUAAUUGAAUUGUCUUUUACCUUGAUAGUGAGUGUUUUUUUUAAUACCAAAAAUGUUUCAUUUUUAUUUAUAUUUUACUUUUUAUAAAUUGCUAUUAUUAGUACAAGCUUAGAAUUGCACAUAAUUUUUGAAGCAUUGACAAACUAUUGAAAUAUUCAAAAAAUUUAAGUUUAGUUCCAUUUAUCUACCAAAGCUUGUAAGCUAUAAUGCACCUUAGUUGUUCUAGAAAUUCUACAUAAAGUAUCAAACUUUGGUAUAUAUAUAUAUAUAUAUAUAUAUUGUUAAAAUAAAAGAGCUUAUGAAGUUUAUGUCCUUUUAAUUUUUUUAUAGAUAAAUCUUCUUUUAGAAUUAGUUACAGUAUUUUUUAGAUUUGCAUUCUAGUUGAGGUAGUUUCGGUAAGGGUAAGUACCAAUUGCAUAAUAAUUGUAAAUUGGAUAAUUUCAGAGGCUACAUGACAAUAAUAUUGCAAGAUAGGUGAUCCAUUAUUGAUCCAAUACACAAUGGCAACAUGCAUUUUAGAGCUAUUAGUCAUAUGUGACCUUCUAAAAUCCAUAUCAAUUCAAUUUUAAAUACAUACAUUUAUACAUAAAUUUUUCUUACUAAAACAUGUAAAAGUGCUUCUAUCCACUAUCUAUUCUUUGAACAAAGUAUUUUUUUGAAAACAAUAUGAUUUUUUGAAAUAAUUUCUUUGAUACUAGUUUUUUAACUACCUACUUCUAGAAAACAAUUUCAUUGAAAGUACUAUGCACAUCUCAUUGCACUAGGCUUUUGCAUAGAUGUGUUCAACUUAAGAAUAUAUUAAAAAAAAAAAAAAAAAAAAAAAAAUUCCCAAAAGUUAGAAGUUAGAAGUAGGAAUUGUGCCAAAGAUAAGUCUUACAAUGCCUUUUGGACAAUACCAAAAAGAAAUUUUUCCUUCAACUUUAAAUUUUACAAUCUCCCACAUGCAAUGACCUUACCACCUAAGAUUUGGUAGACUCAUUCUAAUAUUAGUUAGGAAUAAGAUCUUAUAAUUGAAAGUAUUAAAGAUGCCAAAAAAAUCUUUGAAAAUCAUUUUUUUAAAAGGUUUUUUUUUUUUUUUUUUUUUUUUUGGCAGUUUUGGAGUUUAAAAGGCAACUUAAGAAACUUUAGGAGUUAAAUAAGUACAAUCAAUUUUAUUACAACAACCUUCUAAUUUUAUUAUUAUUAGUAUAAUCAUUUUUUUGUUUAUAUCAUUGCAAGUUUUUUUUUUUUAUAUAUACAUCCAUUGAAUGUUAAUCAUUGUUAUAUUUUAUCAAUAUAUUAUAUUAUAUUUUUAGUUUUAUUAAUUUAAAAAAUUAAUGUUGGAUUAUUUAAUUUUAUUUAAUUUUAUUGCUAUAUUGCAUGUUUUUUUUAUAACUUUUCAAGAAUAAUAAUAUAAAUUAUAUAAAUUUGAGCUUAUAAGAGCAAUGAUUUAAAAGAAAUUAAAUAAUUUACAUUAUUUUGUAAUUUCAUUAAGAUAUCUUAUACAUAUAUAUAUAUAUAUAUAUAUAUAUAUAUUGAUUAUAACAGCAAUGCUGAUUUUUUAUUUUAUAUAAGCAAGUUUAUUAUUAUUAAGAAUAUAUAUUUUUUUAAAGGUACAUUUUACUAUUGUUUAAUAGUACAAAUUAUAUCUUGAAACUAUGAAGGAGAAAUAUUUAUACAUAAAUUGUAAUCACAAGAACUAUGUUAGAUAUGAAAGAUAAGGUUACAUUACACAAUUGCUAAUUUUUUAGCCUUUUUUUUGGAAAACUAUUCAUGAACAAAUUGGAUUUACUUUCUUUUAAACUACGUUUUGUCAAAGACAUGAAUCUCAAAGAAAGAAAAUUCAAUAUACUCUUGUGUAAUUUGAAGAGAUUACAAAGUCACUUAAAGAUGGUAAUGUAUUGAAUCAGAAUGGCUAUUGCCAAAAAUAAGAAGACUAGAAAGUCUUAAAACAAGACUAUGAAUUAGAAAUGCACUGACAAGAGUAAAAAAGGCUUCUUUCUUGCUUCUAUAUAUACUCUCUAACUAGGAGCUAUGUGGUGAUAUUCUAUUAGACCUCUAAUAUGUUGACUUUGCUUAACACAUGUCUUAACUUGCAAGCCAAGCUAAUUAUAAGUGCACCACAUAAUUAACUUAAUUCAUAAGCUACUAAUAUGUGUAACAUGUGGUUAACUUCUUAACCAAGUUUCUAGCCUAUCAAUCAAUCACAAACAUGUGUAAAAUCAAUACUGCCUCUACAAAGCUUUUAUAAAGCUUUUUUAGAAGAUAUUAUGAAAUUAAUCUAUUUUUAUCUAAUUCUCAAUAAUCAUAUAGAUAAUUAUUGGAAUAAAUAUAUAUAUAUAUCUAUGACACUUUUUAAAUUAAAGCAUAGAGUUCUAAAAUAUGCAAAAAUAAAGAAAUUUAUCCUUUCCAUAAAAUAUUUUAUUUGAUUUUGAAUCAAACACUAAAGAUAAUAUUCAAUAAUCUAAAUUAAAUUAGAUAGCUUAUCUUCACUCCAUUUAUAAAAAUUACUUCCUAUUAAGAUAAUUUUUUUACAUACAAUGUUUUUGUUAUCAAUAUCUUCUAUUAAAAAUUUAUUAUAUUGUGUGGGCAUAUGUAUAUAUAUAUUUAUUGGUUUAUAAUACGUAGCUUCAAAUUUAAUAUUUUAAUCUUCAAUUCCAACUUUCUAGCUUUGAAUUCAUUGAAAUGUUUAGAAUAUGUAAUUUUAUAUACUUAAAAUUCAAUAAAAAUUAGUUGUUAAAUUUGAUGUGAUUUCAGAAAUAGGCAAAUCAAUUUAAAUAUAAUACUUUAGAAGAUAUAAUAGGCUAGGCUACAUUAACCUUUAUUAAAAUAAUAAAAAAAACCAUCAAUUUUUUUUAUCAUGUAUAAUUGCUCUAAAUAUAAUUUCAAAAAAAUUGUUCCAAUUUUUUUGUUUAAAAACUAUCUUAAUAUAUCUUUAUUGUUAAUUGACUAUCAGGUUUUUUUUGAUAUUUUCUAUAAUAUAUUUAAAUGUAUAUGAAAAUUUAUGAAAAUAAAAUUUUGUACGUAAAUACCAAUAAUUUAGAAAUUAUAUUUAAUUAAUACUAUUAUUCGGCUUAAAUAAUAAAAAUUUAGGAAUAUUGUGUGAAAUAUCAAAAGUCAAAACAUCUCUCUUUUUCUCUCUCUAUAUAUAAAAUUUAAUUUUUAAUUUUUAAUUUUUAUAUUUAUAUAGUAUAUUUUAUAAAAUAUUAAUAAUAAGUUUAUUUAUUAGUUAUAUAUAAAAUAUUAAAAAAUAUAGUAAUUUAUAGUGAAGUAUUUUAAUAUCAAAUUACUACAUUAAUUUUAAUAUUGCCAUCAACAUUGAGUUUUUUAGCAAGAGUUCAUACUCUGCGAAGUAAUCAUUACUUUAAUUUUGAUUACAUCAAAUUAAUUCAAAGCAACAUCCAUUUUUUGGAUUGUGCUCUAAUAUGUUUAUAUGUAUGUGCAUGUAUAUAUAUAUAUAUAUAUAUAUAUCUUUGAAAUUUACACAUAUAAAUACUUUGGCAUAUUCAAUGACAGGGUUAAAAUUUGAAACAUAUACCUUUAGAGCAAGCAAGUGGAUGAAAGUUAUGUAUCAAUUUUUCAAACACUGCGAUGAAAAGUUAAAAAUGUAAAAAUAUAUUUAAAACUCAAGUAUGGGAUUUGCAUAGCAAUGUCCAUAAUUAGAUCAAAUUUUAGAUAUAUUUUUUUGCUUAUGCAUCAUAUUACAUGUAAGUCUAUAGAUUAAAAUUGUAUUCAUGUUAGACUUACUUUAAGAGAUAAAAAAUAUUUCAUUUGAAGAAAAAAGUCAAAUAUUUCAAUCAUAAAUGACACAAUAUUAUUUGUGUAUGUCAUUACAAUAAGCAAAUUGAAACUUAAGGUUUUUGGAUGAUACUUCAUCUGUAAUGAUAUUUCAAAGUAUCACAUGAUAUUUCAAAAUAUUACUUAAUUUUGAAAUUAACAUAUCAUAAGAAUGAUGUAUAUAAUAUCACAAAUCAUGUGACUCACAUCAAUUCUUUGCACCAAUUGAUUCUGUACUACACCACAACAUUCAAUUCUCUAGUCUUUGCACUUCCAAAAAUUUGAAAUCCUAAAUUUCUUUCAUUUUAUACUACAUUGUAACCUUUUCUCUUAACUUUGCUCCAAAAAUGAUAAUUCUAAAUUUUUUGAAUUAUAUACUAUAUUACAACCUCACAAUGUCUCGAUGCUUCAAAAAAAAAAUAACAAAUCCUUUGUGACUUAGAAAUAUUUAUUAAUAAAAUAUUUGAAGAACAAUGCAAUAAAAUUAAAAAUAAUUUGAAGAAAACUACUUCAAAUUUGAAGAUGCAAAAGAAUUUUUGAUGGUUUAUGGUACAAUCAAGAAUUUUUCAUAUAUAUAUUCACCCAAAAUAUUGUAUCUAAAUAGACUCAUUGAAUUAUCAAUUAUUUUAUAUUUGAGACUUAUGUCCAAUUUUGACAAAUCAUAAGAAUGUCAAAGAAGGGCUUUUAGAUGGUGCUUUCAACCAUAAAAAACCACCCCAUUUUUUGGAGCAAGAGUUGUUAUCUACAAGGAAAAAUUGCUAGGCAAUUGUAUGUAGGAUUGGAGUAUCUUAGAUCAUAUAAGAAUGAAACUAGUAUUAAGAGAUUAAAAAGGGCUUGGAAUAUUGGCAACAUCACAAUAUAUACAUUUAUAAUAUAAGUAAUUGAAGCAAUUUUUUCAAUCAAAUAACAAUAUUUGCAAUGACUAAAUAUUUUCCAAAGGCUUCAAAUUAGCUAGUCAUUUAGUCUCUUAGAGCUUGGCAAUUGUAUCAAAUUUAUUGACAGGAUACAAUUCUGUCUAAGCCAAUAUAUAUUAAAGAUAUGAAGUGAAAGAAAAUGCAUAAACUUGUAAAAUUUGAAUAAAAAGAAAUUUGAAAUAAAAAAAUAUGUAUAUUAAAAAGAAACUAAAAUGACUAUUACCAAAAGGCAAUGAAACUAGAGAGUCUUGAAUCUAGACUAGAAGCAAGAAAGAAGUUGAAAAGAGUGAAGAAGGCUUUAUUCUUGUCUCUAUAUAUAUUAUCUUUUUAGGAUCUAUGUGACGACAUUCUAUAGAACCUCCAAAACUGCUUUGACUUUGUAUGACAUGUAUCUUGACUUGCAAAGAAUUUUUUUUAUAUGGGCACCACAUAGUUAGCUAGUUCCACAAGCUACAAAUACAUGUGGCAUGUGGUUAGCUUGUUGACUAAGUUUUUAACCUAUCAAUCAACUAUAAAUACAUGUAAAUUCAAAAUAAUAUCUAAGAAGCUUUCAAGAAGCUUUUCUAAAAGGUAUUAUGAAAUUAAUUUAUUUUUACCUACUUCUAUCUAUUUAUAUUACUUAAGUAACAAUUACAAUAGAUAUGUAUCUAUGAAAUUAUAUUAUCUAGAUAACAAUCAUAAUAUAUAUAUAUAUAUAUAUAUAUAUAUAUAUAUAUUUAUAAUAUUAUUUCUCUUUUUACGGAUAAGUUCCACAAGGAAUAUUGAUCAUAUAUUGAAGAAGUCUAAAAUGUGGCAAAUUAUAUUUGCAAUGUAUUCUAAUCUUUGUUUCCUUCAAAAGUAGUUGAUAGAUCUUCUUAGCCAUCAAUGAUCUCUCAUCGUAGGGCAAGAAGACCACCCUAUGAUUUGAUCAUUGUUGAAACCUUUUUAACUUCCUUCAAACAGUAUAUUUGUAAUACUAUCAAGAUUCGUGCCUACCUCAAAUAAAAUCAUCUAACAUGGAGAGUCUUUUUUCAAGUUGUGAUACCAAAUGAAUUGUAUCUUUUUAUCUAUUUAAGGAAGAACAUGUCAUUCUUAAAGGGCUUCAUUCUUAUAAUGUCAUUUUAAAGGCUAUGAUAAUUGCAAUGCCUCAUCCAAUAAAUCAACAAAUAAUGGUUCUUGAGUUGAAUCCAUUAGUUUUUGAUUUUUCAUCUCUCUAAUGCCACAAUUAUAUAAAAAUUAUAAUUAAGGAUAAAAAAUAGAAUGCAAUAUUUUUUUAAUUUUAUUUCUUUUAUAGCAAAGAUUUGUUAUUUUUCAUCUUGGUUUUGAUAGAUAUUGAUGAAAAGCUUUGACCUUCUCUAUUGCAUUUGUAAGAUUCUUUUUUGGCUCUCAUAUACAUUCACUAAUAUUAUAUUUGUGCCAAUAGACAAGAUAUUUUAAGUUAUUUUGGCAUCGCCUUGAGUCAAACUUCUUCCACUUCAAACUCUUCAUUAUUAUGCACUUCUAUAGGAAGAGGUGGAACUUGUCUUUUUUUUGCUAUAUUCACACUCUUGUAUAAUCUAAGAAGAAACAUAUAGAAUACAAGAUAGAUCUUUAUUGACUCUGAUAGAUGUAAUUAAUAAGUAACUAGAUUGAUUAAUUCACAAAUAAGAAAAGAUCCAAGCCUGCAAUAGUCUAACUUAUCACAAAAAUAAGUAGUUUUGAUAUUACAAUGAAGUAAUCAUACCUUAUCACCUACAUUGAAUUGUGGUAGUUCCUUUUGAUAGGCAUCCAAGUUGAUCUUUUGUCAUUCUUGAGCUUCCUUUAAUUAUACCUUCAUUGUUGCAUGUAGUUGUAACAAAUAAUUUUCUAAAUCUUUUGCCAUAGGAUUAUUAACUUUUGAAGUGUCAAAAGUAUCAAGUCAUAGAUGAUAAUUAUAAUUAGUAAAAAAAGAUGUUUGUUGCAUAAAAGAAUGAAUUGUAUUAUUAUAAGCAAACUUAGCCAAUGAUAAGAAGAUUGUCCAAUCAUCUUGUUGGUAUAUCUUAAAUAUUGCUUCAAAACUUUGUUUAUACACUUUGUUUGUCCAUUAGUUUGAAGAUGAAAGGUCAAAAAAAGCUUUAUGUCUACCUUUAGAAUCUUAAAAAAAAAAUUCUAAAAACUUGAUACAAAUUGAGUUCUUUUAUCCGAUAUAAUAUCUUUUAGAAAUCUAUGAUAUCGAUAGAUAUUGUCAAAGAAAAGCUUGGUAUUUUCUUCACUUGUGAUAGAUUUUGUGCAUAGUAUAAAAUAUACUAUUUCAAUAAAAUAAUCUACUAUCACAAAUAUAAAAUCACACAAAUGUAAGAUUCAAAGAUUUGUAAUAAAAUCCAUAGAAAUAUGAGACCAUGGUUGUUUUAAAAUACGUAGUGGCCAAAGAAGUCCAUAAGGUCAAUGAUAAAGAAUUUUUAAUCUUAAACAAAUGUCACAUGAUUGAACAAAGUCUUUUACAACCUUCUAUGUUUGCAACUGCAAAAAAAUCUUUACAUAUUAGCUCCAAAGUCUUGUUAUAUCCAAAAUGUCAUGUUUUUGGAAAUUUGUGACAUGCUUGAAGAACAUAUAAAUGUACUUCUCUUUCUAAAAUAUAUACACAACUUAUGAAAUAAAGUAGGUUGUUUUUGAACUCAAACUUCGAAGUAUUACAAGACUUAGAAGAAGUAUUUUUGAUAUCAUGAAUAAGAAGAUCAGAGAACAUAUUUGAUUAAAUUUGCUUGAAAAAAGUUGAAUCAAUACUUAAUGUUGAUUUCACUACUCAAAGAAGAAAUUUUUUUGACUUCAAUAAAAUUAUCUUUUGUUAAUCAAAAGCUACAUCUCCUUCUUUUUGUACUUUUGAUAAGAAUGUUUAGAAAAGGGAUUGAAUAAACCUUGUUGUUUUUCUAACUGAUAAGUGAUAUUGAACUUGAAUCUUGACAAAGACAUGGUCUAAUAAGCCUAGCAAUAAUUCAAAACAUAUGCUGACAUGAAAUACUCAAGGUUCUUCUGAUUAAUAUAUAUAGUGAGUUAGUUAGAAGCACCUUCUAGAUAAUAAUGCCAUUCUUAAAAAGAAUCCAUAAUUGUAAAAAGUUUUUUGUCAUGAAUCUCAUAGUUAAUCUUAGUCGUUGAAAAUUCCUUGGAAUAGAAAGCUAUUGGAUAGAUCUUGUCAUCUUCUUCUAUUUAUAACAAAACAAUAUCUAUAGUAAAAUUUGAUGCAUAUAUUUUCAUAAGAAAUGCCUUUAAAAAGUUGACAUGAUAUAAAAUUGGUACAAAAAUAAAUGCAAACUUCAAGGCUUUAAAUGAUGCUUCAGCUUCUUUUUUCCAAUCAUUUUUUUUUUCAUGUAAGACAUAUAAGAAGAACCAUAAUUUGAAAAAAAUUCUUCAUGAAGAUUCAAUAGUAAUUUGCAAAGUCUAAAAAGCAUUAUACAUCUCUUAUUGUUCUUGAAAUCUUCUAAUCUAUAAUAGUUAGAAUCUUCUUUGGAUCCAUCAUAAGUCCUUUAUUGGAAAUGAUAUAUAUUAAAAAGUCAAUUUGAAUAAUAUAGAAUAUGUUUUUUUAAGUUGGUAUACAAUCUUGCAUAUUUAAGUUUUUUUAAUAUACAAAAAAUAUAAAUUUCAUGCUCUUUUAUAUUCUUAAAAUAGAUUAAAAUACUAUCUAAAUAAUAGAUAAAAAAUCAUCUAAAAAUUCACAAAAAAAAUCGUUUAUAAGAUGUUAAAAAGCAAUUGGUACAUUCAUGAGUCAAAAAGGCAUGAUAUUAUAUUCAAAGUGCCCAUACCUUGUUCAAAAUGCAAUCUUCUAUUUAUCUCUUUUUUUUAAUGUAAACCAAGGUACAUGUUCUUUAUAGAUCUAUUUUUAUAUAGAUCUUAGCUUCAUUUACUUGAUUAAGAAGUUCAAAUAUCAAGAGUAAAGGAUACCUAUUCUUAAUGGUAAUCUUAUUGAGUCCUUGAUAAUCUAUAUAUAUUCAUAAAGAUCUAUCUUUUUUCUUUACAAAUAAUAUAGGAGCUCUUGCAAGAAAUUUUAAAUGGUAUAUGAAAUUCUUUGCUAAGUUCUCAUCAAUGUACUUCUUGAAUGCAGCCAAUUGAUUUUGUGAUAAACUACAGAUUGGACCAAAUGGUAGUUAACUUCCCUCUUUAAGAUCAAUUGAGCAAUCAUAUGGACAAUACCCUAGGAAAAUAUUUGCAUUCUUCUUCUCAAAAAUACCUUGAAAAUCUUAAUAUUGACUUGGAAUGCAACAUGAAGUCUUUCCAUUAUAAAAAAUAAGUGUGGUAUAAAUAACAAAAGGUAAUCUUUUUUUUGCUACAUGCAAGAAAGCUUUUGCGCCUAUGAAUAUGAAUUUGGCUAUAUUAGAUUCAUGGCUUUUUAUAAAACUCUUAAUAAUGAUAUGAAAAAAGUUUUGAAGAAAUCCAAUUUAUCAAAAGAUUAUACAUUUUUAGCCAUAAUAAACCUAAAAUGACCAAAUUACAGAGAGACUUAAUUAUAUUAAAAAUUAUACAACUAUUAUGACCAUUUAUUGUUACAUCUAUAGGAAGUGUUUCAUGAAUAAUAUUUCUAAAAGAUAAUUGACAGCCAUCUAUGACUUUUACAAAAAAACUCAAAAAAAUGAAUGUCAUACUUCACAACAAAGUUAAUUGCUUGACUCUAUGUUUGAAGAUUAUAUAAGUUGAACAUCAAUUUUUUUACCUCAUAUUAUAAUUUGUAGAGAAAUUGGCUAAUAAGGGCAAUAUCAUCCUACUUGACAUCAAUUACUAAUUGUCAAAAUUAUCAAACAUGUGAUAUCACUGAUUGAUUGCCUUGUCACAAGAUACAAAUCUUAUUAGUUGCAACACAAAUUGCAUCAUGUUUUCCAUGUUAAAAUAAAUAAGUAAAAAUGAAAGUAGAAUAAGUUACCUUGUAGAAGAUAUUAUCUUUGAUAAGUUGCUAUUCAUUAAAGGAUUGGCUCUUAGUAUGUAAGAAGGUGAAGAGAUAAAGUAGAUGAAAGGACUAAAGAUCUUAAGAAUAUAUAAAAUAUACUAAAAGCAUAUUUUUAUAGUAGAUAAGAUAAGAAUAAAUAGUCUUAGUAGAAUAUUAGAUGUAUGUAGUCAUCAUAGGAUAGAAAUUAUUCAUUAAGCUAGGAGCUACUACUUAUAAGUAAUGGAUGUUGGAAGUAAAAGAUAUCUUACUUCAUAUUCUCUUUGUGUAUAACUUUGUUGAUGUUGUAUUGUGACUUCAUAGUGCUUAUUCUUUAAUAGGUUAUGAGCCCACUCACCUUUUAUUGUAAGUUUUGAAGUUCUAUAAAGGGUCAUUUUUUGUAAAGAGUAGAUCUUUUGGUUAUUAUUGAUGUUAGGAUUUGGUAUCAUCUAACUCCAUUAUUAUAUCUAGUUGUUGAUGUAGUUUUGUUCUUACUUUUUGUUAAGUGCAUUGAUAAUCUUGGAGGUUGUUACAUACCUUAGAAUGAUGUUUUAGAACAUUAGUAUUGAGUUUCUUUACUGAUUUUGAUCAUUUGUGAUCUAUCAUUGUCGUUUUAUAUGAUAAACUUCCCUUGGGAUCCUCUCAUAAUGAUAAGAAAUAUAUUGUGAGGUUAGAAGUAUUUUAGAAGAGAAGAAGGUUGAUUGGAAAGUGACAAAGCUUAUAUAAGAGGUUAAAAUAGAGUAUAAGACUUGUAAGAAGUCUUAUAAGUAAAGUUGAAAGUUAUUAAAGAGUGAAAUCACUUAUUUAUUCACAAAGAGGGCAUUUUAGGUUUCCAAAGAAACAACAUCUUCUUGUUGAUUUUGAGAGCUCUUUCUUCUCUUUUUUUGAUUUUUUUUGAUACAUCCUUUUCAUAGACAUGGUUUUAAGUGAAGGUGAGAAUUUGAGAGUGAUUAGGAAGUUUAGAGGUGACAACUUCUAAACUUUUAUUUUCUUCAUUAGACCUUUGGAACAUGGUAGAUGAAAGUGAAGAGCCUCCAAAUGAUGAUGCUAAUGUCAAGGUGAAAUACAAGUACAAAUGUCAUGAAAAGAAGGCUUUUGGCAUAAUUACAUCAAAUUUGGAUGAUGCUAACUUUUCACAUAUAAUUGCUCGUAAUGGAUCAGCAAAAGCAUGAAAGACUCUUUGCAACAUCUAUAAGAGUAGAAACCUUGCCAAGAUUCUAUGGACAAGGAAGAAGUUCUUAAUGGUAAAGAUAGAAGAAGGAGAUGAUUUCAUGGCUCAUGUCAAUAAGGUAAAAGUACUUACAAAUCAAUUAGCAGUUGUUGAUAAGUCAAUUGAUAAUAAAGGCAUUGUAUUGACAUUACUCAUGAGCCUUUUUGAGACUUAAAGUGUAUUAUAUGGAAUAACUCUCUCAAUAGAAAGAAUUUGUUUCAACAUUUUUUGUUGUGAUAUGUCUAUUUGUGAUCACUUCCAAUACCACUAUUAUUUUUUUUCAAACAAAAUGAUAUUAACUUAAUCAAAAUCUAAUAGCAAUGCAGCCCUAAAGAUACAUGAAUUACCACAACUUAUAUUUUAUAGUUGUAAUUUCAAACUUGAGGAUUGAAGUUAUUGUAGAUUUUAUUGAUGUGAGAUGAGAUCAGUUUUUGCCAUCUUUAGUCUAUUCCACCAUUCUUUGAUCAUUCAAGUAUGUUAGUAUUCCUACACACAUAGAAUUAUGCAUUGCUUUGUUUCCAACACCUAAAUGGUAGUCAAUCCUUUAAGAGCUUUUUCAACAAUACUAGUUUUAUCAUGUGAUACAUCUCUUACUUUAAAAUAGCUAUUUUAUUUGGAUAUGAAUAUGAAAAAAUAACACAUACAUACACAUAUACACACAGAAAUAAUAACAACAAUAGAUUACUUUUUGAUAUUAGUGAAGAUUGAUAGAGAAAAUCAACUCUACAAAACUAUUUUAAAAAAACUACAAAUUAGAUGAGUGAUAUCUACAAAAUUAUUAGAAAAUAUACUUUUCUUCUAGAAAAGCAAGAAUUCCUUUCUUCUAAUAGAUUUAAUUUAUUAAUUUUUAGUAUAUAUUUUUACAAGAACUAAUACUUGAAACUGCUUAGAUGAUUGAUUCUAAGAAAUUAUAGAGUGUUAAAAAUGGAUAUUAUUGAAGGUUUGGUUUUUAGAAAAAGAUUAGAUUAUAAAAAAAAAAUUGGAUUUUAAAAAUUUUAUUUCUUUAUUUAUUUUAAAAUAUUUUGGAUUUAAUAUUAUUACACAAUACUAUUAACUAUGUACAAAUUUAUAGUAUAAAUUGAUGUUAGGAUGAGUCAAAAUCAUUAUUAUUAAAAACAAAGACAUAUUAAUCAAGACCAAGUUGACACUAAGACAUCUAAUUCAAACUUGUAUACAAACAAUAAAGAUCUAUUCAACCAAUUAAGAGUCAUUUUUUUUAUAUUGUACUUAAAAAUAUGUACACAUUUUUAUUUCAACUUUAGUUAUUGCAAAUUGUUCUUUAAAUUCUAAUUAUAUUAUUUAAACAAAUUUUAUAAAUAGACCUUUUAGUUCUUGAUUAUUAGAUUAUUCAAAAGUUAUGAUUUCUAUUUCAAAAACCCAAAGUUAUUUAAAAUUUAUUCAACGAAGAAGAAGCUUAAGUGUAAUUGUAUUUUAUUUUAAAAUUUAAAGAUGUUUUAUUAUAAAAUUCAAAGAUUUAAAUUACAAUUUUAGAAUAAUAUAGAAUAUAAGACCAGAGACAUAUCUUUUUUAUUUUCUAUUUUUUUUUUAUGAUCAUUUGUAUUUUUUAUUUCAAAAAUGAUUCAAAAUCAGUCCACAAAAUUGUUAUUCAAAAAUUAAAGUAAUUUUUUUACAUAAGUGUAAAUAAUAUGUAUUUUAUCCUUAUAAAAAAGGUCUGUCCUUUUAUUUUAUAUAUUUUUUUAUAACAUAUUUAUUGGUUGAUUUAUAGAAAAAACAAAAAAUAAAAUAAAAUAAAAUAAUUUUUUUUGAAUUAUACAAUAAGUAAUGCAGACAGAAACAUCUUAUCUUGCCUAAUUUUAUAGCAAGUUGGAAAGUCUUGUGACCAAUUCCUUAGUCUACACAAUCUUAAUGUGUUGUUCAACAAAGGUAUUAGUUUAUAAGGUAUGUGGUGUACCUUUGAAAAUUGUAUAAAAGUUUGUUAUUGACCGUAUAGGAUUGUGCAAUAAAUCUUGAGGUCUCUUAAAAAGUAGUUUUAAACCAUUUUAUGGGAUGUUUUAAAGAUCCACUAAGAACUAAAAUUGUGUGUUCCAAAGAUAAGAAAAAGUAUUACAAAGAUUUUAAAAUAAACUCUAAGAUAUUCAAUGAAAUAUAUGGUGAGCUUGUUAUAAAACAAAAGAAAUUUAUACAAACUGUGAACAUGGGAAUGGGAUUUUUAUUUUUAUUUUUAAAGAGCCCUUAGUUUGUUAAAUUUUAUUUUUUCUUCUUGUUUUAGUUAGUGAUUAUUUGACUCUUUUAUUUGACAUCUUCAAUAGGAAUUUAAUCCAGAGUCUUCUCCACUAAAACCCAUCUUUAAAAAGUUCCGGACAUGAUUACAGUAUAACUGUACAACAUAUUUGAAAUCAUCAAACUUAUAAUUAAAAAAUACAGUUCUAAACCGGUCGCACAAUGGCUACAGCCGGUAGUUAACCUAACCGUGACUGGAUGAGCGAUGGCGGCAGCUUCUUUUGGCAAACAUAAAUGCGGCGAUGACGGUCUAACUCCGUGAAUUAUUUGUCGCUUACGAGCACACUCUGCUCGCAGACUAUCUGUUACGAAGCAACUUUUUCCGAAUCAAACCGUUCAGCGCAAUGGAGUUUUGGGGUAUGGAUACUCUUAAAUCUCAUUAUACCCUGUUUUCGGAAUGUAUUCUUGCGAUUUAUGAAUUCUGGUCCUGUGAAGGAGACUUUACAGUUAUUGAUGCUAUCCCGCGAUCAUGGCGAGCAAGAGCAAUACUCUGAGCAAGUUGCAAGCGGGCUUCAGUCUUGUUCCGCUGGUUCGUGCGAUUCUUGCCGAGGGUUUAAGCGCCAGAAUUUUAAAGGCGAGAGUCUGUUUGUAUUAGUCGAUAGCAAUCGAUUUCUUAUCAUGUGAGCUUCUCCUAUGGUAUUAUAAGAGCUGUAAAGGUUUAGAUGAAUCAGAACUUCAGGUUUACAAGUACUUGGGUGUAUUGUCAUCGUCGUAAGAUGGUAGGCAUGGUCGGAGACGUUGAUUGUACACGUAUUUCGUUCACGAGAUUUGGAAUGUACUCCCUGGUCAUACUCGCUCAUCGUUAUUUGGUUUGUAUCUCCUUUUCUUUCCAAGUUCCUUAUCCUGGAUGGUUUAGAUUUCGAUACCUGUGGAGAAUUGAAUGAGUUCUGUGCUGAGCCUGCUUCUUAUCCGACAAGAGAUUAUUUUCUUGACAUCAGUCGAAUCGGAUUGUUAAUAUCACCGCAUUGUUUAUGAAUAAAUGCUUAUCGUCGUUUUUCUUGUUAGAGUUUAAUCGUCAUUAUAUGAACGUUGAAUUGUCUGGUGGUACAGGUGUCGAAGUGCCGCCUGGCAAGCCUACUUCAUGCCCUCCAGGCGAUGGAAUGCACCUUCAUGUUUCACAGGUAUGUACAGUAGCAUUAACUUUGAUUUCUCUUCAAAAUAUUUUGUUGUGCGCACAGUGUAGACUUCCAGCUGUUGUACUGUAAGAGAUGCUUGAUGAGCACGCUCUUGUUUAAUAUGCGUAGUGGAGAAACUUAAGAAUAGCGUGCUUGUUUAUUUGGACACAACGAGGGAAGUUAACUUCGUAUACUAGCAGUUUAGUACUGUUCUUUGCUCAUUGGCUCAUUUUGACUUUGUUGUAUCAGGCCGCUCUUGGAAAAAGCAAGGCCAAAAGCGGAAAGGAAAAUGAAAGGGUAAUCUUGAAGGUUCUUGUUGACGACAGUGAGAUUGUGCUGGGGACUCUUUCCGAGGGCAAGUGCGACCAAAUGCAACUGGAUCUUGUUUUUGAUAGAGAGUUCAAGGUUUCUCACAGCAGCAGCUCUUCAAGUAUCUACUUAUGCGGAUACCGAACUGAAUGUCCAGAAGAGUAUGACUCUGAAGGUAAUUAUCAGCUUGGAAUGAUCUUAGUUUUGUAAAUUAGAAUUUCUUGUCUUGUGCAGUGGGUGAUUUGAUGAUUGGCACUUGUUAGAAGAGCUUAGCACACACUCACUCGAAGUUGUAGUAUCUUUCGUGUUUGUAAUUCCGGCACAGCUAUCGGAAUUGAGUGCCUGACGUAAGUAUUCAGAUGAGCAUGAAGACGAAGAAGAGGACGACGAAGAGGAUGCCAAUGUGCCUGCGGCGGUUCCAAUCGAGCACAAAGCGGGGAAGGUUAUCACGGAGGUGGCUGGUAAGGCAGCCACUGCAGCUGCAAAUGCUGUUCAGAAAGCUGUCAAGAAGCAAGUAGUCCAGGAUGAUGUUUCUGACGAGGAAGACGACGAGGAAGAUUCAGACGAUGUGAGUUGUGGUUUCAGACACUGAGCUGUAGGCUUGUAUGGGUGAUGUGUGAAAUCGCUUUGCAGGUUUGAAUCUCAUUGGUCGUAUCUCACACCCGUUGGCAUUUCCUCACCGUACUGUCAUUGAUUCGUGGGUGAAUGGACCGAUAAGUGAAUAUUAUAAGCUGCCAGGUAGGUUGGAUUUAAAUGAAUGAGGGUACGGGACUUGUUUGUGAGCUACUAAGCCUCUGAUCCUUAUGACGAGUUUGGCGCGGCUGAUGCCUCUGAUGAGGUGUAUUUAGUACGUUUUUAGGUUAUUAUGUAGGUGUACAUGAGAUCUACAGACCCCGAAAGCGGCCCUUGCAGAUAUGUUAUGGCCUGCAUAGAUUACUGCCUCACUUGCUGGCUAUUUCCUCGUUGAUCACUUCUCGACGC
rnacentral:lncRNA from 1 species